rnacentral:lncRNA from 1 species
UUGCUUUUGCUUUUUGUUCUGUGGUAAAACUGAGAGAAAUUGCACAGUACCUGGCCGUUGUGAAAUAUUAAAGGCAUUUUGAUUAGUCUAAAUUAUUGGUCAGUGUAGCCAAAUAUAUAGAUAUAUUGGAACACUCAAAAUCCUGAUUAUGCAACCACAAGGAGCAAAUUAAUUCAGAUUGUAGCUGGUUGAGUGUACAGUUGAAAUCAUGUGGCUGAAUCUAUUAAUUUCUUGUUUGAUGGGCUAUUUUUUUAAAAAAUGAAGAUUAAAGAGUUGUUAUGGGGGGUGGUUGAAUCAUGUUGCUUCUGUGGAUCUAGCAAUCAUAUUGCCUUUUCGGAUGUAACACAUGAAUUUCAUGAUUUUUCUUUUUGAAUUGGCUUCUUUUACUUUUCGUAACUGAACUCUUUUAAGCUUAAUUUGUUCCUGUCAUUUUUCGUAAUUAAUCUGCUGUACGGCCAAGGCGGAUGUACGGUACAGCAGAAACUUGAAAUCAAAUGAACUUUAAACUGAGGAAAAUUAACAUGAAACUUGGGAUCAUUUACAUGCAACCUUGAAAAUCAUGCAGUUAAAUGGUCGAGCUCGAGUAGACAAAAAACAAAAAACUUUGUCUUACCAACCAGUGAAAAUUGGAGAGCCAUGUAGUCUUGUAUCAACGACCUAUAGUGUUGAGGCUUGUAGGGAAGCAAUUGCUAAGUUUAUUAUAAAAGAUGAGAUGUCAUUUAAAGUUGUAGAGGGUGAAGGGUUUAAGGAAAUGUUGGGAGUUUUUGAAAAUAGAUUUAAAGUACCAUCUCGCACUACUAUUGCUCGUGAUAUUUUGCAACUUUACAAAAAAACAAAGAAAGAUUUGACUGAUUUUUUUGUUAGUAAUCAUCAAAGAGUUUGCCUCACUACAGACACAUGGACUUCAGCUCAAAAUCUUUGUUAUAUGUGUCUUACAGCUCACUUUAUUGAUGAUAAUUGGACAUUGCANNNNNNNNNNNNNNNNNNNNNNNNNNNNNNNNNNNNNNNNNNNNNNNNNNNNNNNNNNNNNNNNNNNNNNNNNNNNNNNNNNNNNNNNNNNNNNNNUGUUUUUUAUUUGUCAAAAGUUGUGAACAAUUGGAAUGGUGUAAGAUAACUUUAUACUUUUUAGUGUAAUAUAAUUACAUCGUCCUAAAAAUGAAACCAUCGGUAAUUCAAAAUCAGAUAUUUUUAAAAAUUCUCUUAUUAUUAUUCAGAAACGCACAUCCAUUACUAAAAUUAUUCUCAUUGUUGUAGAGGGGUUAAAAGAGUAUCAUCAGUCGAUUUCUAAAAUUCGUAAUGUUAUAAGAUUUGUUAGAUCUUCACCUUCUAGGACACAAAAGUUUAAGGCAUAUGCAGAGCAAGAGAAAAUUUCUUCAAAUAAGUUGUUGUGUCUAGAUGUCGUAACUAGAUGGAAUUCCACUUUUUUCAUGUUAGAGGCUGCUGAAAAGUAUGAAAAAGUAUUUGAUCGGUUAGAGCUUCAUGAUGCACAAUACAUUCGUGAGUUUUGUUUGAGCGAGCAAAAAACGUGUCCUUCGUCAAUUGAUUGGGAAUAUGCUCGUUAUUUCAUUAAAUUCUUGAAGGUUUUUCAUGAUGCCACUUUGACAUUUUCGGGUUCUUUAUAUGUGACAUCCAAUACUUUUUUGUGCCAAUUAUGUUUGAUUCAUACACAAUUGCAAGCUUGGAGGGAUAGUAAUACUAUUAAGUGAUUUAAUAGAUAUUGUAUUUCACAUUUUCGCUAGUUUUUUAAGGGUAAUAUUUAUGCAAGUGAAUCAAGUGAUAAAUAUUUGAAAUGUUUUGGGCCCUACUAUAAUUUAUGAAUAUUUUAGACUAAAGUGAAAGAUUUUGAGAACUUUGAAAAAUAUGGGUAUUAUGUUGAAAAUGAUCUUUUUGUGAAAGAAUAAUAUUUUUGGGGCCAUAUCAUAAUUUUAGAAAGUUUUGGGAAGACAAUUAUUAUUUAGAAAUUCUGAAAUUUGACCUAUUUGUAAAGUUGUAUGACGUCUUGGGCCAUAGUAUAAUUAUUGAAAGAUUUGGACCUAAGUGUAAUUUUAGUGAACAGUGUUACUGUAGCAAAAAUGAAAAAUAAUGGUAAUAUCACUGUUCAUGAGCGGCUAGCCGGAUAAAUCAAGCGGCUAACUGCUUGGGCGCGAGAAUUUGUCUAUAACGGCUAGUUUUCAGGCUUUAACUAUAAAAACUCAACUCCAACUUCAUUUUAAGGAUUAAUAUAAGGAAAAAUAAGAUCAUAUAACAUUUAUUGAGCUUCCAUUUUGUAAAUCAUCAUUGAGAUAUAAUUUGUUAUCUACUCUUAAAGAGAGUUUCAUUGUUGUGAUUUUCAUUUCUCAUCAAAUUAUGAGUGUACAAGUGUGAGAAACACUUGGGGUGAAGAGAUUGAGGAGAUAAUCUCUUGUUGUAAAGGUCAUUAACACUUUAGAAGUCAAUUGUAAACAUUUGAAGCAUUGAGAGGCUUGGAUAGUGAAAUCCUCAAGCCGGGUGUGCUUGGAGGCGUGGACGUAAGCGGGAAUAGCCGAACCACGUAAAAAUCCUUGUGUUUGUUUUCUCUUUCCUUACUCUUUUAAUAUUGUUCUUAAUUGAAUUUGUUGUUUUUGAUUUGAUAAAGGCAAUAGAUUAAAUUGUUGUGCGAAUUGUAUUGUAUAAUUUUAAAAUCCCAAUUCACCCCCCUCUUGGGUUGCAUAACUUGCAUUUCACACUGAACAAACUAUUGUUGGAUCAUCCAAAUUAAAAGCUGUCGAAUAAAGCUUGGCAUAAUAGGAAACUAGAUUGUUAGAGAUCUCCACAUGAUUAGAGUUUACAACACCAUCAAUGUGUAAACUAUUAAUGGAAGAGUGGGCCACCUUCGUUCUACAAUAAGUAUGGAAAAACUUUGUGCCUUGAUCACCAUCAGCUAGCCAUAUAACUCUAACCUUCUCUAGGCUAUUAAUAGGAAAACAUAAACAAGCAAAGCACUCUGAUAUGAGCAUGAGCGAGGCAAAAUAAGGCUUUUAUUAUUUGGCCAAGCAUAAUAGAAAGCAAGGUUGCAUAGUGCCCUAUCUAAUCUUUCUUCAAUCUGACCCGUGUUUGAACUAUUACACCAAGUAAAGAGAUUCCUUCAAUUGAGAGAUGGGUUAGACAACAUGCAUCAAUCAUAUUAGAAAAAUCUAAGCAAGAAAUAGUGGGAGGAGAAUUACCACCAGCCUUUUCGUGAGUCCCCAUAAUCACAUUAAAGUCUCCAAUAACCAUCCAAGGUUGGUCAUAAGAAGCAGUAAAGGAAAUAAGAGCAUCCCAUAAAACCCGUCUGUCAAUGUAAUUUAUGGCAACAUACAUAACAGAUAGAGCACAGGGUGAAUUAUCAAGACAAACUUGUAUCGAUAUUAAUUAUUUUGAACAGUGGACUACUUAAAGGUAAAUGAGCAACACUAAAAACCCACAUAUAACUCACCUCUGUCAUUAGAGCAUACAAAUUUCAUUUGAAUAAAAUUCUAAAAGGUAGAAGGAAUAAAAAACAAAGAAACCAUAGGCUCAGAAAUGCAAAGAUAAUCAAGAUUAUAAGUAAAGCAUAAAUUAGCCAAUUCUGACUGAAUGCUAAGGUUGGCUACACCCCUCACAUUCCAAUAUAAGAUCUUCAUUUUGCCAUAUUCUGAUAACUCCCUUUUGCGAAGUACGGCUUAGACAGAAGAGAGCGAGCACACACUUUAUAUCUUUUAUGCUUAUGUAUUGUUUAGAAACCAUCCUCAUCAAUUGGUGAUGUAUUUUUAGUAAAAGACAUGGUCAUGGUCAUUUGGUCGGUAGUAAUAAGCUGCUUAAUAAAUGGCCCAAGCUGAUUUGUAAAAUGAAUCAUAGAUAAGGGGUUAGUCAUCUAGUGGUUUUACACUGAAACAUCAUUGGUCAUCCUGUGAAAAGUCAUCAUCAUCAGGGCGAUAGGUUUCUAAGGUAAGUAAAUCAAUUUCAAAUUGUCUAAGUGUAGUGUCCAUAAGUAAGGGUGCUUUAUGAACCACAAUUGCAAGAUUUGUAGAAGAUUGUAGUGAGGAAGCCUUGUUGCAACCAAGAGCUUUCUCAAUAACCUCAUCUGAAGAUUGGUUUUGCACGACCUCUGUAUUUGGAACUGGUCGAUAAACACGUUUGAAGGGUUCUUACUAGGCUCGUGGGUGGCAGCGGCUGUUUCACAGUUUCGGCAACAAUUAGAGGCAUUAUGACCAAGAAAACCACAAACAAGACACUAAGAGGGAAGGUUUUUGUAAUAUACGAUUAUCUCAAAUGAAUACUCUUCGCGUUCAACCAAUAUUCGUGAUGGCGGGUUUUCUGAGACGUCCAUAUCAACCAGAACUCGGGCAAAAUGUCCAAAAAUUCCUUCCUUGGUUUAUUUAUCAAGUUGCAACAGAGCCCCUAUACCAUAUGCAAUUUUCCAAUAGAAUCUUGAUUCCCAAUAUUCUUGACUCAAAUCAUAUAAACACACCCAAACUUGAGCAUGUGUGUGUAAUGUACGGUCGUAGAGAUCAAAGUCCUUUUUCCAUUGAUAAAGAUGAAAACACUCAUGAAACAAGUACCACCACUUUAAGCCAUUCGCAAGCCUACUUUACUGGAAAAAUGUACAUCAAAGUAGCCACGAGUCAAAGGGACCAAAGUUCAAAUAGCUUCAGGCUUCCACACAACUUGAAGCAAGUUACGAAGCUCAUGAGUUUUAAGAGGUGUAGAUCCUAAACGUAGUAGUAAUUGACCAAUUAAAUUAGUGCGACACUUCUACAAUCGAUGUUGGUAAAUGGAUUAUGUGAUUUUGAUACAAGUCAAGUCACACUACUUAAGAAGUUUUAGCAAUUAAGGCAUGGAAACAGGUGGAGUUGAACUUGUACCAACAACCUGAGCAAAGGAUUUGGAGGUAGAAGUAGGGGAAGGAGAAAGGGAAGAGAUAGAAAUGUUCGCCAUUGAUUUUAGUCUGUGGGACCUUUUAUCAAACACUUAGCGGGCAAGUUUGUAGCAAACACUCAUGAAAAUUAUAACUUAUACUAUAUAAUUAUAAUAAUUUUUUAUUGUUAUUAGGCUAUCCAAUGAUAGUUGUUACUGAAUGUAACACUUAUCUGUUCGAGUCUUAUAAGAUCUUUUAUUAGGAAUGUAGAAAAAUUUAACUAAAUCUCAACCUAAGUGGUUCAGAUGCACGACUCCUAAACAUUAAGGUCGGGCGCAUGCCUCACCUAAAAAGUUGAGACUAGCUUGAAAAUUUUAGAAAUACUUAACAUAUAUUUAACACACUCGUAAUUAAUAUUUAAAGUUUUAGUUUCGUUUAAGCCCAACUUUUAAAGCCUAAUCUAACAAAAAAUAAAUUUUUAUAAACCAUGAAUUUGUAAAUCAUAAUUAAAAAUAGGUAUAUAUGUAUGUACAAUGUAAAAUUUGGGUUUUUGGACAUGAUCCGAAAAAAUACAUGCUAGGGGGUGGGGCUCGAGCUUUACUAAGCCGGUUGAGCACAACAUACUACCAUCUCUCUUUUUCACAACUCAUUUUUUUUUUCAAAAAUAGAUAUAAUAGUAACAUACUCUCUAAAAAUGAGAGGAAAUAACUUUAGGUGGUUGCAUGGCUUCCUAAUAUGUAUAUCAAAUUAUUGAAAUUACCAUAGAUCAAAUAGAUAUAUUAAGAAUAUAUCUAUUUCAUUUAAUUAUGUAACCAGGAGGAUAACAUAGUGUAAAUAUACAUUGAGACUUUGAACUUUUACCUUAAAAUUUUAAGAAUAUGAUAGUAAAAAAAGCUCAAAUUCAAUUUUUAAUCCCCUAAUUCUUCCAAAAUUCGAAUUUACAUAUUUACAGAGCGAGAAAAUCUAAAUAUAAUUUUUAGUCUCUUAAUUCCCUAAAAAUUUAAGUUUACAUAAUCAGUUAAAUAAAAUUACAUGAGAACCACUUAUCUGCCUCGUGGAACUGUCAUAAAAUUUAUAUGAAAAUGAAAUGAAUAAAUUAAAAAAGACCUGGGUAAAUAAGUUGUAAUCAGGGUUUCUAAAAGUAAUUGAAAAAAGAAAAAAAGAAAAAAGAAAAAAAAUUGGUAUAUCGUCCUUGAACCUUGAUUAAAGCAGCGCUCACUAACAUUCGUCUUCCUCCUCUGAGCCAUGCGGGCGCUCACACGUGCGUCCUCACACGUGCUCAAUGCCAGAACCAGACCCAUGCCCACGCGCCGCUUCUCCUCACAAACGCAGCUCACCGAACAAGAAGCCACAGUACGACAAAUCACUAGCAUCCUUACGCAAAACGACUGGCAGCGACUUUUGACAUCCUCAAACGUACCCAAGAAGCUAAACCCAGAUGUGAUCCGAUCCGUUAUCCAUCUAAACCGGGCCCACAAUUUGACCCGCUUGCUCAGCUUCUUCCACUGGUCCGAACGCCAAAUGGGUACCUGCCAAAACGACUUAAAAGUCUUGUCUUUGCUUUUUGUUGUUUUAUGCAAUUGUAAAAUGUACGGGCCCGCUAGUGCUAUUGUUAAACGAAUGAUAAGUGAUGGAAAUAAUUCGGGUUUUGAGAUUUUGAGUGCCGUUGAUGGCUGCUUUAGAGAAUCUGAUGAGUUUGCGUGCAAAGGUUUGGUUUUUAAUAUGUUGAUUGAUGGGUAUAGUAAGAUUGGGUUGUUGGAUGAAGCUGUUGAUUUGUUUUCGUGUGACACGGGAUGUGAAUUUGUGCCCAGCUUGUUCAGUUGUAAUGCAUUGUUGAGGGAUUUGUUGAAGGGUAAGAAAAUGGAGUUGUUUUGGAAGGUUUGGGCGAAAAUGAAUAAAAUGAAUGCAGGGGGUUUUGAAUUUGAUGUUUAUAGUUAUACUACUGUGAUAGAUGCUUACUUUAAGGUGAGGAAUGCUGAGGAAGGAAAGAGAGUGUUUUCGGAAAUGGGGGAGAAAGGGUGUCGUCCAAAUGUUGCUACUUAUAAUGUGGUUAUUGGUGGCUUGUGUAGAGUGGGAUUUGUAGAUGAAGCAGUUGAGUUGAAGAAUUCGAUGGUUGAGAAGGGGUUGGUUCCUGAUAGUUAUACUUAUGUGAAUCUUAUUUAUGGGUUUUCUGCAGCAAAAAGGUUGGGAGAUGUGAGAUUGGUUUUAUCGGAGUUGAUUGGAAAGGGUCUGAAACUUGAUACUGUUGCAUACUAUGCACUGAUUGAUGGAUUUGUGAAGCAAGGUGAUGUGGAAGAAGCUUUCAGAGUAAAGGAUGAGUUGGUUGCUUCUGGUAAUCAGAUUGACUUGGUCAUUUAUAACACACUGCUUAAAGGGUUUUGUAAGAGUGGUAAAAUGGAAAAAGCAAGGGAAGUGUUAAAUGAGAUAAUUAGAAUGGGUAUUGAACCUAAUUCAAGAACUUAUACUUCGUUAAUACAGGGUUACUGCAGGAUGCGGAAAAUGGUUAGUGCUUUUGAGUUGCUUGAUGAGAUGAAGAAAAAGAACUUGGUCCCCUCUGUAUUUACUUACGGUGUGAUUAUUGAUGGACUCUGCCAUUGUGGAGAUCUACGGCAAAUCAAUGCUAUUUUGGGAGAAAUGAUUACGAGGGGAUUGAAACCAAAUGCCAUUAUCUACACAAAUCUUGUUUCGACUUACUUCAAGAAAAAUAAACUUCAAGAAGCAGGAAAGUUGGUUGAGAGGAUGAGAAGAGAAGGAAUAACACCAGAUGUGUCCUGCUUCAAUUCUCUAAUAAUUGGUCUUUGCAAAGCCAAGAGGAUGGAUGAAGCAAGGAUCUAUUUGGUCGAGAUGUUAAGGAGAGGAUUGAAGCCUAAUAUUCAUUCGUUCAGAGCUUUUAUCCUUGGAUACUGUAUGGCAGGGGAGAUGCAGACAGCAGGCAGGUUUUUCAAUGAGAUGCUAAAUUCUGGUCUAGUGCCUAAUGAUGUAAUUUACACAUCCAUUGUUGAUGGGUACUGCAAAGAGGGAAACAUAGCAGAAGCUAUCUCCAAAUUUAGAUGCAUGCUUGCCCGGGGUAUUCUUCCAGAAGUUCAAACUUACAGCGUGCUCAUCAAUGGCCUUUCGAAGAAAUUAGAACUAAGAGAAGCUCUUGGAAUCUUCUUAGAACUCCUAGAGAAGGGGUUGGUGCCUGAUGUUGACACUUACAAUUCCCUUAUCACCAGCUUUUGCAAAAUAUGUGAUGUAGAUAAGGCUUUUCAACUGUAUGAGGAGAUGUGUGAAAAAGGAGUUGAACCGAACACCCUUACUUACAAUGUAUUAAUAGAUGGCUUCUGCAAAGCUGGAGAUUUGACUGAGCCAUUUCAGUUAUUUGAUGAGAUGACAAAGAGGGGUGUUCCUCUCGAUGGUUCAGUCUACAAUGCCCUUCUCUCUGGAUGCUGCAAGGAAGAAAAGUUGGAACAAGCUCUGGAGCUGUUUCGAGAUAUGCUGGAGAAGGGCUUGGCUUCUACCCUUUCCUUCAACACUUUAAUUGAGUUUUUGUGCAUAAGUAACAAGCUUCAAGAAGCACACCAAUUGUUGGAUGCAAUGCUAGAAGAGCAGGUUAAUCCCAAUCAUGACACCUACACUACACUUAUCAAUCAGUAUUGCAAGGUGCAAAACAUGGAGAAAGCAAAACAACUCUUCUUAGAGAUGCAGCAAAGGAAUCUGAAGCCGGCAACAAUCACUUACAGAUCACUUUUAAAUGGUUACAAUAGAAUGGGGAAUAGAUCUGAGGUUUUUGUUGUGUUUGAAGAAAUGUUAGGAAAGGGAAUUGAGCCUGAUAAUUUCACCUAUUAUGUUAUGAUUGAUGCUCAUUGUAAAGAAGGUAACGUGAUGGAAGCUUUGAAGUUGAAGGAUUUGAUUUUUGAUAAGCGUAUGCCAAUUAGUGCAGAAGCAUAUAAAGCCAUCAUAAAAGCUUUAUGCAAAAGAGAGGAAUAUUCUGAAGCGUUGAGGUUGCUUAAUGAAAUGGGAGAGAGUGGCUUUAGGCUUGGUUUUGCCUCAUGUAGGACUGUAGCUAAUGAUUUUCUCAGAGAAGGCGUUAUGGACUAUGCUGCAAAGGUUCUGGAGUGUAUGGCAUCGUUUGGAUGGGUUUCAAACUCCAUUAGCUUGGCUGACAUUGUUAAAGGAGAGAAUAGUGGUGUAGAUCUUGAUGAGUCCAAGGAUCUUAUGAAGCAAACAGCUUAGAAAGUUGACAAAUAUUGGUGAAUCAUUAUUGCUCAGUUUCGUCCUUGAGUUGACUCUUUGGAGUCCUGAGCAGACUCUGCACAGGAAUCAGCGUGCUAGCUGCCUAGCUCCCUACUAAAAUGGCUACUGGCUAUUUUCUGUUGUUUUAAAAAGUCUUAAGAGGUUGAUGCUUCAGACUGAAUUGCUUGUUCAGUCACCUGUUGAGGUAAAUAUAAAUUAUCUACUUUUCGAUUAUGUAUUCCAUGCAUUGCUAUUAUUGCCCUGAUUAAUUUAUUUACUAGAAACUUAUUUCAUUGCAGGUGACCGGUUCCGAUUCAGUGGUUAUACACAGGUUAUUGCACUGAAAGAGGAUACUCUUCCUGUAAUUUUGAUUCUUGCCUGAGCUUAUCUGCACAUCUUAUGCCUUUAAUGAGGUGCUUCAAUCCCGCAAGUGCUAUGCAAAUUAUUAGCCUGUGAGUAAGUUGAAGAGGUGUCUAAUCGUUUGGGGGUUUUUUUUCCUGCUACUUGACAUAUUACUCUUUACAAUGCCCUGAAAGCUGAUGAUUCAUUUAUUCUGUUGAGUAUGUAUGUAAUUCAAUCAAAGUGUUUGUAUGAAUGAAAGAAAGAAACGCAUGUUUCUAUGAAAAAGAACACUGUUUUGAAGUAACCAAGCUGAUUGUAUUUAUAUUUCUUUUAAUUUUCUUUAACAAAGCAGUUACAUUGUACAAUGUAUACAGCUCCCAAUUUACCAACAGAGAUCAAUUUAUUUCCAUCCAUGUUGCGUAUACUAAUACAAAGAAUAGACCCUCCAGCUUACAGAGAUUCCUAGUGUUGUAUAAAAAUGAGAAUCAAGAUUUAUACGCUUACAAAGAAAAUCGAUGUGAUGGGUUAAAUUCAUAUCAUUUUCUCAAAUUUGUCAAGCUUCUUCACCCUCUGCAUUGAUCUUAAAAGUAGUGUAAAGAAAACUCCUGCAUUUUUAUAAAUUUAAGACUGUCAGUAAUAGAACCUUGAUGAAUAUGAACUUAGGUUUCAAUUGAGAAAUAUUAGCAUCUGAGGGAUCACCUGCACCAAUGAAUGAUCCAUUUGCAAUAAUUUGACUGCCUUGACCAGUGAAUGUGACCCCCAGAUUCAGCAGGGUACCCCCACAAACUGUAUACAUAGUUGCCAUUUGCAGUAUUGUUGCUUUUCGAGCUGCUCUUUCAGACUGGUACACAUAGUUAUAGCCAUUCAAAAUCAAUGCAGUCAAAUUAUAUACAAAGAGAGAUUUCAAAUGCUGAAUCACAGUCCAUUUUCUCCAUUUCUGUUUGUGAGUUCUGGAACUAUUAAGACAUGAUUACCUCAAGCACCCGUACUCGGAGUUUCAAAUCUCCUGCUUCAAGUUGUUUCACAAACUCUUCUAUUCGUUGAACCCUGGAUGGCAUGGACAUGGUCGAAGAUCUGGCCUGAAAAUAGAUGGAAAUGUUCUUGAUACUAACAGUGAUGGAAAUUCAGCCUUCUCAUUUAUAACAUAAUUAUCAGAAGAAUAACAGGUAUUUAUUUGUUUAUUUUUUAAAAAAAGAUUUUUGUUCAGUGUUAUCCGUUGGGAAAAAAAAAUAUGGCAACAGUAGAAAGAAUGCAAAAAGCAAUACAUCAUCAGCUUGUUUCCUGAUUUGCUCCACUAGCUGUGUUCCAGACUGCUGCUGCUGUUUUAAAUCCAAUAGCUCCUGCAGGCAGAGUAGAAACAAUGAAUACCAAGCUAUUCAAGUUUCAACCAUAGAAAUGAUUACCAAAACGUGCAUGAAAAUUCCAAGGGAAGUGAAUUUAACCUGUGCAUAAGGUGCAGCAACCUUCACAAAGGAAAAAUCUGGGUCAAGAAUGUUGCCGAUACCUGUAACAGGACAAUGAUACUCAGAAUAAAGCAGUAAAAUGGCAAUGGACUAGCUGCGGUUAUCAAAUUUUCUGGGUUUAAUGAAAAAGUUCAAAUAUUACAUCGCAUAAACUUGAUAUAUGGUCUAAUGUGAUUCAGAAGUGAAUUUUUUAAGGCAAUGUGAGAGUGAGAGGACCUUCAAGUGUGGAGAAUGCCCUUAUAACGAAAGUAAAGGUGGAUGGAAACCGAAAUGGUUGAUCUUGAGCUAUUGCAAACAAAUCCUACAAAAGCAUAACAAACAAACAAACAAACAAAUAACCUUAACUUACUGAUACCACAUAAGGGUAUUCAGAAACUACAUAAAUUAAAAAAUUAAUAGAACCUCUCCAAUUGCAGCCAAAGUCUGCUGCUGAUCUGGACUCUGGCUUAGCAAAUUGUCCAAGAAAAAUUGCACGGAUCUCCUUACCUAGGAGUAGAAUGAACAAUUAGUACUACUGUAAGAUGGAUACUACAGAAUAACCACAGAAUACACAUUUCCUUUUCAAUAACCAUGCAAGUACACAUUUCCAUUUCAAAUGUUGACACUUGGAUGGUGUGGCAUGAUGACCUACCGAUGACAUAUCUCCUGUGGGUUGAAGUGCUUCGAGAUCAAUCAACCUUUGGAUAACCUGCAUAAUAGCUGCUCAGUUUCGGCUAACAAGCAAGGAGAAAAAAAAUUUGAUUUACUUUCAUUAUAAACAAAUUACCCAUCCAAUUUCAGUAGAUGGGUACCAAACUCUUAUCAACCUAAAUUCACAAAAGAAAAAUCAAAGGGAGCAGUUGAUAGAUCGAAAGUACACCUUUUUGGCAUCUUUCUCAUAAACUGCAUAGAAAAGAUCAAGCAAUCUUUCACGGGUAAAGGAUUUAAUCUCCCCCAUCAUACCAAAAUCAUAAUAGAUGAGUGCUUCAUCUAAAUCGACAGCAAGAUUUCCAGGAUGAGGAUCAGCAUGAAAGAAACCAGUUUUGAGUAUCUGCACUUUUAGAAAGAUACUGUAAACGACUACAUUAUAAGCGGGGUAACUAACAUUACAAUUUCACCGUUGUACAACAAAUGGAGGUACUUAAUAGUCAUCAACUCAUCAUAUUGUCAAAACUUAAUAUCAAUUACCUGAUUCAAGUACGCUUCAAUUGCACGCGAUGCAAUUUGAGAACGAUUAUAACCCUGCAAAUCUAGUGCUUUCAACUCAUUGAUCUUAACUCCUGAUACAAAAGUAAAAAUCUCAAUCCAUUAAAUUUCAGUUUCACAAAAUUUAUGUGGAACUAUACAAUGCAAAUUCUUGCUAUCAUUUUGAAUUAAUACACACACAUGCGCGCGCACAGAGGUUUAGGCUAAAACCUGGUACAUACUCCAAUGUCAACACCUUUGUAGCAGUAUAAUCCCAAAACACCAGCUACAGAGGGGAACAAAAUUCCAGUUAGGAAUCCACAAGAGACUCUAAACUUAAAAGACUAGAUCUAUGCUCACUAGAAAUUGCAAAAUUAAUAAGUUUAUAGUCAUAAUUGAUGAGAAUUUUGAGAAAAUUUUUGCACAACUAUUUGAUUAUGUGCCACUUAAUAUUUGUAGUCUUGAAGCUAGAAACAUACAGGUACCCGGACCCACUUUAUAUUCCGAAAAUCUCGACGGAAUCUAUCAGCAUUUUUUCCUUCAUUUAUGUAAUCGAUUUCUUGAUACAAAAUCCUGAAAUCAAUAAGAUAAGCAUAGCACAAGUUAACUGUGUCACACUUCAUUGAGACAAUUCUAGAACCAUCAUGUUUCAUCAGAUCCAUUAUAACAAAGAUCAAUAACGCAUAAAUAUAUUAUAUCAAGUUUCAUCAGAUCCAUUACAACUCAAUAAUGCAUAAAUAUAUUAUAUCAAAAUAAAAAAAUAAUCAACUCAACACAACAUGUUAUUUACACACAUUGAUCCUACUUAGUGUUUCAUGAUCCUAGAAAAAUAUCUAACAAAAAAGUGACAAUACUUAAUACUUACGUGGCGCAUUCGUCAUAUAUACCAAUCCAGUCUCUUGUUGGACCACCAAAUGUUUCACUUCUCUGAAAGUAUUCUGCAAUUAGCUUUAAAUUUCCUGUAUGGAAAAAGCAGGAAUAACGGAUAAUAAAAAUUUACUUCUUCAAGUACAAUUAAGAACUAAAAACAUUGUUUCAGUUGAUGAAAUCACAUAAUAAGGGAAAUGAGAAAUAAAGCAAUUAAAUACAAUUAAAAGAAACUACAAUAUCACUACCGUCAAAUUGACAGAGCAAGUGCAUUACUUACGUAAAUCAAUGUCAAACAGCCUCUUCAGACCAGGUCUUUGAACCUUCACAACAACUUUCUCUCCAUUAUGCAGGAUUGCACGAUGUACCUAUAGAUGGUAUCCUUUGAAAUUCAAAUUAGCGAAUAGGAAUCACCUCAAGUAAAACUUAAAUAAAAUGUCAAGAAUUUUAACAAUGACAACACUAUUCAAGCUUCUUAAGUGAAGUUAAACGGACAAACCAGCUUUAAUGUACGAUGUUCAAUAAGAAAAAGAGGAAUGUAACAAGAAUCAAACACCUGACCAAGACUAGCUGCAGCAAUUGGCCGGUCCUCAAACGUUUUGAAAAAUUGCUCAAUAGGAGCUCCAAGUUCAUUCUUGAUGAAGUGUCUUGCUUUCUCUGGAGAGAAGGCAGGAACCCUAUCCUGAAUUAUAUUGAAUAUGAACAUAAAAUUUAUAUGAAAAGUAAAAAGUAAUACUAGUUAUAUGGAUUACAGGAUAUCAGCACCUAAAAUCAAAUGAUGUCGGGGAAAUUCAAUGCUAAAUUGUAAAGACAGUAAAAGCAGUACCUGUAACUUGGCAAGCUCAUCCACAAACUCACGUGGAAAAAGAUCUGACCUUGUUGAAGAUAACUGCCCAAGUUUAAUAAAAGUUGGACCAAGCUGCAGCACACUCUCCCUUAGCCAUGAGGCAGUCUUUCGUCUUCUGUUUUUCUGAAUGGAAGAUAAUUAUUAACAAAAAAGCCAGAAGCCCCCCAAAAAAAAAAAAGAUUUAAGUCGAAGAGACCAAGAAAUGAUGAGAAACUUGGCCAAAUAUGAAAUCAGUAAUGAUAAUGACUGAUCAAAGUUUGAAGCCAAUCUGGCAGCAUCAUAUACCUGUUUAUCUUCUGAGAAGCCUCCCAAAUAGGCCCAUUUGGCAUUGUCAAACAGAAUACGGAUUUGUAAUGAAAGGACAAAUGACCAAACAUCUAUAAUCCUUUGCCAGGAAUUAUAAUUCUCAUUAGCCCAACUGAAACUUUCAUCCGAGGGCAGAACCUUCAGCUCCUCCACUGGUGGAAGUUCAUUUGAACCCUUGCCUUUCAGUGCCUUAACGAGGGCCGAAGUAGAAUUUUUCUUAGCUAAACCUGCAACAUUAAUGACCUGCUUUGUCCCAUUGACCAUCUUAUUAACCUUACCAUUGGGUGGAUUAUUCCUUUUCACCACCUCACUAGCAGGUACCAUCUUAACCGAUCGUCCAUUAGUCCCAACUCUUGAGGGAGAUUCAGUUUGCCGCGCUUCAACAUGAAACUGAAAUGCUUUAUUAGUCAAAGUUGGAUUACAUGUUUUCCUCUCAAAGCUUGAUAUGGAACUCGAGAAACUAAGAUUGUCCAUAUCUCUUCCUUGGUUUAUCAAAUCAAUAUUGUGGCAAUAACAGCCUUGUGAAGCCAGUAUUGCCGCCAUUCAAUCGACAAACACCUAUGGAUUGAUAUCAAUACAGAAAUUAGACUGAUGCUAAACCAAAUAACAAUACUAAGAAUUAAAGCGAGCAAAUGUCAGUUAUAAUGGGAAACACGAAAAUUAAACCAUUAACACGACAAAUCUGAAGCCAGAACACUCAAUGAAAUAAAAAAAUAAAAAAAAAAACUCAACUGAAAGCAAGAUAAUGAAACAAAAGAAGAAAACAAAUGAGCAAUGAAUAUUCACCCACCAAGUCAAUGACUCUUAAGUAUUAAUUCUAAUUAUCUAAACAUGAAUGAACAUAUAUACUAAGUUAGUUAAGAGAACAGAAGAGUUUAAACUUAAAAGACAUUAAUACAUGCAAAUUGAAUAAUGUUUGUUUGAAACUAAAGAGAGCCCAGAUGAAGAUACUCACAAGAGAAGAAGAAAGAGUAACUAUCAAGUCUUAGAAAUGAAUCUCGAAGCUGAGAGAUUUAUUGGGUUUUAAGAAAAAUGACCAAAAAAUUGAUUUUUUUUUUAUAAGAAAAUAAAUUGACUAAAUAAGUGUUAUGAACAAAAUGUGGACGAGCAAAAAGAACGUGGACAGCACAGUGGCAGCGUGUCUCCCUUGCCAAUUCUAGUUGAUUAAGUUACUCAACAUAUUGUUCGGUCUGAUUUUUCUUUCUCUUUUUGUUUGGGUAUAUUUGUAAUUUCAUUUUAACGACAAAACUGAAAGUUGAAUCUUCACGACAACCAUUCAGUUGCGUGGCGGGUUUUAUUUUCUUGUCAAGAAUGGGUAAAAUUAUAUAUGAGUCCCUGAUGUUUCUUUAAGCGAUGACUUAUUUAUCCGUAUCAACAGGUCCAGGAUUAUCGCCAUUAAAAAUUUGAAAUGAUCAUCUUAACCUUGCAAUUUUGGACUUCCAAGAGUAUAUGUAAUAUAACUUAACUCUAAAGGGUAUUUCAGUUAUUGCGAUUGAAAUUAUCAAAUUGGGGACAUAUUUGAUAUAAAUGGAAGAACUAUUUAUUAUUAUUGGGAAAUAAUAAACUAUUAACCAAUAGCGUGGAUGUUAAAAUAAGAUCUAUAAUAACAAUUUAGUGAUUUUUUUUUUUAAAAAUUUUUGAGAAGAUCAAUUUAGUGAUCUUAAAUUAUUAACAAAAAAGCCAGAAGCCCCCCAAAAAAAAAAAAGAUUUAAGUCGAAGAGACCAAGAAAUGAUGAGAAACUUGGCCAAAUAUGAAAUCAGUAAUGAUAAUGACUGAUCAAAGUUUGAAGCCAAUCUGGCAGCAUCAUAUACCUGUUUAUCUUCUGAGAAGCCUCCCAAAUAGGCCCAUUUGGCAUUGUCAAACAGAAUACGGAUUUGUAAUGAAAGGACAAAUGACCAAACAUCUAUAAUCCUUUGCCAGGAAUUAUAAUUCUCAUUAGCCCAACUGAAACUUUCAUCCGAGGGCAGAACCUUCAGCUCCUCCACUGGUGGAAGUUCAUUUGAACCCUUGCCUUUCAGUGCCUUAACGAGGGCCGAAGUAGAAUUUUUCUUAGCUAAACCUGCAACAUUAAUGACCUGCUUUGUCCCAUUGACCAUCUUAUUAACCUUACCAUUGGGUGGAUUAUUCCUUUUCACCACCUCACUAGCAGGUACCAUCUUAACCGAUCGUCCAUUAGUCCCAACUCUUGAGGGAGAUUCAGUUUGCCGCGCUUCAACAUGAAACUGAAAUGCUUUAUUAGUCAAAGUUGGAUUACAUGUUUUCCUCUCAAAGCUUGAUAUGGAACUCGAGAAACUAAGAUUGUCCAUAUCUCUUCCUUGGUUUAUCAAAUCAAUAUUGUGGCAAUAACAGCCUUGUGAAGCCAGUAUUGCCGCCAUUCAAUCGACAAACACCUAUGGAUUGAUAUCAAUACAGAAAUUAGACUGAUGCUAAACCAAAUAACAAUACUAAGAAUUAAAGCGAGCAAAUGUCAGUUAUAAUGGGAAACACGAAAAUUAAACCAUUAACACGACAAAUCUGAAGCCAGAACACUCAAUGAAAUAAAAAAAUAAAAAAAAAAACUCAACUGAAAGCAAGAUAAUGAAACAAAAGAAGAAAACAAAUGAGCAAUGAAUAUUCACCCACCAAGUCAAUGACUCUUAAGUAUUAAUUCUAAUUAUCUAAACAUGAAUGAACAUAUAUACUAAGUUAGUUAAGAGAACAGAAGAGUUUAAACUUAAAAGACAUUAAUACAUGCAAAUUGAAUAAUGUUUGUUUGAAACUAAAGAGAGCCCAGAUGAAGAUACUCACAAGAGAAGAAGAAAGAGUAACUAUCAAGUCUUAGAAAUGAAUCUCGAAGCUGAGAGAUUUAUUGGGUUUUAAGAAAAAUGACCAAAAAAUUGAUUUUUUUUUUAUAAGAAAAUAAAUUGACUAAAUAAGUGUUAUGAACAAAAUGUGGACGAGCAAAAAGAACGUGGACAGCACAGUGGCAGCGUGUCUCCCUUGCCAAUUCUAGUUGAUUAAGUUACUCAACAUAUUGUUCGGUCUGAUUUUUCUUUCUCUUUUUGUUUGGGUAUAUUUGUAAUUUCAUUUUAACGACAAAACUGAAAGUUGAAUCUUCACGACAACCAUUCAGUUGCGUGGCGGGUUUUAUUUUCUUGUCAAGAAUGGGUAAAAUUAUAUAUGAGUCCCUGAUGUUUCUUUAAGCGAUGACUUAUUUAUCCGUAUCAACAGGUCCAGGAUUAUCGCCAUUAAAAAUUUGAAAUGAUCAUCUUAACCUUGCAAUUUUGGACUUCCAAGAGUAUAUGUAAUAUAACUUAACUCUAAAGGGUAUUUCAGUUAUUGCGAUUGAAAUUAUCAAAUUGGGGACAUAUUUGAUAUAAAUGGAAGAACUAUUUAUUAUUAUUGGGAAAUAAUAAACUAUUAACCAAUAGCGUGGAUGUUAAAAUAAGAUCUAUAAUAACAAUUUAGUGAUUUUUUUUUUUAAAAAUUUUUGAGAAGAUCAAUUUAGUGAUCUUAAAAUAAUUUUUUAAUUUGGUGCUUUGUGGUUUAGAUAGGUUUAUGGUGACAGGCAAGUAGGUUGCUUUGCUGAGAAUUGUGACAUGUUCUAACUUGUAGUUGAUAUUCACGGUCUAUUUGGAAUUGAGGUUGGACAAUUGUAUCUUUUAAGAUACAGCUUUCAAGUGUUUGGUAAACACUAACUACUGUAACUUUGAAGUUAGAUUGAUUUGAAUUUACAUUUCUGUGAUGAAAAAUAUAUUAUAUCUUUAUUAAUUUAUCAAAAUUAUUAUUUUAAAAUUAUUAUUUAUUAUAUAAUAUUAACUUUUAUUUCAUCGUUAUUGCUUUUUUCUAUAGAAGCUGUAACUUAAAAGAUGUAGUACAUCAAUCCCAAACAUAACCUUAAUUAAAUGGUCAACCUAGCUGUUCAAGGAGUUGACUUGGGUUUAACAAGUUUAUGUGGCUGCUUUUCAACUAUUUAUUUAUUUUAAUGUUUGCUAAAUAGAUCAUGUUAGCUAAUUGGUAGGGCUAAUCUUUGUUAACUAAAAGGGAAUAUCAAUAACAAUUAAUAAUAUCGACUUGUUUUACACCAUUUAGAUUAAGUUAAAUGAUCAUGAACAAUAUCAUAUUUUUUUACUUUUUUGUUUAUCUACAAUUAGCUGAUAAUUAAACUUAUUUCAAAAUCUAACUUUUGUAUAUGUCCCUAUAAUUAUACAGGAAUUAUGUGAAAAGGUCAAUUUUUUAUGAAAAAAGAAAAGGAAGAUUCUCUAUAAUCAUUUUCAACGUGAUAUUGAUUUCUUUUUAGGGAAAAAAAAAUGAGUGUUGGACCUUUAUAACAAAAAAAUAAUGAAAAAAUAACUACCUACCAUUUGGUUUUUUUAAUUUGUAAAAAGUACUUCAAUUUUUUUCUUUUGAAAGGAUCUAUCAAAAAUAUAGUGCAUCACUUUUUCACUUUUCUAUUAAUGCCGAUAGAGGAUUUAACAGAAUAUUAAUAAGAUGAUUGUUUUACACGUGAAUGUAAAAAGAUUAUUUAAUCCUAUCAAAAUGAGGAAAAAAAAGGAAGUAGUUGGGACUAAUAAGGGCUACAAAAUUAACUAUAUAGACUUAUCAAUUACCUAAUUUAAAAAUAUAAAAUCAUCAAAAUAAGUAACCUGGUUAAUUUGUAGCUCAUUUAUAACAUAAAUUAGGAACCCUUGUUCAUAUAAGCCAUCCUAAAUAACAUAACUUCAUCAAAAAUAAUAAAUCUUUAAUAAACAAUAAAUAGAAAUAGGCAUAGUUAUUUAAAAUACAUUCAAAAUAAUCAUAAAAUCAAUUAUGAGAAACUUUGAACAUUAUAAUUUGCUUCCAUCAAUAGAAAAUAAUAACAUUAAAUCAGUUUUGGGAAACUUGGAGUUUAUAGUUAUUUCUUGUCAAUCCAAAAUAAUAGUAUAAUUCAAAAAAUCCAAACUAACAACCAAUAAAUAUAUAUUUUUUUUCACAUUUAGGGAUCGAAUAGUCAUUCUUUGAUAUUUUGUUACAUCCUUUAAUGACGACGGUAAUAGAAAAGUAAAUACAUAAUACAUUAUAUAAACUUCAUAUGGAAAACUACAAAACAUAAAAAGUUUAGUAAAUCAUUAGUGGUGUUGGAUAUUUAUCCAAAAAUAGUUGAUGCAUUUUGGCCAACUUUUCAUCAGUUUGUUAGAUGCUAGCUUGGGCCUUGGAUAUACAAUGAGUUUGCCUUGGUGUAAGUGUACCUAAAAGUGUGAGAAAAUUGAAUAUUUCAACUGAUGCAUAUGCCUUGUUUGCUUCAAAUACAUGAUUUUCGUAUCACAAGGUUCGGAACUAGACGAAAGAAAAGGUUGACCUCCCCAUUAAUAUAUUGAAUGAAAAAAGAAGGCUUCUUGUAUGAUCACCAUCAAUAUCUAGUUAGGUGUCAUACUUCUUUUGACCGUGUUGGCUUUAAUAUCUGUAUGGCUAGGUUCUAGAGAGAAUUUGCUAGGUACAUGGAAAAGAUCAGGAACCUAUCAUGGAGGUUUCUGAUAACUGUCUUCUGAUCUUUUUCCACCCGUUUGACAUUUUGACAAACCUCAAAACGGUACCAGAGAAAAGAGCCCUUUAGAAGUCGGAAUCCUCGGUUGCUUGACUAGAUGUAGAAUUAAAGUCGAAGAAAGAAACACAGUAAUUUAAAGCAACCUAUCUAGUUGAUGAUCUAUUUUUCUUUUCCUUUUUGCUUUCACAAGUGAUUUUAAGUGUGCAAUCUACAAUGCUCCCUGGGAGCCAUUUCUUUACUUAACAAUGUUGCGUAUAUGUUGAUACAAAGAGCAGAAUCUAAAGGAAUAGAAUGAAAAUCAUAAGUGUAAUGUUUAUAUCAUUUUCUCAAUUUUGUUAAGCUCCUUCACUCUUUGCAUCGACCAAAGAAACAGUAUAAAGAAAACUCCUGCAUUUUAGGAAAUAAUAAGACAUUCAAGCUACUAGAGCAUUGAUGAAUAUGAAAUUGGAACUUAAUGGAGAGUAAUGGCAUUGUUUUGUGAAAGGCAUAAGCGCACCUGCACCAAUGAAUGAUCCGGUUGCCAGAACUUUAUGGGCUUGACCACUAAGGGUGACCCCGAGAUUGAGCAGGCUACCUCCAAAUACAGCACGAAUGGUUGCUAUUUGCAGUAUUGUUGCUUUUUUAGCUGCUCUUUCUGACUGGUAAAUGUAAAAUUUUCAAUUUAGGAGAUUUAAAGGCUGAAUGAAGGAUCUGGUUUGAUAAUAUGAGAAAUAAUGGAUAAUGUAUUGAAAAAUGAAAUAAAACCAACGUUGCAUCACCAUUAAAAGAUGAUUAAGUACCUCAAGCACCCGGACUCUGAGUUUUAGAUCUCCCGCUUCAAGUUGAUUUACAACCUCCUCUAUUCGUUGAACUCUGUAUGGCAUGGAUACGGUAGAGGAUCGGGCCUGAGAAACAUACAAAGGUGAUCUCAAUACUAGUAAUUAUUGAAAAAUUAUCUUAAACUAGAGAAGAAGCAAUAAGCAUUUACAUGAUCAAUUUGUUUCCUUAUAUUUUCCACAGGCUGCGUCUUAGCGAUCAUCUGCUUUUGUCUCAUCUCUAGCAGCUCCUGUAAGAAGGAAUAAUAAGUAGUCUACUCCCAACUAUAGAAAUGAUCACCAAAACGUCAUGAAAUCCUUUUUUAUUUGCAAAGGAGUUAAUCAUAGAUGCCCAGAGAAGUGGAUAUAACCUGCAAAUAAGGUGCAGCAACCUUCAUAAAGGAAAAAUCUGGGUCAAGCAUAUAGCCAUUACCUGUAAAGAAAAAUGAACAGUAAAAUUGAAGAUUUAAAGAUCGAUUUGAUAUAUUAUUAUACUGCGAUUUGGGGAUGACGUAUAUGGGGAUAAGAAUAGAGGACCUUCAAGUGUUGAGAAUGCCCUUACAACAAAAGCAAAGAUUGAUGGAAACUGAAAAGGUUGAUCGUGAGCUAUAGCAAAUAAAUCCUGCAGAAAAACGAACAAACAGACAAAAAGCCUUAACAACACAUGUGUCGUUAACUUCUGUUUAGUGUUCUUAUGCAGGAAGGUACUGCCUUUUCUUUAAGCUUCUAUAUCACAUGAGAAAAUUUUCAGUGUCCAGGUUUACACACCUCACCGACAGCAGCAAGCGUCUGUUCCUUAUCUGGUCUGCUGAAUAAAUUGUCCAAGAAAAACUGCACAAAUCUCUUCACCUAAGGAUAGAAUAAACGACUAUUAAUCUACGAGAUGGAUCUACUGAAGGAUUUGGCAAUCCAUAAUGAAUAGAAGGCCACAUCAAUGUGUAACAAUGCCUUUUCUAAUGUUUAAUAUGAAAAAAUAUGGCAUGAUGGCCUACCGAAGACAAAUCUCCUGUGGGCUGAAGUGCUUCAAGAUCAAUUAGGCUCUGGAUAACCUGCAUAAUGACUGCUCAGUCUUGGGCCAGCAAGCAAGGGGAGCAAAAUUUGAUCUACUCGAGUUUUUCUAAUCACUUCAAUUGCAUUUCUGAAAUGGGUUAUUAUUCAAAUUAUCUAAGCAAGAAAGAAAUGAUGAUCCUUAAAACAUAACUGACAGUAAAAAGAUUCUGCAGAUGGAUGUGUGGGGCCCAAUGUUCAUAACAUUCUCAGAUAAACAUCCAGUUUAAGAAUAAAUUCUUUCGUGUCUUAUGUACUGGCAGAGGGUAGACAAGAGGGUAGACAACUAUGAUUUCGAAUUUGUAUAGAGAAAAUAUCAGUAUAAAGUCUGGUAUGUUUAGAACUUUACUGUCUAAACUUUAAUGGUCAACAUCAACUUACAGCAAAAAGAACAGUGACUCAAUAUAUAGAAAGUAGACCUUUUUGGCAUUUCUCUCAUAAACUGCAAAGAAAAGUUCAAGCAAUCUGUCACGAGUAAGAGGUGUGAUCUCUCCCAUCAUACCGAAAUCAUAAUAGAUCAGUGCUUCAUCUACAUCGACUGCAAGAUUUCCAGGAUGAGGAUCAGCAUGAAAGAAACCGGUUUUGAGCAUCUGCAAUUUUGGCAAACUUCAGUAAAUUACUAUAUUAUAAUUGGGUCAACAAACCUUACUUAAUCAUGGGGGAACAUAAUGAAUAAGGUCCUGAGGGACUUCGAUAUUUACAUGGUUCAUAACAGUCAUCAUUUCAGAAUUAAGAACAAGAAGAUUAAUCAAUUCAGACAGGGUUAAACUUAAUAACCUGAAUCAAGAAUGCUUCAACUGCACGGGAGGAGAUCUGAGAUCGGCUAUAACCAUGGAAAUCUAGUGCUUCCAACUCAUUGAUAUUAAUUCCUGAUAUAGAAGUAACAAUCUAACAUCAAUUAUCACCAACAUAAGAAAUCUGCGUUUGGUCCCCAAACAUACAUUGUGAAACCUCCAUGGCUUCUUGAACCAAAAACUUUUGUAUUGGUUUAGGGUAAAACCUGGUACAUACUCCAUGGUUAAUACCAUCGAGGCAGUAUAGUCCCAAAACACAAGCUACAAAGGGAGAAAAAGUUAAUUUAAGAACUCAUAAUAUGUCUGAAAUUCCAGAAAAAAAAAUGUGUUAGUGACAAUAAAAUUGAAGAACUAAUGAAAGAAGUGGCAGGAAGGGAGUAUUCUUGAGCAAGAAACAUACAGGCACUCGGACCCACUUUAUAUUCCGGAAAUCUCGACGGAAUCUGUCAGCAUUUUUGCCUUCGUUUAUGUAAUUUAAUUCUUGAUACAAAAUCCUGGAAUCAAUAGGAGGGUGAGCUGUGAGUUUUAAAAAAGGUAGAAGAUUACUGCAUUUUAAAAUAAUUGGAAUAGAAGAUUACUGCAUAAACACAUUAUAAUAAUUGGAAAAGAAUUGUCAUCCCUAAGGUGCCUAGUUGAUUAGUCUCUUGCUCCAGAAGUAAGACCAAGGGUUCAAUCCAUGUUUAAUUCAAGGGCUGGGUGCAUGAAAAAGAGGACGGAAACAAAUUGUCCAACCAAAAAAAUUUGUAAUAAUCCUGUAUUGAAAAGUACAAUUUGUGGAUGCUGAGUAAAUUUUGUGUUUUAGUAUGGAUGUUGAGGUGUCAAUAUGAAACUAUAAGGACCCAGAUAUAUGUUAUCAUACUUAUAGUUUCAUCCUUUGAAGUCUUUGAAGAACAAAGCUGGGAUAACAAUUAAUUCAACUUACUACUUACGUGGAACAUUCUCUAUAUAUACCAUUCCAAUCUGCUACUGGACCACCAAAUAAUCCUCCUUUCUUAUAAUAUUUUGCAACUAGCUUUAAGUUUCCUGUAUGCAAGAAGCAGGGACAUGAAAGAUCAAUGCAGCAAACACCAAAAGGACAAAGCCAAGGUUGAUUUACUAUUUCAGAAUACAAAGAAAACUGCAAAUCAAAUUAACCUCUAUAUUAAUGUGUACAUAGAGAGAUGCAUGGAUACACGUACAGGUAACACAAGUACAUGAGUAAUAUUGGUAUAUUAUAAUGAAACAAUGUAUUACCAUUGUUGCGCAAAUGUUAAAGUAAAUGUAACAGGGAUUGCUUGCUACCCGACACUUCCUAAAUAAAUGUACUGAACUGGACGUAACUCUCGCAUGGAUCAAAUAUAUAGUUACGGAAAAGAAGAAGAAGAACAGUAAAGAUUGUCCUAAUGGAUCCAACCAAGAAUAUUAAAAAGAAAGGGCAGCUAGUAUUUUAUAGUGAUAAGAAUCCAAAGUAUCAAUUUGGUUGAACUGAGAGAAACAAUGCUCUACUCACCUAAAUCAAUAUCAAAAAGCUUCUUGAGACCAGGCCUUUGAACUUUUACAACUACUUUCUCUCCAUUAUGCAGGAUAGCUCGAUGUACCUGUUGAUAUUGUAUCCAAAUUUGUAAACUUUCUCAAGAUGCACUAAGAUGUGCUUCUAAAUGCUGAUAGUGGAACUGUAUCUCAUUUUUUUCUGAUACUAUGAUAAAGGAAAAAAAAAAAGCUUAAACAAUUGGGUGGAAGAGCUAAAGAGAAUCAACACCUGACCAAUACUAGCAGCAGAAAUUGGCUGGUCCUCGAACUUUUUAAACAAUUGGUCAAUGGGAGCCCCCAGUUCACUCUCAAUUAAGCUUCUUGCUUUCUCUGGUGAGAAUGCAGGGGCCCUAUCCUGAAUAAUGUUAAUUAAGAACUUAAUAUUUAGAUGAAAGUUAAGAAGUUGAGAUUACAUUUCAGUUUAAAAUGAAGUGAGAUUACAUGAAUGAUUGGAUGUGUGCACUAAAAAGCCUAAUCAUGUUGGGAAAAUUUGUAUUAGAAAAUAUAUAAAGACAGAAAUCAAGAAGUACCUGCAACUUAGCAAGCUCAUCCACAUACUCACGUGGAAAUAGAUCGGACCUUGUUGAAGAUAACUGCCCAAGUUUCAUAAAAGUUGGUCCCAGCUGCAGUAUACGCUCCCGUAGCCACGAGGCAGUCCUUUUUCUUCUUUUUUUCUGAAAGAGAUACAUUUUAUAAACACCAAAGUGUGAAAACAAAAGAGUGAAAGACUGAAGUAUAAGAAAUAAAGAAACGGUCAGAAACUGGGACAAGUAGGAAAUAAGUAGUGAAGACAAUUGAGUAGGACUUAGAAUAUCCAAUGUUCAGCAUUGUAUAACACUCUAAAUGUCAGCCAAAUUCACCUGCUUUUCUUCCAUGAAGCCUCCAAAAUAUGUCCAUUUGGUAUCAUCCAACUGAAUACGGAUAUAGAAUGAAAUAACAAAUAACCAAAUAUCUAUACUUCUUUGCAAGGAAUUAUAAUUCUCGUUAGACCAACUGAAGUUUUGAUGUGAAAGUGUAUCCUUCAACUCCCCUAUCGGUGGAAGUUCUUUCAAACCUUUACCUUUUGGUGUUCUAACCAGGGCUGAAGAAGAUUUUCUCUUAACUACACUUCCAUUAACGGACUGCUUUGAGCCAUUGACUGUAUCUAUAUUAUGACUGAGCUGGGGGUGUCUUCCCAAUACCUCGCCAAUGGGUACCAUUUUAACAGGUCUUCCAUUGAUUCCCAAUGUUGAAGGUGACCCAGUAUGUUUCAUUUGCACUAGAAACUGGAAUAAUCCAUUGGUAAUUGUUGGUUUGCAUGUUAACCUCUCUAACGUUGAUACCGAGCUUGAAAAACUCAGAUUUUCCAUUGUUUUUUGUUGAUUAAUCAAAUGAUUACUGUGGCAACAGCAGCCUUGUGAAGCCAGUAUUCCCACCAUUUAAUCAACAAAAACCUAUGUAUUGAUAACCAAUAUCAAAAUUAGAUUGAUGCAGAGCUAAGUAAUGAAAUGCGAAAUGCAAGCUAACCAAAUUUGGUUUGAUCCAAAACAAGUGAAAAGAAUUAAAAGAACAAUGCACCUUCAAUCUAACAUCAACUAGCAGAUUAUAUUAUGCAGAUUUCAUUUGCUAUAAUUAGGAUAAAAGAAACCAAUGUAGCAUUCAUAAGAUAAGUCAAGCAUAUAAACUGGAGAGAAGAAGUGAAGGGUUUCAAUGGAAACUUAUUGACUAACAAACUGAAAGCAAGAUAAUUAAACAAAAGAAAGAAAUUACAUUCCAAACCAGAUCAAGUCAACAUAUUUAACAAAUGUCCAACAAGAGACCAAACCCAAAAUCAUUCACCCACGAACUCAAAAUCAGUUGCUAAUCAACAGAACAGAUGUUGCGGUUGAGGGUCAGCAUCAAAAAAAAAAAAAAAAGUUCAGAAGCUCCAUUAAAAUUAUGUGAAAGUAAAAGAACCCAGACUAUGAUACUCACGAAACAGAAGAGUCAGCAACAAGCUUAGAUAUGAAUCUUAAGAUUUGAAAAUUUCAUUGGAUGUAUAGGAAAAACAAACUAAGGGUUUGUCCAACAACUAACUUAUUUUUAUAGAGGAAAGAUAUUGACUAUACUAGAAAUGUAAUCAAAAAUAGAAAGACGGGGGAAAGUGAGAAAAUGGGACGCCAGCAAAUGGGCAAUUGUCAUUUGCAAUUCUAUAAUAUUUUUAAAUCAUUAAUUUGUUCAACUCGGAGUUCGGACAAAUGGUUGUGCCUUUGUGUUAUAAAUUCUCUAACAACGACAAAAACCGAAAACAACUCCAAUAUUUGGGUGGGUAAAAUAGCCUUUUUGUUUUGGCUUGCAUUAGUUAAAUAAAAAUAAUAUGAUGUUACAGGCUCACAGCUUUGAAGUUCACGAUCACACUUAAAAGAACACCAACAUGAAGUUGAUGACACAGCCGAAUGUGAUGCACAUGGACUGCAUUGCCUCUAAAUACAUAAAUAUAUGAACUCAGAUGUGCAAAAAAGACGCAAGUCAAAAAUGGAUGGCAUUGAUUUUUCUAUAUCCAAUAGUCAUCUUUCUUUUCUGAACUGUCAAAAUAUUGACCAAAGUGCCAUCCCAUAAUCAUAGUACUUACCCAGUACUUAGUAUUUACAUUGAUAAAUAAAAAUAUACAUGUUGCUUUAAAAGCAACAGUACAUGUAAGCGUCCACUGUGAAUCAGUUUUUUGUUAUUAGCGUGACAGCUUUUCAAAAAUAUUUACUCCCGAAAAGCCAGUACACUUAAGUCAGUAGCAUUUCAAUUUUUUUGGCGGCAUUUCGGUAUGGCUCACACUAUCAUUGUGCCUGCUCACCAAGUGAUCAUUGUUCUUUGGUAUGUCUUCAGGGAAUCUGGAGCCUUCUGGAAAAUUGCAGUACCAGACGAUGUUAGUUGCAAUGGCACCGACAAAAAUAUCAGUCCUCGGAGUUAGACGAAUUUUUCUUUCAACUAGUGAAACCUGCCCACAGCAUUGACUUUGGAUUGCUGCAUUCCUCAGCUUCCGAACAACGGUGUCCUUAUCAUGGCUGAUGUUAUCUGCUUCCUCCUGCAUUACAUACACAGACGGGAAUUAAGUCGAUGGUUUUCUGUGACCUUUCCUUGAGAGUGUAAUUUCUUCAAAAAGACUAAUAGAGCAUGUUUACAGAUAUUACAUCCUAAUUAAUGUUACCAUGGACAAAUUACUGAUUUAAAAAGUUGAACUGAUAACGUAGUUUCAAUUAUGAUUUCUUAAAUUACUGCAUAAGUUUUUCUAGUGACAAGGAGAAAUUCCAAGAGGCUAAAAGGAUUCAUACAGCAUUAGUUUGACGUUAUACCAAAGAUAAAGGAAAAAAGAUGAACGGGCAUUUGAGGGAGAAGUAUAUAAGGGAAGUCAACAUUGGCGCACCGACAACCACAACCAUCACUAAAAUUGAGUUUUAGGGCUAUGAUAAAUGGUCUUGUUUUAAGUGUUUCCCUAGUGUGUUCAUGCACAUGAAGGGGUAAAACAAUUAGAAUCCCCCUCACAAAACUCAUUGGCGAAAGCAGCAGCUAAAAUCAAAGAAUAUGUACAGUAAAUUUAUUGUGUAACAGUAAUAUAAUAUGAAGACAACCAAAUUUUAUGUCCAAUGUGCACAAAAUGUGCUAUUUCACACCAGUGAUUGCAGCACUAUUUCUGAUGGAUGAUACCUUUUCAGCUUGAAUGGUUGUUUAUUCAAAAUGGCUGUUUUAAGAUCUGGCCUGUCUGAGAAAGAAACCUAUAUUUCAAAUACAGGAGAAUUAAAUACAGAUUCAAUCAGAAUAUGAGCAAGGGAAAAGCAAGCAAAAAGGUAAAGAGUCUUAAAACAUAACAGGAAGUGAUUGAGAGGGAUAACUGGUGCCUUUGUUUGAAGGUUAAACUGUAUUCGCAGCAACUGCAAAAAAGAAAAUCAUCCCUCUAAAGAUAUUAAUAUCUAAGGUGAAAAGGAAAUACCUCGACUGAUUGGACGAAGGGCGAUGGAGCUUUGGGUCUGUGAACACUGCCUACCCUGAGAGCCCAUUUCACAUACUUGUCUGUAUUGCUCCCAAAAAUCACAAAUACAAUUAGGCACUCCAUUUUAUUUUUGAUUUAUAUCACUCACCACACAUGGGAGCAAUAAUAACUAAAAGAUAGUCUAAAUAAGUAUUUUUCCAGCCUUUGCAGCACAGCAGUCAUUAUUCACUCAGAAAGAAGGUAAAAUGCAAGCUUAAGUCACUCACGAAUUGUGACAAAACUUCGUAACUUUGAAUAAAAAAGCUUGGGAUCCCAAAUGAUGUCUUCCAUCAGCAAACCUAUUACAUAUCGAUAUAUGAAAAUAAGCAAAAAGCUGGAAAGAUACCUGAUCGUGAUGGCCUAGAGUACUGAUCAAGAUUAAUCUGAAAAAGAUCUACUCGAACAUAAGGAGGAAUCCACAGAUUAAGAUGAUGCAUAACCCCUGCAAUCACCUGUCGUUUUUCAAGUUACACUUUUGUUGAUCAAAAGAAUCAAGCCAGUUCGAAGAUGUCUGAUAUGCUUGAUGAUCUAGCAUGUUAAGAUAAAAAAGGCACUGAAAAUAUACUAAUGCAACUGAUUAAUAAGCACUACAUACUUUACAUAUUUCUUUUAUAAUAUACAGACAAAGUUUGGUUCUUUGAAAUGUAUAAUAAAUAAUACUGCCCUUUGGUUCUAUAAAAAAAACCCUUAUGCAUCCCAUAGUAAAAUGCAAGGAAUGGAAAAAAAAUUCAAUAUGAGCAGGGUCCCAUCCUGUAGUUUAUUGGUUUAUACCAGGAGCUUCUUAUGUAUUGGUCAUGGUACGAAUAGGACAGCCACCCUGAGUUACAAUGCAGCACUGCAAUGAUGUUUCAAUAUGUGCUUCAAAAAAGCCAUCCUCUUAUUGCAUAACAAAUGAAUUGUCAGAACUUAAAACUAUUAUGGUGGAAUUGACAACGAUGAGAGAAAAACAUGGAAGCACAAAAUAUGCAGUAACACAAAAAAUUGUUAAGCAUUCUAUGCUUAGUAAUUCAGAAUAAGAUAACUAUACCUUGUCAACAGGAGCAUGAACAACCAAACUUGCUUUCUUGUCCUUUGGCGUUUGCUGGACAUAUAAGUUGAAAAGUAAAGAGAGCAGUCAAAAAUGAUGCUGACUAAUCAUAUGCAUAAAAUACUUGCUCUGGAUGAGAAGAGAAAGUUAAGUCAAUUGAUACAAAAUUAUUUUAAUGAUCAUGAGACACAAGUCUCCCAAGAGACUUAUACCAGUAAAGGUCUUUGUCAUAGUUUAUAAUGUGAAAGAAAAGCCCAAUAAUGUCAUGGCCUUAGUACAACCUUGAAGUAGUGAUCAGUUACACAUAAAGAUUUCAGCCUGUACUAAAAAAUAGCAUAGCAGAUUCAUGAGUGAAGGAAAAAGAAAUAAAGAAAUACCUGUAGGUUUACAAUUACGAUCUUACCCCCACCACGAAGUGAUUUUAAAGGAAGGUUGCAAGCUGGAGUAAUCUGCAAACUGCACAACAGCAAUCUGAAUGAAGUACUAAAAGAGACAAAAGAAAAGGAAAAUUGCACACAAGAAAAUGUUGUUCACAUAAAAAGAUGACUACUUCUAAGAACCUCGGCUUCAAACAGUCUAAAACCACAUGCUGAUGGAACCUUAGACAUAAAGUUUUAAACUGCUAAAAUUCGAGCAUCUAUAUACAAUUUUUACUAGGCUGACUAGUAAGUUGUUCCAAAUUUACUUGAUGACAUGUCAAAGAGUUUUGUGUGUAAUUACUCCACCACUCUGAAGCAUAGCAUGUGAACACUUCCUGAGCUGAACUAUCAGGUAAAGUUGAAAAAAAAAAGGGGCACAAGAAAUGAAUAAUCCAAAGAAUAGCAAAAUACUCUUAUCAGAAAAAGAGGACGGCUAAAUGUGAUUUUUAAUUACCAGACGAUUGCAACAGAUAAAUGCGGGCUAAUGGGGGCAUUAAUUCAUUUAUUUUUAAAAUAUCAACUCCAAAGCGUAGGUAAGAGAUUGAAGGGGGAAUUAAACUUCCAUCUCCACUGCAUGAUCUAAAGCAAAAAAUUACAGCUUUAAUGAAGAUAACAAUGGUGCAGCACAGACAUAUAUUAAGGAAACACACCUGGUACCCAAGCAUAGAACAACAUCUGCCAUCCUACAGUUUUCCUCUGCUGGAUUCAUCUCUACUGGUGGCAAUGCAUCCUGAAAUAAAAGCAAUAAGACUAUCAGCAGCAUUAACUUUGUUAAGAUAACUAAAACAAUCUGAUUUGUCUUUGUAUCAAGUGACUAAAUAAUACACAAGAAGCAGCAAAGCAGAUGGCAAAGCAUGAAAUCAAGUAUUACAUUAACAGUGCAGUGUAGAAAAGCAGUAGAAAGUUACCUCCCAAUCAAGAACAGUGUCCUUAAGUCUUGACCCACAUUUAACGUCAGAACAACGGCGUGGUGUUUUCUUCAUACCAAUGGUUUCUAUCUCAAAAUCACGCAUAUACCUGUACAUGUCAAAUAAAAUUGAAUUUCUAUACCAACUGAAAUCCUAAAGAGAAAGUGAGACAGGGAGAAAGGUUCUUCCAAAUGAUUAAACCAAAAUACUGAAGCACAUUGUGAACAGGAAAAAUAAGUAAAAGUACUCUACUCCACAAGAUGGGCAAAUUUCUCGAAAAGAAUUGCCGUGCAACUCAGCAAGUUUCUCCCUUGGUAUUCCAGAACACAGAUGCAGGCUAUCGACAUUCUGAAAAUUGAAAAUGAAACAAAUAUCAAAAGCAUCAGAGCAUGAAGUGUCUAGACAUAUGGAAUGGUAGGUAAGAAAAAGUAACCAUCUCAGGCUAAUAUCUCUUGCAGGUUAAUGAUCAUAAGGUUCAAUUUGUGCCACAUAUCUAUGCGUUAACUUCAGUCAAUAGAAGACCUUUAAUUGAGAAGCCACAAAAUUAAACCAAUUACCAAAAACUUUAACUCAAGCUUUUCUAUCAGACUGUUAGAAACAAUUAAGUAGAGAUUUAAUCUAUAUCCUUCGGUCAGCACUAAUAUUUAGCCAUUGACCCAAAUGUCUAAGAAGUUUAUGUAAAAAGACACAAAGGAUUAAAAGAAAUAGUCAACAUGUAAGUUCAUAUUAAAAUUUUCAGAGUACAAUAAAAUGGAAAAUUGAACAAUAUAUUGAUGGGAAGAUGCAUGAAUCAAACCUGGCUUAUAACAAACUUUAAGAUGCCGGCUUUCUCAAGUUCAACCAAGGCCAUAUGGGUAAUACUUGGCAUUGCACGAUCAAAUGGUAGUGAUGCUUCAGGCACACCUUUGCCUUCACGCUGCAAUUCAACAUGUAACAGUCAUUGUAACUGCCAAAAUGCACCAUGUUUAUGUGUUUGUGUGUGUGCAACUGAAAGAAAAACCAACUACUAAAAAUAAAAAACAGUGAUUCUCACUUGAAGCGUCCAAACUCCUUUGGGACCUCUAAAAUCAGGAAUCCCACAAGAAGUUGAUAUCCCUGCACCUGUAAAUGCCACCAGAUGCUUACUCUGCAAGUGCAGGAAAAGAAAACUUAAAAAAGGCUUUGGUUAUUAAUCCUGCAAGUCAACAAUAUGAUAGGAUUCUUAAGGAGUUCCGCAGCUUCUUUAUCAUUACUGCAAGCUCUGCAAUCUACCAUUAAACAGAAAAAGAUACUGAUGUCAGCCAAAUCAUGUCAAAAUCUACAAUCUCCUGGUGCUCAAAAGAACUCCUCAUGCAAACAAAACAUUGGAAGCUUACGUGUUUUGUUUUGAACAAGACAAGCAACGAAACAAAAUUUUCAGAAAAUAGCCAGCGCACAUGGAAUUGUGAUCCAGAAGUUCCAUACAUCACAAAACACACACGCCUUCCUUCGCAAUCAAAAUAAAAUGACUUAGAAUCCUAAAUAUAAGACUCAAAAUUUUCAUUACCAAGAAAACCAUGUUGUAUGUUAAGGAUUACUUGCUAGAGAUUAUCUAGCUAGAGAUCAUCAAAGGUUUUCAUCACCCUUACUAGAAUUACUUGCUCCCCUGCUCCAUCCCUAACAUCUAAUAAUCUUGUAAAACAAGAAUUUCAAAGCACACACUUCUUUAAAACCCUAACUUCCUUUAUCAGAUAUCAACAGAUGCACUACCCAAUUUUUUUAUUAAUUUUUUUUAAAUAAAACCACUUCUUGCACCACAAUCAUCGCCAUAUAAUAAACAAACACAAAAAUGCAAACAAACCCACGAAUACAAAUCACACACAACCCAUUACAGCAUGCAUGCCACAUUCAAAUUUGAGCACAUUUUUACAUGAGUUUUAAAUUCAAGAAUUUCAAGAAACACAAGAAAGUACAAAACUUUAAAGCAAGAACAAAAAAUGAACAUGCAAAGAAGUAACAAGAAGUUUGAACGAAAAAAGAGUACACUUUUUGUUGUAACAGGUGAGGUGGGUCGAAAAUUUCGGACAUUCCAACACUGCCCACAUCUUCUCUGUAAGAAAGCUUCUCUGCAUAACCCAAAGACAUGUCUUUAAUUUUUUCUGAAACAAGCAAUUUUUGUUCUGCUGGGUUUGUUUUUCUCUGUGAGAUUCACUUGCUUUUGCUUUUGCUUUUGCUUUGCUUACAUGGCACCAGAGCUAUUAAGAAUGUGCUUUUGCGUUUUGAUUUCUUUAAAAGUUUGUUCAACAUUUUCAAGAACUAGACAACAAAGCAAUAAUCGCUUUCUAAUUCUUUACGAUGCGUUUGUGUUUCUGUUUGGCAUUUGCUAACUAUAAGAAGUUACGUAUUUACCCCUUCAUUUCCCGGGAAAAGUGCGACAACAGUGUAGCGGGGGGCGCGUGCCGUGUGUGCGAUUCGUGUUUCGUUUUGUUCCGUGUGAAAAGUGCCGAUUGCGCCCGGUACACCUUCAUACUUCAAAAAUUAUCUCAAUACCCUAAAAUUUAUUUUUGCCAAAAAUUUCAUCGAUACUCUUUAAAAAUUAAUAGGAAAUUACUAAGCUAUCCUCAUUUUAAAACAUUUCAACUCAACGGACAACGCCUCUCCCUUCUCUACUGAAGCAAACAAACACUCAUUUGCUGCAAUUCCCUCCAUUAUCAAACUCAAACAAACAAACACUGCAAUUCCCUCACCGGCAUCACCUCUACCGAAACAAACAUUCAUUCUCCAUACAUGAUAAAUCGAACUUCAACACGAGCAAACUAAGCCUGAGAAGGGGAAGCUGCCACAACUGAGAAAGUGAAGCAUAGUUCGUCACUACAUAAUCGCCGGAGAGAAUUGAUCAUUUACUGUAAAAUUGUCAGAAUAUAACUAGUUGAGACAAGUAAUUCCAUGUAAUUAGUUUUCUUGUUAAUAUUCAAGGGGAAAAAACAAAAAGUUAGGGUUUUAUAUUGAAAAAACAGAUUAAUUAGUUGUGGGUCUCUCAUAACAUGUUCGAAAACAAAUUUCUAGUUGUUUUGCUGCAUGCAAAUUGUGAAAAAUUAAUGGAUUGUGCUGAUUAUAAUUUUGUUAUGUAACACAAGAUUUGGUCGUGUAAGAUUAUGUAAGAUUCAAGGUUGUGUAUUACACGACCUUCAUGUAUUGCAUGAUUACACGACCUUCAUGUAUUGCACAAUUAUACGACCUUCAUGUAUUGCACAUUUACACGACCUUCAUGUAUUACAUGUUUAUACGACCUUCAUGUAUUAUACAAUUACACGAUCUUCUUGUAUUACACAAUUACACGACCUUCAAUUCCACAUUUUGUUUCUUGUCAAUAGAAUCUACACAUUACAUUUAGUUUAAUUAGGCUCACAAUAAAUUGGAAUGGUGCAUAUACCUUUACCUUGUGAAAUGUCAUUAGUUAGAGAGAUUCUUAAUUUCCAAUUAUAAGCCAUGGUAAGUCAUGAUAUGUCUAGUUAUGAGUGGAAAUAUUUUAUCACUGCGAAUGGUGUUCUUAUGUGUAUAACAUUACAUUAAUUUCCUAUAGUUGAUAUUUUUUUUUCUUAAUUGAUUUCAUGGAUUAAUUAUAUGCAGGCAUUCCUCAUGUAUGCUUGUAUGCUUGGCCAGAGGAAGAAAGCACUUUGAAGAUUAAAAAAAAAAAAAAUUAAAUGGCUGUAAUAUGUUUAAUUGUGACUUUAAAAUUACACGAAUUUUUCCAUUAAUCAUUAGAUUAAUUUAGUUCUUUAAAGACUUAAUUUGUGCUAAUAAUUUAUAUUUGCUGCUAGACACAAAAUGUCAACGAAAAUUAUUAAAAAAAAGAAGUGAAAUUAAAUUGGAAUCUAAAAAAAUUUCACAUCAUCAUUGGUUUGAAUUGUAACUGGUGGCAUAAGAUCAGAUGUCUUAAGUUUGAAUUUCAUUGUGAUUUCGAAUUCCGAAGUAUUUAUAUCAAUAACUUCAGCUAUCUUCUCCACCAAUUCGGCAUAUGUUGUCGAUCGUGGUAUCAUUAUCCCUUUAGCCUUUGAACCUUUGAACUUAUACUCGUCAUUUUGCUCAAUCCAAUAAUAUUAAAUUUCAUAUACAAGUAACUACACGACCUACAUGACCUACACGACUAUAUUACAUACACGACUUACACGACUAUAUUUCUUACAUGAUUUACACGACUAUAUUUCUUACAUGAUUUACACGACUAUAUUUCUUACAUGACCUACACGACUAUAUUUCUUACAUGACCUACACGACUUACACGACUAUAUUACUUACACAACCUACAUGACUAACUAUAUAACGUACACGGUAUCAAAAGAAUGCACGACUUGAAACAUUUUCGCCAUAAAUAAGUUAUAUUGCUGAAAAAAAUAAUUAAACAACCUACAUUGCAUAUAUUUCUAUGUAUAAGAAAAAAUGGUGAAAAUAAAACAUUGUAAUGUGAGGAAAAUUUCUAAAUUUUCCUAAAAAUUAAAAAAUUUAAAACCCAACAACAUUAACAUACCUUAUUGGGUUGUUUAAUAAGCAAUGCACCUUUAAAGAAAGAGUGGGUGUUAAAGAAAUGAAUACAUAAUUGUAUUUGUGUAAGAAAUUAUGAGAGAUUCUAAGAGAUUUUGAAAGAAUCGGCAGCAAAAAUAAAUUUGGGUGAAAGAAAUGAGGAAAGAAAUAUGAAGACAAUUCAUUGAGUGAAUUUGAUGCAUUCAUUAAGAGUAUUUCCGACUUUGCUCACAUUUGUUAGAGUAUCCAUGAAAACCAAAAAGGGAGGGUAUUUGAAUAAUUUUGAAACUAUUAAAGGGUAUUUAAUUAAAAACCCCGUGUGAAAAUAUCUUUUUCCAUUUUUUUCUUAUUAUCAUUUAUUGCGAUUUUAUUUCAUCAUUAAAAUGUUUUCCAAAGAUUGCAAGAGCAAUGCUUUUCAUUCAAAGUACAAUUCGUUACAAAAUCAAAUAAGUGAGGGCAACAAUGUUAGGUAUCCCAAGGGAAAUUCUAUAAUGUCGUCAUUAAAAGUCCGGUAUCAAUGUCAUGAUAAAGAUAAAUUUUAUAAAUUACAUAUAAUAUUAUUAAAUGAAAAUAAAAUAAAUGUUAUGAAUUACAUAUACUAUUAUUAAACGAAAAUAAAAUAAGUAAAUUAAUAUAAGAGUGGUAAAUUAGUGUUUUAAAAUUAUAAACAAAACAAACACUUAUAAAAAUAAUAUAAAAAAUAUAAAUUAGCAUUAAACUUUAAUAAGAAAAUAAUUUAUUAAUUUAAUUUAUUUGAGUAAAGUAAAAAAAAAUCAUCAAUUGAAUUGGAAACAAUUGGAAUAAGUUUUAUUAAAUUGGUUUAACCAUAAAUUCAAUAUUUAUACUAAGACAUUUAUAAACUUUUUUUUCUAUCAUAGUGUUUGUUUACUAUACAAGAUAAUUGAGCAAAAUUAUUUUUCUUGUGGAUCAAGUCAAAACAAAACAAAAAUACAUUCUUAUAUUACUAGACAUAUAUGAAAUAUCAAUAAAAUUAGAUCUAAUUUUUAGUUUUAUACAUAUUUUAUGUAGUUUUAAAUUUUACUUCUUACUUAUACUAAAAGAUGUUAGGAAAUUGAACUUCCUCCCAAGAUCACUCCAAGAAAUUUGUCAAGCAACAAAUUAAUAGAAAAAUUGAAUGAAGAAAAUACAAAUCACACAAUACAAAUUUACGUGGAAAACUUUAAAUCUGAAGAAAAAUCACGAUCGUUGUCAAAAGACAACUAGAGAAAAAUAUUCAUUAUGUGGAAAAUUUUUACAGUCACAUUCUCAUAAAUAAUUUUUUCUUACCUAAGCCUCAAAAAGAUGAUUCCUAGAAAUAUCCCUUAACAAAGCAAACACGUAAUACCCAUAUUGAAGAGUCAAAUACUCCUACAAUAUAUCUACAUGUUUAAGAGUAUUUUUCUCCUCUCAAUUUGAAUUACGUCUCUAGGAUCAUAAAAGCUUAUGAAAGGCUCUCCUAUUUAUAACCAAACCGAUAACACUGUUCAAAUCGCAUUACUGUUCAUGUCGCAUUAUUGUUCAAGCCGCAUGGUCAAACCGUGUUACUUUUCAUAGCGUGGUUAAAUUGUGUUACUGUUCAUCAACCUUUUUUCUUUUUUUUUAAUCAAUUUUCAAUAAUCUCUACGUUAAUUUUUUUAAAAAAAAAUCAUAAUUACUGCUAUAAAGCACUGUCUUCACCAACAAUCAUAAUUCUCAACAUAGAGAAUUACCAUACUCCACCACAAAAAGAGAAUAUCACUUAGAAUAAACAAUUUUAAGAUUUUUCUCGUCACCUGUCGAAACAUCCCGUUGAAAUUUAUGGUACAACUUCCAUAUUGGCUUUCUUGGAAGUCGUCAGCCAUCGACAUAAAUUCCACCACACAGCCUACAUCAAUGACAACCAUACCUUGUGUGCAAAUUUUGUAGGCCCCACUAACAGUAACAUGUUCUCUUUCAUGACAACUUGGAGAUCUACAUGCCAAAAUAACUAACCCAAUCUUUUAAAAAGAAACUCACCAUUUGCGAGAAUAUUAGUAUUUCCUUUACUGAUUCUAGAGCAAUUUGCCAAGCUCACUCCACCUUUUUAACAAUUUCCUUAAGGUGUCAAAUUUGUCCACACCUUCAAAUUUUACCAGAUUGGAUACACCUUUAACUUGAAUUUUCCACAAGCCAAAACAAAAUCAUUCUCCCAUUAAUUUUUCAACAACAUCAAACUCCACCAAGUUUGAAAAACAUCAACUGCUAACAUAUAUGCUUUACAAAUUAGUCUUUGCUCUUUACCACGGACUAUUUGGAUUGGCUCCACUGCUUCAUGUAAACAAUAUUGUAUAUAUGAACAAUAUUGUUCAUGCCGCGUGGUCAAACCGUGUUACUAUUCACCGCGUGGUAACUGUGUUAUUGUUCACUGCGUGGUCAAACAAUGUUACUGUUCACCGCGUGGUCAAACAAUGUUACUGUUCACCACGUGGUCAAACCGUGUUACUGUUCAUCGACUUUUUUUUCUUUUUUUAACUCAAUUUUCAACAAAAGAUCAUUUGGGGUUGUUGUUAAGUAGGUUUAGAAGAAUGCAAAAUCAAUUAUCUUACAAAUAAUUUUGAAAAAUAUAAAAAAAAAUUUCUAAAAUUUAAUUUUGAGAAUAAGUUUUAUCCUUAAUAAAAUUUCACAUAUAUUAUCACAUGUAGUACAUAAGACUGAAAUUAUUAUUAUUCAAUUUAGAAAUAAAAACAGUAAAUAUAUAAGGUAACAAUUAUUACAAUGAGUUUUUAUUUUAUAUUUGAAGUUUUUAUUUUUUUUUCAAUAACUCUUAGAAUAUUUACUUGUUUUAUAUUAUAUUUCAUUUACAAGUCUUCUAUUUCAUUUAUAUAAUUUAUAUGAUAUUUAUACUUAAUGUUGAUUUAUAAGCUAUAUGUUACAUCUAUAAAUUUAUGUUUUGUUUACCAAGAAUAUAUCAUUUUAUUAUUCUUAUGUUAAUUUACUUGUUUUACUUUCCAUUUACAGGUCUUAUGUUUUAUUUACUUAAUUUAUUUUUUAUUUUACACUUAUCGUUGAUUUACAAGUUUUAUGUUACAUUUGUAAUUUUAUGUUUUGUUUACCAAUUAUACAUCAUUCUACCACUCUUAUGCCAAUUUACUUAUUUUACAUUCUAUUUACACAUGUUAUGUUUUAUUUUAUAUUUUAUUUUACACUUAAUGUUGAUUUACAAGUUUUAUAUUAUAUUCAUAAGUUUUUGCUUUAUUUACCAAUAAUAUAUCAAUUUAUAACUCCUUAAUUUACUUAUUUUGCCUUAACUCCUAUGUUAAUUUAUUUAUUUUACCUUUUUUUUACAAGUCUUAUGUUCCAUUUAUUUUAUAUUUAUUGUUGAUUUACAAGUUUUAUAUUAUAUUUGUAGAUUUUUAUUUUAUUUACCAAUAAUAUAUCAAUUUACCACUCUGAUGUUGAUUUAGUUGUUUUACCUUUCAUUUACAAGUCUUAUGUUUUAUUUGUUUUAUCCUUAAUAAAAUUUCACAUAUAUUAUCACAUGUAGUACAUAAGACUGAAAUUAUUAUUAUUCAAUUUAGAAAUAAAAACAGUAAAUAUAUAAGGUAACAAUUAUUACAAUGAGUUUUUAUUUUAUAUUUGAAGUUUUUAUUUUUUUUUCAAUAACUCUUAGAAUAUUUACUUGUUUUAUAUUAUAUUUCAUUUACAAGUCUUCUAUUUCAUUUAUAUAAUUUAUAUGAUAUUUAUACUUAAUGUUGAUUUAUAAGCUAUAUGUUACAUCUAUAAAUUUAUGUUUUGUUUACCAAGAAUAUAUCAUUUUAUUAUUCUUAUGUUAAUUUACUUGUUUUACUUUCCAUUUACAGGUCUUAUGUUUUAUUUACUUAAUUUAUUUUUUAUUUUACACUUAUCGUUGAUUUACAAGUUUUAUGUUACAUUUGUAAUUUUAUGUUUUGUUUACCAAUUAUACAUCAUUCUACCACUCUUAUGCCAAUUUACUUAUUUUACAUUCUAUUUACACAUGUUAUGUUUUAUUUUAUAUUUUAUUUUACACUUAAUGUUGAUUUACAAGUUUUAUAUUAUAUUCAUAAGUUUUUGCUUUAUUUACCAAUAAUAUAUCAAUUUAUAACUCCUUAAUUUACUUAUUUUGCCUUAACUCCUAUGUUAAUUUAUUUAUUUUACCUUUUUUUUACAAGUCUUAUGUUCCAUUUAUUUUAUAUUUAUUGUUGAUUUACAAGUUUUAUAUUAUAUUUGUAGAUUUUUAUUUUAUUUACCAAUAAUAUAUCAAUUUACCACUCUGAUGUUGAUUUAGUUGUUUUACCUUUCAUUUACAAGUCUUAUGUUUUAUUUACUUAAUUUAUUUUUUAUUUUACACUUAAUAUUGAUUUAUAAGUUUUAUUUUAUAUUUAUCAAUUUACCACUCCUAUAUUAAUUUACUUAUUUUACCUUUCAUUUACAAUUCUUACGUUCUAUUUACAUAAUUUAUAUUUUGUUUUACACUUGAUGUUGAUUUACAAGUUUUAUGUUAAAUUUACAUGUCUUAUGUUUCAUUUUACACGAUUUAUGUUUAAUUACGGUAUUGAUGCCGUGAUUUUAAUUACGACAUUAUAGAAUUACCCCCAGUCUUAGUAUGAAUCUCAUCAUGUGAUAUUUAUUUACUAAAUUGUGGUUAAAUAAUUUUAUAAACUAUAAAAUCUAUCAUCUAACAGAUGAGUGACACAUAACAUUAGAACUUAAGUUAAAAACUUAAAUAUUGGGAUUUCUUACAUUAUUGCCUAUCUUCAACCUAAAAACUUCUUUUCUAUAAUGACUAAAACAUGCAAAAUUUAUAUUGGUUCAUUAAGAUAAUAAAAUUGUUUCAUAUGGAAAGCAAGCAUGGAUUUGUUUAUGCCAUACCCCUUUUUUGGUUAUUUAUUGUAUUUAUCUAAAUACACCCUCAUACUUUAAAAUUUCUCAUAAAUAACUUUUUUCAUGUGCAAUUACCUUACUACCCUCAUAAUAGGAUGCUCAUAUAUAUUCAAGAAAUGCUCAGCCCAAAUACACGAAUACAGCCGGGUAUUUUCAUAGAUACACAACUAAAAUAGAGUAUUUUCAUUGAUACAAGAUUACAGCCAGGUAUUUCUAACUACAUAGUGUCAAAUUAUUUUUUGUUAAGUGUAUUAUUUAAAGACAACAAGAUAGUUUUGUACAAUGUAUGUGAUAUUAGAGGAUGGUCAUACACACUCAAGGAAUGCUUAACCCAAAUAUAUGAAUAUAGUUGGGUAUUUUCAUAGAUACACGACUAUAGUCAGGUAUUUUCAUUGAUACAAGAUUACUGACGGGUUUUUCAAACUACAUAGUGUCAAAUUAUUUUUUGUUAAAUGUAUCAUUCAAAGACAACAAGAUAAUUUUGUAAAAUGUGCGAUAUAUAACAGGAUAGUCAUAUACAUUUGUAGAUACAUGACUACAGUCUGGUAUGUUUAUUGAUACAUGAUAACGGUUGAGUAUCUGUCUAAAUACACAACUACAGUAUGAGAUUUCAUAGAUACACGACUGUAGUCGAGUAUCUUUAAAAAAACACACAUUAUCCAUUACUGAAAUAUCAAUUAUUCAUCUCUUAAUAAAUGACUGUAGUCAAGCACAAUUAGAUAUACAAGACAAUAGUCUGGUAACUUUACAAAUACACGACUAUAGUUGAGUAUGUGGACAUACUACAAAAACCACCUAAAACAAUCAUUAUAAUGAUAACACUAAUCGUUUUCUUCUAGAAAAUAAUCUACAUCAUCAUCAGUCGUAAUUGGAACGAGCGACAUUGGAUUGAAUGUUUUAAGUUUGAACUUCAUUUCAAUGUCAAAUUCAUAAAUAUCAAUAGAAAUAGCCCGAGGUAUUAUUUCUAUCAAUUGUGCAUACGUUGUAGAACGGGGCACUAUGAUCUCUCUUGUCUCUGUACCAUUAAAUCUAUAAUGGCCGUUUUGCUCAAUCUAUUCACCACAAAACAUAAUAGGCACACGUACUGAAGUCAUUUCUUGCAAUAAUAUAACACAUGAUUAUACAACAAAUAAAAAAAAUAAAAUAGUGCAUAUAAUGAAUUAUGGAACCGUUUGCCCAAUUAAACAACUGUAGUCGUGUAAUUGCUCGUUUACAUGACAACAGUCAUGUAACUUGCUAAAAUUCACAAAUAUAGUUCUGUAAACAGUCAGAUGAUAUAUUUAGUAAAAAUAAUGUAUUCUUUACACUAACAGAAUACUAUUGUCAUAACAACUACUAUAUUUUUGACACUUGCACGACUGUUAUUGUGUAAAUUCGUACAUAUACGAAAAAAGUUGUGUAACUUGUAAAAAUACACAACUACAACCCAGUAAAUAGUCAGAAAACAUAUUUCUUCCCCAGAAGAUUUUUUUUAGUUUUUUCACUAAUACAAUACUAAGGUUUCAUAACAAUUGGAACAUUUUAUAUAUGUGCAUGAUUGUAGUGUGUAGUUCAUACGUACAUGACAAUAAUUGCAUAACUUAUCAAAAUAUAUCACUACAGUCCACUAAUAGUCAAAGGAUAUAUUUAGUGAAAAAAGCACUAAUAGAAUGCUAAGGUGUCAUAAUAGUUGGAACAUUUUGAACACUUGCACGACUAUAGUCGUGUAAAUUCAUACAUACACUACUGCAGUUGUGUAAUAUGAGUGUAGAAAAAAAUUUUGAGAAUAAAUUAGGGUUUUAACAAAUGUAGUUAGAAAAUUGAUCGCAUAACAUAUGCAAAUGUAACCUAAAUGUUUUUUUUUUAAUUUAUCACAAACUAAACAAAAUUCUAAAAAUAAUACAAUGUAAAGAAAAUAAAUAAAUCAUAUAAAAUAAAUAAAAAGGGAAAAGCAUGAGAAAAACAAAAACAACACCAAGAUUACGUUAAAAACUCGAAAAGCGGUGACGGUUAAAGAUUGUAGAAUAAUGAGUGAUAAUACAACCACAAACUAUUGUAUAAACUUAUCUUGUACAAACUGAUUAAGCAUUAAUUCAUUAGUUGAAUGAAAAUACAAAAUAAUAAAAAUAGAUUAUGUGGGCCAGUAGAUAUUUAAUUCAACCAAUUUUAUCAUACCACAUCAAUUUGUAUAAAAUAAAUUUGUAUGAGAGUUUGUGGUUAUAUUAUUACUCACAGAAUAAUUGUAUAUAUAUUGAUUGUAGAAUGUAGCCAAUCUGAUCAAAUGAUUGUUUUAGCAAACACAAAUGAAAUUGUAAAUGUUAAUUUACUUGGGAGUGAUGAAUAUUUGUAUGGGUGUGCUAAGUAAAUAAACGUUUAUAAUGAAUAAGUUCAGCUGAGGGUGUUUUUGGAAUUUUUAAGGGUAUACAGCAUAAAAUAGAAUCUAUAAAUUUAGUAGACGAACGUACAAAAUAAUAGUAUUCAAAAUGUUUUUUAAAGUAGAAAUAAUGUGAUACUUGAAACUUUCUUAGUUUUGUAGGCAUAAUAAAGAGAGUUUUAGACGACAAUAUCCCGAAGGGCAAGUGUGAUGAUGGUUUACGUUUACUGAUUUUCCAAACCUUAGCUAGGUAAUCAACUAUCAUACUUGAGUUAUUAUUCUUACCAAAACAGUCUCUUUUUUUUUUUUUCCUUUUUUUGGUUGCAACAAAAGCAAUACAAAUUUAAGUUGUGCCAUUUUGUAAAUUAACUUUAAUUUUACGCCAUUAAAGUCAAGAAAUUAGAAUUGAAUAGAUGGAACAUACACUGAUAUUACCUAAAGAAUUUCAUAUUACUAUUAAUUUUUUAUUUCAUCUUUUUGAAAAAUUAGGUAAUCAGUAAAACUCAAAAUUGAUACGAUUCUAGAGACUAGAUAAAGAAAGCAGUUUGAAAACCGUUAGACGAAAUCCUCGGGCCUCAUAUUACGUUAGAGUAGUGCUAGAAAGAGAGAAGUACAAUAAAAAGACGAGAAAAUUUUUUUUUUCUCUCUCUACCCACUCUCUCUCUUUACCCCUUUCUUCAUUGUUUCUCUCAUGUUUCUCUAAACAAAACAUUUUCCAUUACGUUAACAACACGGUGAUGUAAACAUUAUCUCUUCCAAGACAACGUACAUAAUGAUGCGUCAAAGAGCUCCCACGCGUCAUUUUAUUAUAAAAUGAAACAACGUGGAAACCAAUAAACACAAUGAAUAAAAAAAAGAGACUAAAAUAAAUAGAACAAUUAAAUUCAGGAAGAAGCUGCGAAUUAAAUUUUACUCGUUCCAUGCACGGACAGUCGGAAACCUCACGGCAAACACGCAGCAAUGAUCAAACAACUGACAGGAGCCUCUGUGGCGUUUCAUUGACCAGUCCCGUCUACGACGUUACUGCCCUCUCGUCACCUUAUAUAUUUCAGCAUGCAUUUGAACAUCUUUUCAUAUGUGCGUCAGAAUUGAGCGUAUUUGAUUUUAGUUCGCGCCUAGAAUUUUUCAGAACCAACAAGUUAAUUUAAAUAUACACUUUUGCCAGCUGAAGGCUAGCUCCUUGGCGUCUUAUAUAUUUUUUGCAGCCCCAUUUGAUUCCAUUAUCGACCAAUAGGUAUACAUAUAUAUACAUGCGAACAGAUUAGUGCGUCUUCCGAGUGUUGUCAAUUCUGGUUAUUAUUUUUAGUGGGUUUGCUCCUAACGCAAUUUGCAUUGUGGCUUGUGAUAUCAUUGGCCAUUUGCUUUAUUUGUUUCAAAGUUGAAUCAUUGAUAAACUUGACUUCAUGCUUCAUUACUCUUCGUUCAGGUCGCAGGCUAGAGUACAGAGGGUUCCAAUAUUAAUAGAUUGGAAACAUGUCCAGCGAUCCAAUUUCAACGAAUUUAAUAUCAGUUGAGGAGGAGCAGAACAUGAUGCCUGAAGAUGGCGUUCGGUGUCCAGAAUUACUCACUGCUGUUGGUGAUUUGCAUGGUGGGGUUACAGUAGAUAUGAAAAAGCCAAUGGAUUCUAAGGUCUUUUCUUCUAGGCUUAGAGCUUCAUUAUCGUUAUGGAGGCAGCAGGUACAUUGAUAUAUUUAAUUGCUAGCCAUUAAAUUUGUAAACUUUAUUCCUACGUACGAAUUAUUCCAAGGGGUAUGUUUUUUAACUAACUUGUGAGAAUAUUUACAUCUUGCAGGGGAAGAGGGGUGUUUGGAUUAAACUGCCUAUUGAACUUGCUAAUCUUGUUAAACCUGCAGUUCAGGUAAAUACAAAUAUAUAUAUACAAUACGUAAAUAUGGUUAUAUAUAUAUAUAUAUAGAGAGAGAGAGAGAAAUGUUCCAAUCCAGAAUUUUAAAAUGUGAGAUAAUCCGAGAAAGUUUUAAAACCGCAUGAUUUGAAGGCUUAAAACUGUAAGCCUUUAAAAUCGUGCAGUUUUAAAAUUUUCUCAGACUUUCCUACACUUUUCUGCACUUUAAAAUUCCGGAUCAGAAAAUUAAUAUAUAUAUAUAUAUUUGAUUUGAUCCAAGUCCUUAUUCUGAAUUUUGUUCAGGAAGGAUUUCGGUACCACCAUGCUGAACCAGAUUACUUGAUGCUUGUCUAUUGGAUCCCGGAAACUGCUGAUGUUCUUCCUGCUAAUGCUUCUCAUCGCGUUGGUGUUGGUGCUUUUGUCAUGAACAAUAAAAGAGAGGUAUUGCCUCUCAGCUUCUGUUGAUUUUCCACCUUAAUUUAUUAAUUUCACAUAAACCACGAGCACUGGCGCCCUUUAUAAAAGUCCGGUCAUGGUCAACAAAACUUGACUGGUUGACUUUUCCCUUUUUUCAUUUUUUUUUCAAUAUUUGAAUGCCGCUUAAGUUGAAUUGUUCUACUUUUGGUUGGCAGGUUCUGGUUGUGCAGGAGAACAAUGGAGCACUCAAAGGUACCGGCGUCUGGAAGCUUCCCACCGGGACCAUUGAGGAGGUAUACAGAUUCAGCGUGUUGUGCUUUAUAGAAUUAUAUGAAAAACAACAUAUGGAAUUUUGUGGGCCUAAUUGAAAGUUAAUGCUUGUCCUUUUCUCUUUUUUUUUUUUAAAUUUAAGUAUUCAGUUCAAUAUUUAUAUAUUAAAAAGCAUUUCAAAACACUUUUAUUAUCAAAUAUGUUACAACCAACAAGUGCGUAGAUCAGCUCGCAUGAGACUAUUUUAAUUUAACCAAGAUUUUCGGUUUGAGAUUUGGGAAUGCAGCUACAUUAAAUACUUAUUGAGCAAGUUUUAUUGCCUUAAUAAUUCUACCAUGCUCGAAUCUGGAUUAAUUAAGGCCCAAUGUAGUAUACCAAAAAAAAAAUUAAAUAUAUUAAACUUUUAUGUCUAUUUUUUCUUUCUUUUUAUAAUAAUAUCCUUAUAAUGAUAUUUUUGUCUUCUUGAGGAUAUUAAUGAAAAAAAAUGUGAAUACUUGUAUUAAAAAAAAAUCUCAAAACACUUUACUAUUAAAUUCUUACAAUUCUAUCCUUUUUUUUCUUUCCUUUUACAACAAUAUCCUUGAAACAAUAUUAUUACCUUCUUGAGAAUAUUAAUAAAAAAAGCUCAUUUAUCAAAUUAACUUUAAAAGUAAUAUUAAAAUUUUCGUAAUUUUUUAUGUUACUAUUCUACUUUUAGGAUUAAUUUUGUAAAUUAUUUUUUAUAAAACGACUAUUUGUAAACAUUACUUUAAUUUAUAAAAUAAAUUAUUAUUGCUUGACGUCUUCGCGUACAUAAGGGGCUUCCCAAAACAAAAUCAUUUUCAAAGUAUUUCGUACGCUUUAAUUAGAACAAAAACAUAUUUUCUUGCACUUAAUCUGAAUCGUAGGAUAGCUCAGUUUGUGAUUCCAAAUUAGCCAUGUAAAGUUUUUUGUAAAUAUAUAAUUAUUGACUAAUUUACUAAUUAAAUUUUUAUAAAUUAAUUAAUUAAUGUGAAAAACAUUAUUUAAAGGAUACUAUUGCAAAGGUAAAGAAAAAAUAGAAAAAAAAGAUAACAUAUUUAACUUCAAGAGUGUUUUGAAGUAUUAUUAAAAUAUAAGAAUUAAACGAAUAUUUAUCUGUCUAACUCAUACUUAAAAAGAUAUAUUAAAAAUUAAGUUUAAAGUUUAUUUUAUAUACAUGCAUAUACAUACAUCCAUACACAUACAUACAUGCAUGCAUGCAUGCAUACAUACAUAUAUAUAUAUAUAUAACAUCCGUUAAGUUUUAGGGUGAUUCUUGUCAUGUAGUGAAAUAAUGUGAUACUCGUUUCAGCAAAAAAAUGAUUCUAUCAAGUAUCAGGCAAAAAUAUAAGCCUGCACGUAACAAAGAUGAUAGAAAACAUAUCCCACGUCAAGUGAGAUGGAUUACUAUGCGGCCAAAUGAUUUUUUAAGAACAUUUAAUAAUCUGAAGUUUUACAAUCCACAGGGUGAGGACAUUUGUGCUGCUGCAGUGAGAGAAGUUAAGGAAGAGACUGGAGUAAGUGAAAAAUGUGCAAAUCCAUAGAGCACAAUCGAAUUAGUAUCAAGUCAUUUUAAUUCUAAUUCAAUUGCCUUUUUGUUGUUUCAGAUCGACACAGAAUUUGUUGAAGUUUUAGCCUUCAGGUAAGGAAACUUCGGCAGCUGCACUUGUCUCGGUUUUGGUUAUCAAAUUCUGUGGUCUUGACAGUGUUUGUGCUAUUUGCUUAAUGAAACAGGCAAAGCCACCGUUCAUUUUUCCGGAAAUCGGAUCUGUUUUUUGUUUGCAUGCUACGGCCACGCAACUUUGACAUUCAGAAGCAAGACUCAGAGAUUGCGGCUGCCCAGGUACUGAAUAUAAUUGCGGAAGGUGAUAUUUGUACUGGUUUUGUUAACUCAAUUAAUCGUCAUAUCAUAUAGCGUUGUUUUCAAAUUUUUCUUUUGCAGUGGAUGCCGGCUGAGGAUUACGCAGCACAACCUUACGUACUGAAACAUCAGAUGUUCAAUUAUAUUUGCCAGAUAUGCCUAACAAAGUCAGAAAAGGACUAUGCUGGUUUUUCUCCGAUGCCUGUAACCACAGGCUCCGGGAAAGAAAGCCACUUGUACUUCAACAGCCGGUAUUGUGAUCCGUCUAACGGCCACCAUUAGUCAUCUGCAGGAAGAUUCACCAGCAGAUUAUAGAACUCCAUUGCAGAUGCAUGUAUACUACAAAGCAGUUCUAACUGCAGAAUAAAAUAAUUUUAAAAGGGUGGGUGACUUUUUUUGUUUUGAAUUACAUGAGAAUAAUGCUCAGAUUACAACUUAUAUUAUAUGAGAUUUACAACUGAUAUUUACAAUCAGAUAAUUACUGGGCCUAAUUUACAUUAAUUCUUAUAUAGCACUGCCGAGAUUUUACUCUUUCUAAUAUUCGAGGGGUGUCUACUCCACUCACAUUUCGAAAGGUAGAAGAUUGUCUUUACUUAAUAAUUAAGGAAGGAAAUAAACCCCUACAUGCGUCGCGGGGGCUCGAACCGCUGCGCUCACAGUUAUAAGUACAGGGUCCUGGCCACUGGGCGAAAGGGUGGGUGACUUGGUUGCUCAUAAUUAUUCAUAAUAUUGUUUCAUGUUGAUGUAAUAACAAAAGGUUGUAUAAAUGGCCUUUAACUAUUCAAUUUGUAGCAGAGAUAAAUGCUUAUACAUACGUCUGGGGUUCAUGUGGUUGUGGUGAGAUUCGUGCUCUCAAAGGCAAAACAAAAUAACAAAUAAUUAAUCCUUGGCAACGCAUGAUGAUGUAAGGCGCAGGGAGGCAUCAUGCCUUGUAGUUGGAGAAUGAGACAAAUUUUUUUGGGUGUAUUUGGUAUCUAAAUAUUACAUUAAAUGGUUAAUUUAGAUUCGAAUCGGGUAAGACUAUUAAAACAAUAAAACUCUUUUAAUAAAUAUUUAAUAUAACUCCAUUUUUAAGUUUCGAACCAAAAAUCUUAGUGAAAUUAUUCCAGUUAAUCUACCAACUUGUUUGUAAAUAACACUAAUUUUAAUAAACUACAAACAGGCACAUCCGGGGCAGGUGGUGGUCAGUGAAAAGAAGAAAUAAGGAAAACAUUUUAAAAUUGUUUUGAUGAAGCAAUUGGGUUAUUAGCUUCCAAUAGAACUUUUGACAGCGACUUGGGCUCAUUCCAUGCCACGACACAAGAGAAUCUAAAUUAUAUUUACUUAAAACACCGUGAUAAUGGCUAAUUUUGCAGCAUAAGUUGACCAACACUUCCUGGAAUAUUGUUACAAGUUGAGGUGCAUCCAUGUAGUUUAGACAUAGGACUUUUUGUAAGCGGGUUCAUGUGCUGUGCAUUACCCAGAUAUGCCUAACCUCGGGGGGGAAGUUACGAUAUUAGCCUCAGUUAAAAUAUUUUAGAUAUAAAUACAAGUGGUUGCAAGUUGGAACCCAGAGCCAGAAGAAAGAAAUCAGGCUGCAGAGUGGAGACUGGAGAGUAACUCUUGGGUCUUGGCCAUUCUCCCCUAUCCUUAUCCCAAGUCAUAAAUGGCUUCUGCCAAAGGCACAUGGAUCAAGGUUUGCUUUUAUUACUCUUUCCAUAUUCUGCUCUGAUAUUAUUUUCUGCAGACCCAACCGAAUUAUCUAUAAUUGGUUGGUUGUCUAUUUUGAUUAUCGUUCAACUGCCGCUGCUGGAUAAUUAUUACAGGUAGUGGGUUUGGUUUUCUUCAUUCCGUUUAGGGAAUGCUUGUAAAUUUCUUGGAAGCCUGCCUAUCUAAAAGUCAUCAAGAGUUAAUGGAGAGUCAAUUCUUAAUUCAUUUACAGAUCAUUUUGAUUUCUUCAAAAUGGAAAAUGACAAAAUUAUUUGGUUUGCUGACACGCGAUCGAGAAUGGUUUUUAUUAUCCCAAAUUGACUACAAAUCAGUCAAUUUUGUACAUGUAGUUGUUCAAUAUUAGCAUUUUUGGUUGUGAUCUUCGUUUUUCAGCUUGACCAAAAGGGUUCCGGGCCUGGAGCCAGAAGCUCGCAUGCAAUUACCAUAGUAGGACAAAAGGUCUAUGCUUUCGGGGGCGAGUUCACACCACGUGUCCCGGUUGACAACAACCUCCAUGUCUUCGACCUCGAAACCCUAACAUGGUCUGUGGCCGAUGUUACUGGGGACGUCCCUCCGCCACGCGUCGGUGUCACAAUGGCUGCGGUUGGACAUACCAUCUAUAUGUUUGGUGGUCGGGAUGGUACACACAAGGAGCUCAAUGAGCUGUACUCUUUUGACACGCGUACAAACCAGUGGACCCUAUUAUCUAACGGUGAUGCUGGCCCCCCUCAUAGGAGCUACCACUCAACGGCCGCUGAUGAUCGACACGUGUACAUCUUCGGCGGUUGUGGUGUUUCAGGCCGGCUUAAUGAUCUAUGGGGUUUUGAUGUUGUUGAUAGAAAAUGGAUCCAAUAUCCAUCGGCAGGGGAGAACUGCAAGGGUAGAGGUGGGCCCGGGUUGAUAGUGACCCAGGGGAAGAUAUGGGUUGUGUAUGGUUUUGCUGGAGUGGAAGUGGAUGAUGUGCAUUGCUUUGAUCCAGCCCAUGCACAAUGGGCCCAGGUAGAGACGAGCGGCGAAAAACCAACAGCUCGGAGCGUAUUUUCUACUGUUGGGAUCGGAAAACACAUAGUCGUCUACGGCGGAGAAGUAGACCCCAGUGACUUGGGCCACCUUGGGGCCGGAAAAUUCGCCGGUGAACUUUACUCAUUGGACACUGAGACAUUGGUGUGGACACGGUGGGAUGAUGGGCCCGGCUCAGAUCAUCAUCCCGGGCCUCGCGGAUGGUGUGCAUUUGCUGGUGGGCUUAGGGGUGGAAAACAUGGACUACUGGUAUACGGUGGCAAUUCUCCAAGUAAUGAUAGGCUUGAUGACAUUUACUUCUUUACUCCUUGCUUGGAUGGGAUUGAAGAUUAAUCAUUUUGAUAAUGAUGGUGAUGUAAUUAUGGCAAUAUGCGUAUGAGAGAAAUCGUGGAGUGUGUGUGUUUGUGUAGAGCAAGUCCUUGAGCGGUGAAUAAAUAAAUAUUAAGGCAGAUAAGAACUGAGAAGUUAUAAUGUUACAUGCAAUCAUGAUGGGUGUGUGUAAUAUAUGUAGCUGUUUACUACUUCUUUCUCAACGAAGUGAUAUCAGUUGUGUGAAUUCUCCCAAGACCUUGAUGGAAAACGUUUGAAUAGAUCAACCGAUGUAGCUAAACUUGACAAUUAAUGUACAUUUACAAUGAUUCCACUAGUGAAUUUAGAAACUUAGUUCAUUGUUAGUAAAAAAUUAAUAAUUUAUGAAAUUGACCGUUAUAUCUAAAUUUCUUUGUACUCAAAACAAUAUUUUCUAAAAGAUAGAGAAACUUUUUUGUUAAGCGGGGUCAAUUGCCCACACUACCUUCCAUGUAAAUCUAUACUUGAAUCUGGGUGCUUUAAAAUUAUUGAGUAUAUUAGAAUAUUAUUAGGCAAUGAUAUCUAGUCUCAUAUUCAUAUAUAUAUAUAUUUUGGUACAUAGGGAGCUCCCAAAGAGGGUUAAGACGUUACUGGACGGGGAAUAGACAACCCCAUACGUAUCAUUCCGGACAAAAGGAUUAAUAAAGGCUGGUGGGGAGCUAAAAAUAUGGAGGCCCUCGUAUUCACAUUUUAAACACAAAGAUAUUAGACAAGAACACUCCAGAUACACAUAUAAUAGAGUGAAAUUACUAAUGGUACCUCUAAUUAAGAUACUGCAAGUGAUUAUACAGCGUCUAGGUAGAUAUCUACUCUUCUGAACAAAGCCUGAUAAAUGUUGUGAAUUCUCUCCGGAAUUGAUCUAAUUAAGUACAAGCCGGGCUAUUGUAAAUUUGUGAUAAGUUGUGUGCAUGGCUACUGUUUCCUUGAUCACCUCCAUUGCGUGCCCAGUACUUGUCCAAUGACUAGUUGACAUUGUUUGUUAUGAAAAGUUACUAAGCUGCUAAAGAAUGGUUGGUCGAAUUAAUUAGGAAAAUUUACAUAAAUAGCCUAAAAUUUUUAAAAUUUUUCAAAAUCAGCCAAUUUAAUUUUUUAUAUUAUGACUAGGAAAUUAUAUUUUUUUAAAACAUAUUUACCGUUAUUACUCUCAACAAAAUACCAUACAAGUACCACUAAGUAUCAAAAACCCCACCACUCUCAACAAAUUAACGAAUUCAUGAAACAAUAUGGGCGAUAUUUUAAAUGUUGCUUUCUAAUAAUGUGGGUUCAACAAAGUACCAUACGAGUACCACUUUUAGAACAAUCAAAUUUCUAGUAAAAAUGAAGGAGGGGAUGGGAAAAAAAAUAUUCGAUAAACACUAAUAACAAGAACAACAACCAACAACAACAAUAUUGGAUGCUUGCCGCAAGUGGGUCCCAUUGAAAUACCAACAUAAAACAAUAUAAAAUAACGUAAGUACAUGCAUUGGUGCAUAACCUUAAUUAAUACAAACCUUAGUCAUUUCACGUAAAGUGAUAUGUAUUAAAGAAAGCACAAACAAAUACAAGAACGAGCACAACAGAGCUUCACGUAAGAUAAGAACAGAAAGCAAUAAACGUACGAAACAUUUAUUUUAUUUUUUUGGAAAUAACAUAAUUCAUUUCUUUAUCAAGUAAAUGAAGAGAACUGUGUAAGCUCCUAGCCCCAUUUCCAAAUGUGCACUUAUCUUGAUUGUAAAUCGAUGGAACAAAUCAUCCAUGAUUGCACUUCCAAAAUGAUUGGCCAGAAGGGACUCUGAGACUGCUCUUAUAUUAUCUGCCACGUUCUUGGCUCUUGCGUGCUCGUUUAACUCCAAGCCUUUGUUAUUGUUCUCAUAGCCUACUGACCAACUUAUAUGCGACGUUUCAAGCUGAUGGAUGUUAAAGGAUCCUUCUCUUUCAAUUACUUGUCUUACUUCUUCAACACAAGGGUUAUACAUCGGAAAAUGAAAUGGCUCCAAUUUUGAUACUUCAAUCAAACCCUAAAUAAGUUCAAAAGAAAGAGUAAAUCUCUUUAAAAUAUAUAUAAUUUUUUCACACACAUACAAAUGUCUGAGCUAGAGAUGUGAAACAUAAUGAUUGAUUUUUACAAGUGCAUAUCAUAAUUACUUUGUUACAAUAUAACAUCUUUAGUGAGAAUUCACCUAAUAAUUUUCAUGUAAGAGAAUAUAUAUAUAUAUAUAUAAUAUAGUGGUAUGUUUGUGUUCAAAAAGGGGAGAGAGAAGAUACCUCAUAGACCAUGUCAUUUAACACCAUUCCCAUCAACUCGAAAACACCAGUAUGGUAUUUAUCAUUACCUAUAAAGUUAAGAACCAUACGGCCUUCAGUUUUUAACUCUUCCGAUCGAAAUUUGAGAAAUGAUGUGAAAUCAAUCUCAAAUUGAUCCAAGUAUGCUUUAUGCACACUGAAAGGGCUACAGGUUUUUGCUACGCAGACAUCCCUUUUAUUUAAUAAAGGAAUUCCACAUUCACUUACUAGCUCUUUGGGCAUCUGUUAAAACAUAAAAUUGACGUAUUAUAAGAAUAUGAUUUUGUACACUAUUUUUUUAAAUUUUUAAUUUUUUUAUUAUCUUUAAAAGAAUAAAUGGGACGGGUUCGUUUACCCGAGAGAGCCAGUGAAGACAGAAAGAAGAGUAGACCAAGUUUAGGAAACACGGAGGAAAUAGCCUUCCAUGGAAAGAUCCAGGGGCUGCAGCAAUGAAACAUGAACCAAAAUCGUCAUGGCCCCUCUCUGUCUUCAAUCUCUCAUAAAAGCUUGGAAGAGAUUUGGAAACGGUAUUGAAAUCAUUUCCAGGAAGAUCAUUGAGAAAAGCAUGCAGUAUUGGUGGCUUAUGUUUCAAGCGGCUGCAAAUAGUGUCCAGUGCCUCUAUAACUUGCAAUGUUGGCAAAAAUGCAUUAGGCCCUGAAGAACACCCCAUAUCUGUAAAUCUGAUGCAAUCUGGGAAGCCAUUGCAAUACAAAUCAAACAAGCUUUCAUGCAGUAGGGGCUUUGUUUUCAAGGUUGCCUCCCUCUGAACAAAAGAAUGGAAAAGAUAAGAAAAUUUAUAAACAGAAGAAAUUAAAGUGUGAACAUCAAGAAAGAGGGAAAGUGAGAUUGAAGUUUAUAAAGUGACCGAUGGCGCUGAGUUGUUUGCAUAGCUGUUAUCUCCUUCUCCUCCAUUCAUGAACAGAACUUGUUCUACUUGCAUGGCUCCAUUUUUGCUAGAACCUUGCCCUAAUUCCAUGCUUCUCAUCUGAGUGAAUGAUCUUCGUCGUGUCCCUUGCUCUAGUUCUAAGCCACUUACGGUUUAUAUACAGAAAUCAAUGGAAUUUAAUGGGACUCUCAUCUAAAUUUUUCCCUCGAAAAAUAAUUAGUUUCAGUUUCACUCGUAACCGGCUACCCCUCAUGUACUAGAUGACAAAAUAAGAAUAGCAUUAUUGUGCUUAAUUUUUAGAAGGAAAAGUGUUAAUGUUUUACCAUCCUUUGAGGAUGUUUGCUUUGAAAAAAAAAAGGAAACGAAAGAAAAGAAAAGAAAAUUGUACCAUCCAUAAAAUUAUUUUAAUAUCCUCUUCAAACCAAAAGUUAAGAUUGGGCUAUUUUUAAAAACCUCACCUGAGGUUUGAUAUAAUUUCAGUUAGAUGGUGAAAUUGAUUGUAUUUUCACUUACCUCCCCUCCCGUUAGUAUACAUACGCGUAUAACAUUAGUAUUUGAGGGCAAAAAUGUAAAAAACAUGCUAAAAAUCUAAAAAAAUCAAGUAACAAUAAAAAAAUGGUUUGAAAUUCAUUGGAUAAUUGUAUUAUUCGAUUACACACAAUAUCUAUUGUGUAAAAGAGUUAAUUUCUCUUUCUCCAGCAUAAAAAAGCAAUGGAGAUUUCUUUCUCUCACAUUAACAAUCAAAGCAUUUUUCACUCGACUCCCCUAUUCUCAGUUGCUGGAAUAAAAAGAAAUAAACACAAAGAGCAUAUAUAACCCAUGAAGAAGACAAACAUGGUGGUCAGAGAAGGCGACCGACCGGUGACGAUCGACAGCGGUCGGGAUAUGCCACUGGUAUUGAAGUUUGUAAGAGGUUAAUUACUUUAUCAAAGUCUAAAAUUUUUAAAUACCUUUGAUUUUCUUGUUUUUGGAGAUUUUAUAAGUGGUUGUUGGUUGUGUUUGAUUUGUCUUGUUUAUGGGUUGGGUGGUUGUUGGUUGUGUUUGAUUAGAUUUUAUAAGUGGUUGUUGGUUGUGUUUGAUUUGUCUUGUUUAUGGGUUGGUGGUGAAAAAAUUGAUUAAAAGGAGAAUGGGUUCAGACAUAUGUGGCCAUAAGUUGAAAAAAAUUGUUAUUAGUUUUUUUUAUGUUUGUGAUUUACACCAUACAUAGUGUAAUAAAGUAUAUAAAGCCAAUAAUUUGUUAUUAUUAUGCAAAUGAGUAUGCAAAACAGAAGUAGUCUUAGUUGUAAUUUUUAUUUUUCUGACCAAAGUUUGCUCAAGUUGAUAUGUUUAUGAAUUUGCAUUGUUUUUGUAUGUCUAUCGCACAAAUACAGUUCCUGCGAUUUUAAGCGACAGGGCCUGUCCCCCAUGCGACAGACUCACGUUGCACGAACACAGUUUUUGUGUUUUUGGACGACAACGUUGUCGCCCGUGCGACGGCUUAGGUUGCCCGAAUUCAGCUUCUGUGUUUUUGGGCGACAUGAUAGUAUUAUGGUGCAACAAGCAUGUCACACUAAAAACACAAUUUGUGUUUAAUAUUAAUUCAAAAUAAAAAUAGUACACACACACACACAUAUAUUAUCAUCACAAUUAUUAUUAAUAUCUUUAUUAAAAUGUAUUACUAUUAUCAUUAUUUUUCUUUAUUAUUGUAAUUGUUGUUGUUGUUUAGUAAUGUUAUUAUUAUUAUUAUUUUUAAUUAUUACUUUGCUUUCACUUAUUAACGUGUGCAUAUUUACAUAUGAUAGGAGCGAAAGGCCAGUUGUUCCACUGGAACCUGCAGCAAAAAUGGACUAGUUUGACUUAGCAAACGAGAAUGAGUUUGCUCUCCUUGAUUUGAAUUAUGAGGUUCACAUUGAGCAAGUGACGGCAAUAGAAGAUUCUCUUGAGAGGAUGCCGGCAAAUUAAGAAGUCGUAUCAUCUUUUUGUACUCAGUCAUUGAUACAAGAUUAAGUUUUUGUAUAUUUUGUAUAAAUGUGAUACUAACAAACUCACAUUAUAGUGACAAUGACAUGUAUAAAGUAUAACUCAGCUAUCAUAGCACACUGUUAGUGUAGUUGUUAUUUUUGUUAUUUUUGUGUAUAUGGGUGGUUACCGGAUGUAUAGGCUGAUGAAAUUCAGUCAAUUUGUGACUGUCACCAAUUGUAAGCUGCGGAAAUGCACAUGUGACUAUAAUUUAAAUUAUGGUGCCAUUUUACUUAGUGUUAUUUUCCAAUUCAAUUAACUCCUACUAAUGUUUUUUUUUCCUCUCGGUACAAAUUUAAAUGUUUGUUAUUUGUUAUUUGUGUUGCUGGUUUGAUGACAUAUAACUUGAUGGUUUGGAAUUUACUUAUUUCUUUAAACAAGUAAAAUAUUAGUGGUUUGGUGGUGAUGGAAUCCCUUAACAUAUUUUGGAGACUGGUAUAGUCUAUUGCUGAGAGAAGUAAAUUAUUUUUUAGUGAUUUUUGAUUUCACGUGUUAGUUAAACAAAUUUUCUGUAAUUUGGGGAGACAUGUACCUGUACCCCGAGAGACGGUGCCUGUCACUCUAAAUCACAAGCACUUGUUGCGAUAGGCCCUGUCGCGCAUGCAAUUUUCCAUAAAUGUAAAAUACCCUCUUAAGCUAGUUGUUGUAAACUUUUCAUGCUAGAUAAUGAGCUUACAAAAUAGGACUUCGCAUGAAUGCACCAUCAACACCUUAAUCUACCUAAAAUGAGACAAACAAACCCCAAGAGGCAUUUUGUCGAGCACCUCAUGUGCCAUUUAUUAACUACCAAUUUCAGUAAACCAUUUUUAAUAUUUACACACCAAUCAAUCCUAAUGCUCAUCUAUAAUCAUUUAUAUACCCAUUUGUCAUCAAUCAAUCUUAGGAAAACGAAAAACAAAAAGAAUUUACAAUAUAAGGCUUGCCAAAAUUACCGAAAAUUAACUUGAUAUAUUGCGGCCAAAAUGGCAGAAGUAGAGCCACGUGCUGCCGGAGAUCAACUUGCUGUCAAACGCAUGUCCAACUGCCGUCCCCUGUUGCCGGAAAACUUAAGACCUAGGUUUAAUUUGGAGAGAAGAGAAGGUAUAUAUUUGGCAAGCUAUUUUCGUCGUACCCUUACUUUGUUGGCGCCAAAAUUUUUGGUUGAAUAAUUAGUUUGGAUAUUUCAGUCAUUUCUCAAGUCAACUAACAGUCAAGUUGUAUGUAUACUAACGACAAGGGAGGUAAGUGAGAAUACAAUCAAUCUCACCAUCUAAUUGAAAUUAUAUCAAAUCUCAGGGGAGGUUUCAAAAAAUAACCCGGAUGAGAUUAUAAUUUUAUUUUUGAAUAAAAUUACACUAAGAGAAAAAUUAAAAAAUCUAUUUAGAAUUCCACUCUUCAAAGUUAUUAUUUUAUCCCCUUAUUUUUCAUCAAUGAAGUUCGCGAUCACAUCACACGACAGUGACAUUUAGCCAGAUGAGGCCGGGAGGCUUUUGAUUUGAAAGAAAUAAUAUCCAGUAGGCACUAACAAUUAUUAAUUAGAUUAGGAUCCACUUCUUCUCCUACUAAUUACUCAAACUAAGAAAAAGUGGAAGGCUUCCCAUCUCAAAUCUGAGUGUGUGCAUGCCUAUAUGAAGAUAAUUAAUUAAAAACAUAUUAAAAGUUCUUAAACAAAACAGUGGCCUUUUAAUUUGUACUUUUUCUUAGUGCUAACCUUGGCUGGAUCACUAAAUUUCACCGGUCGCACAGCAAAUGACAUUUUCAAUGGUUUCACAAUAUAACAUAAGUUCCUAACACAUCAACAGUUGUGGUUGGCAAAUGCAUUUUCUUAGAUAGUUUAAUUAACACGUCUCAAUAUCUGUUAUGUUUGAUUGAGACUUUGAGACUUCGCUGCCAACACUCUAACAAUAAAUGGUUUUGGAAUCGGUGCUUGAUAUAUUUGGGAUUGGAUAUCGACGUAAUAUUAGGUAUGAAAAAGCGUACUUCCACCCGGCCCUUAAUUACCUAAUAUAAUGAGCCCUUACGGGGAUUUUUGCUAUGCCCAUUCUUAUAUAGGUAGAUUGUUAAUUUCCAGUUAACAAUUUUGGUUACAAAUUAUAAUCAAACACGUAUGAUGAAAAUGGCCACAGCCCACCCACAUGUUCAGUCUCUGUUUUUGCAAAAAUAGUUGUUCAUAUGCCAUUGACAGGCGUUGUCUUUACUUUCACUGCGAGCGCGAGAGAUAUUUUGCUUCAUCAAAUUCAAUAGCCCUUCAAUACGCCGAAUUUAAAUUAGUCGAGUCUCAAUAUAGUUUUUCAAUACCAAAUUAUAUAGAGUUGGACCAUUGGCACCCCUCUAAUCUCUUCAUAAGAUUCUAUUUUUAAUUAUUUUUAUUUUAUUUUCGAAAAUGCCCCUUUUUUAGAUACACUUUUUUAAGUUUUCAAUUUUCAUUUGAUUUGUUUUAUUGUUAAAACUCAAAGUAUUAUUGUGCUAUCUUUUUCAUUAUUUUCAAUUUUAUUAUUACCCUACACACAAAUUAAAAAGUUAUAUGGGUGAUAAGUUUUUUAGUGUUAAUCAUUGGUUGAAAUAAUACCAAUUUCAAAUUAUAAUAUCAAAGCAAUUUUAAGUAUAAAAAUAUUUAAUAAAUAAGGAAUCAAAAGAGAACAAUAGAUUAUCCUAAAUUUGUACAAUUUAUUUUCAUUAAAUAGGAAGUAACAUAUAUAUAUUUUUUUAAAGGAUUGAUUAUGAAUUAAGUAGUUUGCUGGAAAAAAAAAUUAUAUGUGUUUAAUUUUCAGUUAUCUUUAGUUGUAAUUUUAUUUAAAGGGGAUUUUAUAAGAAUAAUGCAGGGGUGCCAAUAGCUCGGCUCAAUUAUUUAAUACAUUGAAAAAUUCAAUAGCCCUUCCCUUUUACUUCGACAUUGGAAUUUUCUUGGCCUUCGUGGGCUGUUGAAUUUGACUCUGUUAUUUAAUAUGGGAUUUGCUGAUUUUCUUUUGGUCUUUCUGAUUAUAGGCCUCCUUUGGCCUCGUUGAUUCUGGUCUAACAUCAAUUGAGUUACCCAAUUUUGGUAUAAAAGGUACACGCUCUGAGAAAAGAGUUUUAUCAACUACUAAAAAAUAAUUUUACUUGGUCCCACCCGUUAUCAAUGGGAUCAGGGAUACUUUCAGCAAGAAAUAUAUCGAAGAGUCAGUGCUGGACUGACUCAUGCUCCUUUAGGUUAUUUAAAUUCUGUGGGUGGAGUAGCUACCGAGAUCAAUGCAGUUAAUUAUGUCUCUCCGAGAACUUGGUUAGAAGUUAUUAAAUCCAUCACUCAAUAAAUUACUGACACAAAAUGUAGAGAUUCUUAUUGGGAUGUAUGCCAUUAUUGCUCGAUUAUAUUCAUACUAUAUAUAUAUAGUACGAAUAUAGACCAGAAUUCUGAACUUCACCAAUGUCCAAUAAACUAUUAAGAUAUAUAGUUUAAUACAUUGAAGUACAUGGUAAGUAAAAAGACAAAAAUUAUAGAUUCAAUACUUGAAAUAAUACCAAUUUCAAAUUAUAAUAUCAAAGCAAUUUUAAGUAUAAAAAUAUUUAAUAAAUAAGGAAUCAAAAGAGAACAAUAGAUUAUCCUAAAUUUGUACAAUUUAUUUUCAUUAAAUAGGAAGUAACAUAUAUAUAUUUUUUUAAAGGAUUGAUUAUGAAUUAAGUAGUUUGCUGGAAAAAAAAAUUAUAUGUGUUUAAUUUUCAGUUAUCUUUAGUUGUAAUUUUAUUUAAAGGGGAUUUUAUAAGAAUAAUGCAGGGGUGCCAAUAGCUCGGCUCAAUUAUUUAAUACAUUGAAAAAUUCAAUAGCCCUUCCCUUUUACUUCGACAUUGGAAUUUUCUUGGCCUUCGUGGGCUGUUGAAUUUGACUCUGUUAUUUAAUAUGGGAUUUGCUGAUUUUCUUUUGGUCUUUCUGAUUAUAGGCCUCCUUUGGCCUCGUUGAUUCUGGUCUAACAUCAAUUGAGUUACCCAAUUUUGGUAUAAAAGGUACACGCUCUGAGAAAAGAGUUUUAUCAACUACUAAAAAAUAAUUUUACUUGGUCCCACCCGUUAUCAAUGGGAUCAGGGAUACUUUCAGCAAGAAAUAUAUCGAAGAGUCAGUGCUGGACUGACUCAUGGUAGCUACCGAGAUCAAUGCAGUCCUUUAGGUUAUUUAAAUUCUGUGGGUGGAGUAGCUACCGAGAUCAAUGCAGUUAAUUAUGUCUCUCCGAGAACUUGGUUAGAAGUUAUUAAAUCCAUCACUCAAUAAAUUACUGACACAAAAUGUAGAGAUUCUUAUUGGGAUGUAUGCCAUUAUUGCUCGAUUAUAUUCAUACUAUAUAUAUAUAGUACGAAUAUAGACCAGAAUUCUGAACUUCACCAAUGUCCAAUAAACUAUUAAGAUAUAUAGUUUAAUACAUUGAAGUACAUGGUAAGUAAAAAGACAAAAAUUAUAGAUUCAAUACAAUAUAAUUUGUCUUGUAAUUUACUGAAAUCUGAAUUUUUUGUCUUUUACCCUGUCCGUUAUUUUAAAGUAAGGGAUUCCAUUAUUAGAAGGGAACUAUAUAUUUAUAUAUAUUAAUGAAGAUGAGAAGUUAUGCGCGGGUGCUCUCAAUAAUAUUGAGGGUAUUAAUUCAAGUUCUCAUGGAUCCUCUUUUCCCUUUCCACAAUUAAAAAAACAGGAAAUAUGCAUGGUAGUUUUACAUGCAAGGUUAUUAGUGAAAGAAAUAAAUUUUUUAUCCAGUCCCAACAAAUUUUUAAAUUUUAUUAUAAAUGAAUGCAUAGAAAGUUUCAAUAAAUAUAAGUCUUGAGAGUAAUAUAUAUGUGUAGGUUGUAAUCAUUAAAAAUAAAUAUAAGCUAUUAACUUUAGUUUUAAUUUGGUCUAUCAAGUGCAUUGUUGAAUUUAAUUAUAAAUGGCACUGAGAACAAAUUUUCACGAUGAACUGAAUAAAAUCUUCUCCAAAGGACCAAGGCUAUCAAAGAAAUGAUAGGUUAAUUUCUUCUAUAUAUUAUAAAUUAAAAUGGAAAAAACUAAAACAUUAAGUGGGAAUAAGUAAUUGUCAAAAAAUUUUAAGGGUGGGGAUAUUUCCGCUCCAAUAUUUUUGUAUAUCCAUCCCACUUCUAGAAAAUAAUUGCAGUGAAUUCACAACAUUCUCAAAAAAUAUAAAUCAAUAAAAGUUUUGUUUAUUUAAUCAAGUCCUUCCAUUAACUUUUUUAUUAGGUUUCUUUGACCAUAUUUAAUCAUAAACUUUAAUAUAAGUUUUAUUUUACUAUUUUAUUAUUAUGAUAUAAAAUAAUCAAAUUGUCCCAAAAAACAAGAGUUACUGUAUCUAAUAAUUUAGGUAUUUAAUUUUGUGACUUAUAAUACAUUUUUUUAAAUGAAAUCUAAUUAUUAUUUUCACCACACUUCCAUGUAAAUGACAUAUAUUUGACUGUCCAAUAAUUUACAUGAGUAUUGUGCCAUAAAGACACCAAGUUAGUUUAAUUAAAAUUUAAUAAUCAUACUAAUAAAGUAGUAAUAGAAAAAAUGAGUUUGGUAUAAAAUUAGAAAAAUAUUGAAGUUAAAGUAAAUUCUUGGUAGUGUUGCCUUAUAAGGCUAAAAUAGUCAAUUUAAACUUCUGCCAGAGCAGUCUUUAUAAUCAAAUUCAAAUAUAAUAAAAAAAUCAAAUUAUGAUAAAUUCAGUUAAUUAAUUCUCCAAUGUUCUUCUUUAUUUGAAAUUUUUUAAAAAUAAUUUACACUUUGUAAUUAUUUUUAAAACAUGGGGUGGGUUUACAGAAAUUUUGGAAUGGAGAUAUCAUCACCAUAAAUAGAAACAUUGAAUACUUGCAGCCCUUGGGUUCCAUUGAAAUACCAACAUAAAACUGUUGAGUUGAUUUUGUUACUACUUAGUCAAAAUAAAAUUCCUAUUGUUAAAGGUGACGUUAUUUGUUGAUUUUAGUCUUCCAUGUCUUUAGGAGUCAGUUAAACUUGGUUCCUGUUUUGUUGCUUGGUUCGUUAUGUAAGGCUAUUUAAUAGCCAAAGUUAUUCUCAUUUUAAUAACAGUUAGAAUUCUUCUAUACUCUGUAGCUUUUAACAUUUGGUAUCAGAGCUUUUCUCCAGUGGGCCUGAGAAUAGAAAGCUGCAGCUUUUGAGUGACUUGUAUUCAAGAAAAACUAGAGAAGAAAGAGAUGGCAAGUGAAGGGAGUUUUGUUCAGCCUGCGAUUCCACGCUUCGAUGGUCAUUACGACCAUUGGAGCAUGCUAAUGGAGAACUUCCUUAGGUCCAAAGAAUAUUGGAACCUUGUGGAGAUUGGUUUUGUCGAGCCUGCAGACGGAGCUGCUGUAACGGAAGCACAGCAAAAGAGCCUCGAUGAGAUGAAGUUAAAGGAUAGGAAAGUGAAGAAUUAUUUGUUUCAAGCAAUUGACAGGACCAUCCUUGAAACAAUUUUAAAGAAGGACACCUCAAAACAGAUAUGGGACUCGAUGAAAAAGAAAUUUGAAGGUAAUGCUCGAGUGAAACGUUCCAUCCUUCAAGCACUAAGGAGAGAUUUCGAGACCCUUGAAAUGAAACCAGGUGAAAUUGUUAUUGAUUAUUUCUCAAGAGUCAUGUCAGUAGCUAAUAAGAUGAGAAAUUAUGGAGAGGAUAUGCAAGAUGUUAAAGUGGUAGAGAAGAUUCUUCGAUCAUUGACUGAGAAGUUCAAUUAUAUUGUUUGUUCAAUUGAGGAGUCAAAGAACAUUGAUCAGCUUUCAAUUGAUGAGCUAGAAAGUUCACUAAUUGUUCAUGAGCAGAAAUUUCAUAGGAAUAAUGGAGAGGAACAGGCGCUGGAGAUAACACAUGAGAAUAGUUCAGGAGCAAGAGGUCGUGGUAGAGGAGGUUUUCGAGGAAGAGGAAGAGGACGGGGCAGACAACAAUUUGACAAAUCCACAGUGGAGUGUUAUAAUUGUCACAAACUUGGACAUUUUCAAUGGGAGUGUCCAAGUAAUGAGAUAGGAGCAAAUUUUGCAGAGACUCAAGAAGAGAUGUUGUUGAUGGCAUGCGUAGAUGUGAACAAGGACAACAAGGAAGAUAUGUGGUAUCUUGACUCGGGCUGCAGCAAUCAUAUGUGUGGAAAAAAGGAAUAUUUCUCAGAUCUAAAUGAAAAUUUUAGAGAUUCUGUGAAGUUGGGCAACAAUUCAAGCAUGACUGUAAUAGGAAAGGGUAACAUCAGGUUACAAGUGAAUGGAACAACACAAAUUAUUACCGAAGUUUUCUAUGUACCUGAAUUGAAGAGCAACCUGUUGAGCAUUGGGCAAUUGCAAGAAAAGGGGCUUACUGUUCUGUUCCAACAUGGAAGGUGCAAGGUGUUUCAUCAUAAGAGAGGUUUGAUCAUGGAUACAAAGAUGUCUGCAAAUCGAAUGUUUAUAUUGCAAGCUAUUUCUAAACCUAUAACAUCUGUUUGUUUCAAUACAAUUACUGAGGAUCUGGUGUAGCUCUGGCACUGCAGAUAUGGACAUUUGAGUUUUACGGGUUUAAAAACUCUUCAACAAAAGGCAAUGGUGAAUGGUUUACCACAACUUAAAACUCCUUCAAGGCUAUGCAAGGACUGUUUGGUGGGCAAGCAGCACAGGGAUUCAUUUCCAAAAAGAAGCAGCUGGAGAGCUUUCCAAAUCCUUCAGUUGUUACACGCUGAUAUUUGCGGACCGAUCAAACUGAUCUCCAACAGCAAGAAACGGUAUUUACUUACCUUUAUUGAUGAUUUCAGUAGAAAAACAUGGGUUUUCUUUUUGACAGAAAAUCCGAAGCCUUUGAUGUUUUCAAAAGAUUUAAGAUCCGAGUGGAAAAAAAGACAAACACUCCACUUCAAGCACUGCGAACUGAUCGAGGAGGAGAGUUUACAUCACAAGAAUUCAAUAAUUUUUGUGAUGCAAAUGGUAUACAGAGACAGUUGACAGCAGCAUACACACCACAACAAAACGGAGUCGCAGAACGAAAGAACAUGACCAUUAUGAAUAUGGUACGAAGCAUGAUUUCAGAAAAAAGAGUCCCCAAAACCUUCUGGCCUGAAGCAGUCAACUGGACGAUACAUAUUCUAAAUCGAAGUCCAACAUUUGCUGUGAGAAAUAUGACUCCGGAAGAAGCGUGGAGUGGAAUCAAACCUUCGGUAGAGUAUUUCAGAGUCUUUGGCUGCAUCUCUCAUGUUCAUGUGCCUGAUAGCAAACGAACAAAACUAGAUGAUAAAAGUCAGAUUUGUAUUCUGUUGAGAGUAAGCGAGGAGUCGAAGGCUUACCGGCUUUAUGAUCCUAUUUCACAAAGGAUUAUUAUAAGUCGAGAUGUUGUGUUCGAGGAAGACAAAAGCUGGGAUUGGGACAAUAAGUAUGAGGAAGCAAUUGCAUGUGAUUUGGAAUGGGGUGAUCGUGAGGAAAAAGUGGUGGAGAUCGACAGAAAUGUAGGGAGAAGUGAAUCUAAUUCUGAUGCUAAUAUUGAAGAAGGGGAGAAUUUUUCCUCUGAUUCUCCAGCCGAGGAAAGCUCACCUAGCUCGAAUGAAGGGAGAAUUAGGAGACCACCAGCUUGGAUGCAAGACUAUGAGACAGGAGAGGGACUAUCUGAAGAAGAAGUUCAGUUGGCCAUGUUUGCAACUGCUGAUCUUAUUCAUUUCGACGAUGCCGUAAAAAGCGAGAAAUGGAGGAAAGCCAUGGAUGUGGAAAUAGAAGCAAUAAAACGGAAUGAUACAUGGGAAUUGACAGAAUUACCUGAAGGUGGAAAGAAAAUUGGAGUGAAAUGGGUUUACAAAACCAAGUUUAAUGAGAAUGGUGAAGUUGAUAAACACAAGGCAAGGCUUGUAGUGAAGGGGUACUCUCAGCAACAUGGGGUAGAUUAUACAGAAGUAUUCGCACCUGUAGCACGUAUGGAAACAAUUCGUUUGGUAGUAGCUCUUGCAGCUCAAAAAGGAUGGGCUAUCUAUCAGCUAGAUGUUAAGUCGGCAUUUCUAUAUGGUGAGCUGAAUGAAGAGGUUUUUGUGGAACAGCCGCUUGAUUAUGUGAAAAAGGGUUAUGAACACAAGGUUUAUAAAUUAAAAAAAGGCACUCUACGGCCUUAAGCAAGCACCGCGUGCUUGGUAUAGCCGUAUAGAAGCUUAUUUUUUGAAAGAGGGUUUUGAGAAAUGUGACUAUGAACAUACUCUGUUCAUCAAAACAGAGAAAGAAGGGAAAUUUUUUAUUCUGAGUUUGUAUGUAGAUGAUCUCAUCUUUACGGGCAAUGAUGAAUUGAUGGUCUCAGAAUUUAAAAGUUCCAUGAAACAUGAGUUCGAUAUGACUGAUCUUGGCAAAAUGAGGUAUUUUCUUGGUCUUGAAAUCUUGCAGAAUUCAAGAGGUGUGUUUAUCAGUCAGAAAAAAUAUGCGUUACAGGUGCUGCAAAAGUUUGGGAUGGAUGGAAGCAACUCAGUUCAAAAUCCAAUUGUUCCAGGUUGUAAACUUGUGAAGGAUGAAAGUGGUGUUAAGGUUGACAAAAUUUAUUUCAAACAAAUUGUGGGUAGUCUCAUGUAUCUUACAGCUACUCGACCGGAUGUGAUGUUCGUAGUGGGUUUUAUCAGUAGGUACAUGGAGAAUCCUACUGAGCUUCAUCUCCAAGUAGCUAAAAGGGUGCUGAGAUAUUUGAAGGGAACACUUGAUUUCGGAAUUUUCUAUAAGAAGGGAGGAAAUAAUGAACUCAUUGCUUACACUGAUAGUGAUUAUGCUGGGGAUUUAGAAGAUAGAAAAAGCACUUCAGGUUAUGUUUUUUUGUUGAGCUCAGAAGCAGUAUCUUGGCUAUCAAAAAAGCAACCAAUAGUGAGUCUCUCCACUACUGAAGCUGAAUUCAUUGCUGCGGCUUCUUGUGCAUGUCAAACAGUUUGGUUGAAAAGGGUGUUGGAUAAUUUGGGUCUGAAGCAAGGUAAGACAACUAUUAUUCAGUGUGAUAGUAGUUCUGCAAUCAAACUUUCGAAGAACCCAGUAAUGCAUGGUCGAAGUAAGCACAUAGAUGUGCGUUUUCAUUUUCUUCGGGAGCUUACAAAGGCUGGUACUGUAGAAUUGGUCUAUUGCAGCACACAAGAACAAUUAGCCGAUUUAAUGACUAAGCCACUCAAGCUGGAUGUCUUCCUAAACCUGCGUGCAUCAUUAGGAGUUUGCUCUGAAACUGAUGUAAACUGAUGCAUUAGCAUUCAGUUUAAGGGAGGAAAUGUUGAGUUGAUUUUGUUACUACUUAGUCAAAAUAAAAUUCCUAUUGUUAAGGGUGACGUUAUUUGUUAAUUUUAGUCUUCCAUGUCUUUAGGAGUCAGUUAAACUUGGUUCCUGUUUUGUUGCUUGGUUCGUUAUGUAAGACUAUUUAAUAGCCAAAGUUAUUCUCAUUUUANNNNNNNNNNNNNNNNNNNNNNNNNNNNNNNNNNNNNNNNNNNNNNNNNNNNNNNNNNNNNNNNNNNNNNNNNNNNNNNNNNNNNNNNNNNNNNNNNNNNNNNNNNNNNNNNNNNNNNNNNNNNNNNNNNNNNNNNNNNNNNNNNNNNNNNNNNNNNNNNNNNNNNNNNNNNNNNNNNNNNNNNNNNNNNNNNNNNNNNNNNNNNNNNNNNNNNNNNNNNNNNNNNNNNNNNNNNNNNNNNNNNNNNNNNNNNNNNNNNNNNNNNNNNNNNNNNNNNNNNNNNNNNNNNNNNNNNNNNNNNNNNNNNNNNNNNNNNNNNNNNNNNNNNNNNNNNNNNNNNNNNNNNNNNNNNNNNNNNNNNNNNNNNNNNNNNNNNNNNNNNNNNNNNNNNNNNNNNNNNNNNNNNNNNNNNNNNNNNNNNNNNNNNNNNNNNNNNNNNNNNNNNNNNNNNNNNNNNNNNNNNNNNNNNNNNNNNNNNNNNNNNNNNNNNNNNNNNNNNNNNNNNNNNNNNNNNNNNNNNNNNNNNNNNNNNNNNNNNNNNNNNNNNNNNNNNNNNNNNNNNNNNNNNNNNNNNNNNNNNNNNNNNNNNNNNNNNNNNNNNNNNNNNNNNNNNNNNNNNNNNNNNNNNNNNNNNNNNNNNNNNNNNNNNNNNNNNNNNNNNNNNNNNNNNNAUUACUACUACUACUACUACUACUACUACUAUUACUAUGCCCAAAAAAUCAAUUUCCCUCUCAAAAAUCUUUUAUUUUUUAUGUACAUUAUAAUAUUUAUGUUUUAAAUAUUAAUUAAAUCAAAUAUGUAGAGCUUAUUAUUUUUCUUUAAACAAAAAAAUUAACAAGAUCACCUAAUUUAUUAUUAAAAUAAAAAUAAUCAAACUAAUUAAAUAAUAAAAAUAAUUAUUCAUUACUUAAUUUUAAAUUAAUGGAAAUUAUUCCAAUAAUAAUUCUUUAAAAUAUUCCUACCGAACGUAUUUUAUUUUUUUCAUUUUUAAAAUUAUUUUUGAAAAUGAUACGAAACACAUUUUUAAUUUUUAUAAAUAAAUUUAAAUAACAUUUUCAUUCUCAUUUUUGUUUCAUAAAAACAAUAUUUAGAAAACAAAUACCGAGCCUAAAUGACUCCAAUUUUGAUUCUUCAAUCAGCCCCUAGUUAGUUCAAAAGAGAUAGUAAUUCUCUUUAAAGUAUAUAAAAUUCUCACACACAUAUAUAAAUUUAUGAACUAGAGGCGUGAUAAAUAAUGAUCGAUUUUUACAAGUGGACAUUGUAAUUGCUUUGUUACAAAAUAACAUCGUUUAGCAAUAAUUCACCUAAUAAUUUUCAUGUAAGAAAGUAUAUGUGUGUGUGUAUAAAACUAAUAUGUAUAAAACUAACUUUGUGUAAACAUAUCUUAUUUAGAAUAUUAUACUUGUAUAUAUGUGUAACAAACAGAAAGAGGAUACCUCAGAGACCAUGUCGUUUAACACCAUUCCCAAAAGCUCGAAGAUACCAGUAUGAUAUUUAUCAUUACCUAAAAAGUUAAGAACCAUACGACCUCCAGUCUUCAACUCUUAUGACCAAAAUUUGAGAAAUGAUGUGAAAUCACUCUCAAAUUGAUCCAAAAACACUUUAGGCACACUAGGAGGGUUAUAAAUUUUUGCUAGGCAAACAUCCCUUUUAUUCAAUAAAGGAAUUCUACGUUCACUUACUAGCUCUGUGGGUACCUAUUAAAGCAUAAAAUUGAGGUAUUAAUAAGAAUAUGAUUUUGUACACUAUUUAUAUAAGUUUUCAAUUUCUUAUUAUCUUUAAAAAGAAUAAAUGGAACAGGUUCGUCCACCCGAGAGAGCCAGUGAUGGCAGAAAGAAGAGUAAACUAAGUUUAGGAAACACGGAAGAAAUAGCCUUCCUUAGAAAGGACCAGGGGAAAAAUGAACCAAAAUCUUCAUGGCCUUUCGUUGUCUUCAAUCUCUUAUAAAAGCUGGGAGAGAUUUGGAAACGGUAGUAAAAGCAUGCAAUAUUGGUGGCUUAUGUUUCAAGCGGCUGCAAAUAGUGUCCUGUACCUCUAUAGCUUGCCAUGUUGGUAAAAAUACAUUAGGCCCUGAAGAACAACCCCAUAUCUGUAAGUCUGAUGCGAUCUGGGAAGCCAUUGCAAUACAAGUCAAAUGAGCUUUCAUUUAGUAAAGGCUUUGCUUUCAAGGUUGCUUCCCUCUGAGAAAAAAAGGGAAAAGAAAAGAAAAUCUAUAAACAGAAGAAAUUAGAGUGUGAAGCAUCGAGAGAGAGAGAGAGAGAGAGAGAGAGAGAGAGAGAAAGAGAGAGAGAGAUUGAUGUUUAGAUAUUGACCGAAUGAGCUGAGUUGUUUGCUUAGCUGUUAUCUCCAUUCUCCUUCAUUCAUGAAUUGUCAAAAAAAAAAAAUGAUUUGGAUUUCGUCCCCUCUACUUUUUAAUGAAAAAACAUAUUGAAAUAUAAUUGAAGUUGCUGUAUAGUUUUGUUUUGCUACUCUACAAUCUCUUCAAAGAAAAUAAGCAAAGCCAACAAAGAAAUAUUUGGAAAUUGACAACAGAUACAUUAAUGCAACCCGAAUUGUCAAAAGAUGUCAUUAUAUUUUUAAGAAUAAUUAUAGAAUCACAAGCAUUUUUACGGACAAUCUUUUAUAGAUUGGGUCAAGAUGAUCGGUCAACAAAAAUAUUAAAUUUUAUUUUCCACAUUCAUUUGUAUAAUAAUAUUUAUACGAACAUAUUUAUUAUUGUAGAAAAUAGGGUAAACGCUCGUUUCAUCCCUAUAUUUUAAAAUUAGUGCUUAUUUAGUCCAUAUAUUUUUAAAAAUACCUCAAAAUAUCCCUACCCUUAAAUUAUUGACAUCCCUGCUGUUACUUUUUAUUUUUUUGACUUGCUUUUACAAUAUUAUCCUUUUACAAUAAUGUUUCUUUUUAUAAAAUUAAUAAAAAGAAAAAAAAUUAAAUUAUCAAUUUAACCCCAAAAAUAAAAUAAAAACAAAAAGAAUAUAUAUUAAUUUUUGUGAAAGCUUACAUGCGUCCAAAAAAUUUUUAUUGUAAAAAUAAUUAAAUUACCUUUUUUUGGACAUUAGUAAUAAAAAAAUUAAUAUAUUAAUUCUUCAAUAGUGUGUUACAAAUAAGUAACAUAUAUUAAUUUUGUUUCUAUUUUAUUUUUUGAGAUUAAAUUGAUAAUUAAUUUUUUUUCUUUUUACUAAUGUCCAAAAAAAUAUUGUAAGAGAGUAAUAUUGUAAAAAUUAAGCGAAAAGCAACAAAAAGUAAGAGGAAAUGUGUUAAUAAUUUAAUGUCGGGGAUGUUUUGAGGUAUUUUUAAAAAUAUAGGGACUGAACGAGCACUAACCUUAAAAUAUAAGGACUAAACGAGAUUUUACCCCAGAAAAUAUAAAGUAGUCAAUAAAGCGCUAAGUGUUACCCCCAACAAGUGUGCGUCCCCAAGAAUGGGGAGCAGGAAUUCUACUCCCAGGGUUCCAUCCCCAGGAUUGGGGCCUUAGAAAAUAUGCUCCCAGGAAUGGGGGCAGUGGUUACAGCUCUAGGAAUGGGCCCUAGAAAGUGUACUCCUCCAAGAAUGGGGAGUAGGGAUUCUACCCCAGGGUUCCACAAACAGGAUUGGGGCCUUAGAAAAUAUGCUCCUCCAAAUGGGGAGUAGAGGUUCUACCUUCAGGAAUGAAACCUAGAAGCUGUGCUCCCUUAAGAAUGGGAAGCAGAGAUUCUACCCCAGGGUUCCACCCCCAAGAUUGGGGCUCCAGAAAAUAUGCUUCCCUAAGAAUGGGAAAUAAAGAUUCUACCUCCAGGAAUGGGUCUUAGAAAGUAUGCUCCCCCAAGAAUGGGGAGCAGGGAUUCUACCCCAAGAUUCUACCCUAGGAUUGGGCGUCCAAAAAAUUUUUAUUGUAAAAAUAAUUAAAUUACCUUUUUUUGGACAUUAGUAAUAAAAAAAUUAAUAUAUUAAUUCAGCAGUGUGUUUCAAAAAAGUAACAUAUAUUAAUUUUUUUUCUAUUUUAAUUUUUGAGAUUAAAUUGAUAAUUACACUAACCUUAAAAUAUAAGGACUAAACGAGAUUUUACCCCAGAAAAUAUAAAGUAGUCAAUAAAGCGCUAAGUGUUACCCCCAACAAGUGUGCGUCCCCAAGAAUGGGGAGCAGGAAUUCUACUCCCAGGGUUCCAUCCCCAGGAUUGGGGCCUUAGAAAAUAUGCUCCCAGGAAUGGGGGCAGUGGUUACAGCUCUAGGAAUGGGCCCUAGAAAGUGUACUCCUCCAAGAAUGGGGAGUAGGGAUUCUACCCCAGGGUUCCACAAACAGGAUUGGGGCCUUAGAAAAUAUGCUCCUCCAAAUGGGGAGUAGAGGUUCUACCUUCAGGAAUGAAACCUAGAAGCUGUGCUCCCUUAAGAAUGGGAAGCAGAGAUUCUACCCCAGGGUUCCACCCCCAAGAUUGGGGCUCCAGAAAAUAUGCUUCCCUAAGAAUGGGAAAUAAAGAUUCUACCUCCAGGAAUGGGUCUUAGAAAGUAUGCUCCCCCAAGAAUGGGGAGCAGGGAUUCUACCCCAAGGUUCCUCCCCAGGAUUGGGGCCCCAAAAAAUACGCUCCCCCAAGAAUGAGAAGUAGAGGUUCUACCUCCAGAAAUGGGCCCUAGAAAGUAUGCUCCCCCAAGAAUGGGGAGCAGGGAUUCUACCCCAAGAUUCUACCCUAGGAUUGGGGCCCCAAAAAAUAUGCUCCCCCAAGAAUGGGGAGUAGAGAUUCUGCCCCCAGGAUUCCACCCUGGGGCCCCAGAAAAUAUGCGCCCCCAAGAAUGGGAAGUAGAAGUUCUACCUCCAGGAAUGAACCCCAGAAAGUGUGCUCCCCCAAGAAUGGGGAGCAAGAUUUUACCCUCAGGAUUGGGGCCCCAGAAAAUAUGUUCCCCUAAGAAUGGGGAGCAGAGGUUUCACCUCCAGGAGUGGGCCCCAGAAAAUAUACUCCCCCAAGAAUAUGGAGCAGAGGUUUCACCUCUAGGAAUGGGCCCCAGUGUGCUCCCCAAGAAUGGGAAUAAGGAUUCUACCCCAGGAAUGGGCCUAAGAAAAUAUGCAGGAAUUAUACCCUUAAGACCCCCAGAAGCCAUGCUCCCCAAGAAUGGGGAACAAGAAUCAUGUUCCCCCAGGAACAUAGAGCAAGAAUUAGGUUCCCCAGGAACAGGGAGCAGGAGUGGAGGAUGGCAAAAAUCAUGGUUCCAGACAGCCCUUGACUCAGUUCUAGAUUAUGGAUCGCACAAGAAAAGUCAAGUCCGAGUAGAGGAGCUAUCGUUGAAGGACAAUAGAAGGGCAUUGCUUGGCCUAGAAGCAAAUUAAGUAGAGUUUGACUCAGAUACAACUUAUGAAAAGGUAGAAAUACUUUGUAAUUAAAAUCCUAGAGGAUAGAGGAAAGUUAGAUAGAGUUCAAGUUAGAAAAGGACUUUAUCUAUAGAAGACUAUAAAAGCAGAGGUCUCUCAUAGUGUAAGGCAUCGAAAAAAAAAAAUAGCAAAGAGAGAGAAAGUCAAGUUGUAAGUGCGAUCUUAAUAAAAUAUUUAUCUUUCUCUACCCGUGGACGUAUGCCAAAAGCCGAACCAUAUUAAGUCUCUGUGUCUUUUCAUUAUAUCGCCCCCGCGUAAAUUAAUUUUCUAAGUUGACUAGAAAUAUGCAUCAACAUUUAUGAUUAUAUUAUUACUCUAUUUUUUAAGGGCACAAGUGUAUCUCAAUGGUGUUUAUAGAAUUAUAUAUAGAUGAUUCUUUCAACAUAUAUAUUCACAAGUAUAAUUUAUUAAAUGAUUUUAUGAUUUGUCAGGAUUAUCCUUUUGAAUAUUUCUUUUUGUAUCUAUGAAGGACACAUAUUCAUAAUAUGUAUGUUAUUUGAGAUAACCUACUAAAAGGCAAAGUUAUGAUAACAUAGUGGUUUCUUACCCCGAGUCUCCAUCAUUUUGUUAAUUCAUGGAAAAUUAUGGUGUGUUUUGUCACGGAAUGAGUAUAUUGCACAACAAACCCAUGCAGUGCUUAUGCAACUAUAGCCCAACAUUUGCAAAGUAAACCUAUUAAGCUUCUCGUCUAGUUAAAAGUAUGCGAAAUUGCUUACGAAAGAGCUAGAGAGAAAAGCGAGCAAUUGAGACAAAGAGAAUCAGUGUUAUUCACAAGAGUGUGUGCACAAGAGAGCUUGAUAGCUUGCAAGAUUACUUGCUUGAGUUGCUUGCUGAAAAUGCUAAGCGCCAUACUUUAUUUAUAAAGAAGUUUGCUUAGUUCUAUAAGGUUCUAACUCUAAAGAGUUCUCAAGACUUAGUGAGAGCUCUCGUACCUAGCAAAGCUUAGAUUGAUAUAGGAAAAUCUAUGUACAAACUAUAUGUUACAAUACUCUAGCAAAAUCUGGAGAUUUCUUAGUUAUGUACAAGUGAGAAUAUACUAGAAAAGACUAGUGAUAGAAGCUUCUAGAAUCAAGCAAAACUAACACACCUUGGCUUAUAGAUUUAACCUAUUCGGCCUAAAAUUUCAGGUGGUUCACGACAGUUUGCUACAGUUUUUGGAUUAGUGCUUUAUGUUUUAAAACAAGAAAAAAAAGAAAAAAAGAAAAGGCGUUUUGGUGGCAUUGUUUUUCUGCCUAUUUUCACGUUGUGUGAGAAUGAGUGCAACUCAUUUAAAAACUUGUCACAGUAAAUUGAAAAAUAAUAAUUUACUAUUACAUAGACAGUGUUCUAAUUCUGGGACCCAUGUUAAACAAAAGUAAAACAUACAUAAAUAGUGUGUGGGUGUAAAUUGCAUGAAUGUAACUUAUCAUUUACCAUAAAAUAUAGCUAUUUAUUUUACUGUGCGUGCACAUAAACUAUUGUUUCAACCAUUUUUUUAUUUUAUUAUUUUUAAUAAUAUAAUAUUAUUAUUUUCAAAGAACAAACAAUCAAACAUAUAUUUGAUUAAUUUUAUUUUUAAAUAUUAUUUUAAAUUAAGCUAUCAAAUAUGUUUUUUUUAUUCACCAAAAUUAAUUACUUUUAUAUCAUAAAAUAAAAUAAGUACAAAAAUAUAAUUUAAAAAAUAAUACCAAAACAAAACUUAGUUGUGUUCAAUCAAAAUCAAAUGUGACCCACGAAAUAUAAAGCAUAGCCAUUUACUUUACUGUGCACGCAUAUAAACUACUGUUUCAACAGUUUUUUUAUUUCUUAAUUUUUAAUAUGAUAUUAUUGUUUUUAACAAACAAAUAAAUAGACAUAUGUUUGAUUGAUUUCAUUUUUAAAUAUUAUUGUAAAUCAAGCUACCAAAUAUGUUUUUAUAUUCAAAAAAAUUAAUUAUUUUUAUAUUAUAAAAUAAAUACAAAAAUAUCAUUUAAAAAAUGAUACCAAUAAAGAACUAGCACGUGUUUAAUUGAAUCAAAUGUGACCCACGAAAUGUUUACUUUACUAAGCACGCAUAUAAACUACUGUUUCAAAAUUUUUUUAUUUUUUUAUUUUUGUUGUAUCAAAAUUAUAAUAAGCCUAAAAAAAAGCCCACAUGAGUAUAGGCCAAAUAAGAAGUGACCUAGGUCCAUUUUAAAUCAAACGCCUAAAGAGCAAUUUUUGGGCAAAAACGCUAAAGGUAAGUUUCUACAAAACGUGACCUAAAUCGAUUUUUUACAAAAGCGACAUAAGUCUACUCUUUAUAAAGAAGGACCUAGGUCCAUUUUAAAUAAAACGCCCAAAGGGCAACUCUUCGACAAAGCGCUAAAGGUAAGUUUCUACAAAAAGUGACCUAGAUCGAUUUUAUACAAAGAGCGACCUAGGUCCACUCUUUAUAAAGAAGGACAUAAGUCCAUUUUAAAUAAAACGCCCAAAGAGCAACUCUUUGGCAAAGCGCCAAAUGUAUAUUUCUGCAAAGAACGACCUAGGUCCACUCUUUAUAAAGAAAGACCUAGGUCCAUUCUAAGUAGAACGCCCUUCGAAAAAGUGCCAAAGGUAUGUGUCUACAAAGAGCGACUUAUGUCCAUUCAUUAUAAAGAAUGACCUAGGUCCAUUUUCUACGAAUAAUGACCUAGAUGUUCAACAAUUACUUGGAAGUAACAUUCUACGAAAGUUACAUACAUGCGAUUGCUAGGUCAUUAUAAAGAAUGACCUAGGUCCAUUUUAAAGAAUUACUUGUAACCUUCGUAGAUGUUCAGCAAUUACUAGGUGAUUAUAAAGAAUGACCUAGGUCCAUUUUCUACGAAUAAUAAUCUAGAUGUUCAGCAAUUACUUGGAAGUAACAUUCUACGAAGGUUACAUACAUGCGAAAUUCCACAAAACCAAUCCUCUUUAAAAGGAAACAACAUAAGGGCUGAAGUGCUUAAGCCCAACGAAUGUUAAGAGCUUGAAAUCAUGACAAGUGUUCAAAGAAAACUUGUCAAUGAGCAAGCUUGACAUGUAAUGAUAGGUGUCUUUAUACAUGAGUUUUGCGGACACUUGUCACUAAAAAAAUACCACGUGUCGUGAUGACACCUUCACCUCAUUAAUCAAAUUGCCUAUAUAAUGAUCAAAACUUCCCAUAUCAGAGGCCAAGAGAAAAAGGGCAACGAAAUGUUGUCCUUCUUUCUUUAAAUUCUCUUUUUAUAAUCAAAAUUGAAAUGCUGACUUAAGCGUCAGAGGGUCAUGGCCGGCAACCCUGACACCCUUUGACAAUUUCAUUUCUUUUGCAGAACCUUUGACAAUAGAAACUUUCAUAUCAUGGAGAGAUGAUUCACAAAGCUUAAUAUAGAAAUGAAUCUGAAGUAAAAAGUUAAUAUGUGUCGAGCAAAAAAUUGCAUUGACAGCUGGCGCCGUUUGUGGGGAUGAAUAAAAAGCCAAUGUGAUCAUCUUGAGCAUGGAUGACAACUAUAACUACUUCGAGCUUGAUGCUGAUGAUGAAAUUUCUAGGGAUGGCAAGAUUUAUUUUUGACGACAAAGAUAUGUUGUAGAUCCUGGAAGUGAAUCUACAGUCCCAAUACAUCCACCUAACCUCUAAUAAAAUCCAAAUCAACAAUUUGAUGCAUAACAUCUAUAGCCAGAUCCAAACGUUUAGCCUCGUCGCCAAGGUGCGGCAGGAUUGCCCGACUUUAAAGGCAAAUAGAGCAGCUGACAAUAAACUUCAAUAGAAUGUUCGAUUAAUUUCAAGCCCGAAAUGAUGAACAAGCUAACUGCAACAACUUUGAUAGCAAUGCAGCAAACUCCGGCUCUUCCCAGACAAGAUCAAAAAAUGAUUUGAAUGAUGAUAAUUUGAAACAUGCUCUCAAUCAGAGACGGACACGACAAAGAGCAACUUGAGAUAAUAAUGAGCCAUCUGAUUUACAAGAGAGAAUGCAAAGGCUUAAACAAAUGGUUCAUGGAAUGAGACCACAAGACGAUAUGAUGGCUGAGUCUGAACCACCAUUUACACAAGAAAUCAUGAGAGCUAGAUAACCGUCAGGGUUUUGACUUCCAUUAAUGGAGCCUUACGACUGACAAAUGGAUCUUAUGGUGCAUGUCGAGCUAUAUCACUCUUUUAUGGAAGUUCAUGACGUGUCUUUGGCCAUUUUAUGUCGGGCUUUUCUUCUCACUUUAUCUAGGGCUGCAAGAAGGUGGUUUCAAAGGUUAAAGCCAAACUCUAUUUCUUUAUUCAAAUUGAUCCGAGAAUUUAUGAUGCAUUUUUGUAGUGCAAGACAAAGAGGAAAACCAAUUACAUGCCUCUUGACAGUGAAACAAUAUAAGGGUGAAUCGUUAAGGGAGUAUGUUCAAAGGUAUAAUGCUGAGACCACUCAAAUGGAUGGAUAUGAUGAUGGGGUUGCUCUUUCCAGGUUAAUGGAAGGCCUACAGAUAGGAAGACUAUGGUGGUCAGUAAUAAAGAAUCCACCAUCAAUAUAUUAAGAGAUGCUCUCUCAGGCUUAGAAAUAUGCUAAUGCAGAAGAAAGAUUUCAAAGUAAGAAAAGGCGAGGAAAAGGUGAAUCAAGUAAAAAAAAAAAGAAGAAGGAAGACAGGUGUGAUGUAACACUUGGACGACCCGAUCAAGCUUCUAGAGGGGAUCAAUUCCGCCCUAAGGACAAACUUAGCUCUCAAGAGCCUCUUUUUUGGCCUCAUAUACAAUUUACUAACUAUAAUGAGUUGAAUGCUCCUAGGGAGCACAUUUUGAUGCAAGUGAAAAAUUCCACUUUGUUUAAAGCUCCUCCUCCACUGAAAUAUGAUCGUUCACGGAGAAACCAAAAGAAGUAUUGCGACUUUCAUAAAGAUGUUGGACACGAUACAUCUGAGGUUUUGACCUCAAAGAACAAAUUGAAAGUUUGAUGUGACAAGGUCAGCUACAAGAAUAUGUCAAAGGCCAAAGUAGUCGAGAAAAUAAAGACCUACAAAAAUAUUUAAGAAAAGACAAAGCGAAAAAGAAAGAAAAUGAUAGUGAUGAUAAUAUGUCUGAUGUCAACCAUAUUUGGGGUAGUCCUCUUGCUGGUAAUUCUGGCAAGGUGAGGAAGAACUUAGCCAGGCAAAUAAGGCAUGAGCCUAGUGGGCUGGAAAUAAAUUUAACAGAUCGCCUACAGAAUUCAAGGUUUCAUGACACUCCAAUAAUGUUUUCUAAAGAGGACACUCAGGGCAUUCAUCACCCUCAUUGUGUGCCAUUGUUGUAACUCUACUUGUGGCAAACAAGCGACUUCACCGAAUCUUAAUUAAUAAUGGAAGCUCAGUUGAUAUAUUAUUUCUUUCAGCUUUUGCAAAAAAUGGGAUUGGAAAGAUCCUAAUUAAUGCCAUACAUUACUCCAUCGCAUGGAUUUGCUGGGGGAAGUGUUAUCCUUGAGGGAAUGAUUGAGCUUGUUGUAUCCUUUGGUAAAACUCCGACUAAAGUUACUUCUAUGGUUCAAUUUAUAGUGGUAGAUCAACCGAGUGCAUACAAUUCAGUCUUAGGUCGACUAACCUUAUAUGCUAUUAAAGGCCGCAACUUCUAUUUAUCAUUAUACUUUGAAGUUUCCUACGGAGGCUGGCAUAUGAGUGUUCGAGGAAAUCAGAAAGAGGCUUGUAAAUGUUAUGAGAUUUCCUUCAGGAAAAGAAAUGAGUCAUUUCAAAUCACAAGUCUGGACCCCAAAACAGUAAGGGAUGAUUAACAAGCGAAUCCCAUUGAAGACUUGGUCGAGAUUCCCCUUGGAGAUGAUUCAACAAGGUAGUUAAAAUUGGGUCCUAAUUAGUCAAUCCACUUUGAGAAGAACUUGUGGAUUUCCUAAAGGAAUACUCAGAUGUGUUUGCAUGGACUCACCAGGAUAUGCCGAAAAUUGAUCCGAGGAUAAUUGUUCAUCGCUUAAGUACUAAGCCUCUUACAAAACAUGUUCGACAAAAGAUGAGAAGUUUGAAUGCUGAGAGAGCUGCAGCUGUUAAAGAUGAGGUGGACAAACUCUUAAAGGAAAAAUUUAUUAAAGAAACUAGGUAUCCACAAUGACUUGCAAACGUUGUCAUGGUAAAGAAAGCCAAUGGAAAGUGAAGGAUGUGCGUAGACUUUACUGACCUCAACAAGGCAUGUCCUAAUGAUCGCUUCCCUUUGCCACGAAUUGAUCAGCCUGUAGACGCCACAGCUGGGCAUGAACGUUUUAGUUUCAUGGACGCCUAUUCCGAGUAUAACCAAAUUCGGAUGCAUGAGCCUGAUCAAGAAAAUACUUCAUUCAUUACUGAUCGAGGCCUUUAUUGUUAUAAAGUCAUGCGUUUUGGGCUUAAGAAUGUUAGGGUAACCUAUCAAAGGCUCGUGGAUGCAAUGUUUGCCAAUCAGAUAGGUCACACAAUGGAAGUCUAUGUGGAUGACAUGCUGACAAAAAGCAAAAACUCAAUUGAUCGCAUCAGAAAUCUCCGUAAGACUUUUGAUAUUUUAAUGAACUUCAAGAUAAAGCUUAAUCCAGCUAAAUGUGCCUUUGAAGUGGCCUCAGGAAAGUUUUUAGGCUUUAUGGUAAAUUAAAGAGGAAUUGAAGUUAACCCUGAAAAAAUCCAAGCCUUGGUCAACAUGAAGUCACCAAAGAAUGUGAAAGAAAUCCAGCAGGUAACUGGGUUAGUUGAUGCUCUAGAUCGUUUUGUCUCAAAGGUUAUUAACAAAUGCCUUCCUUUUUUUAAAGCCUUAAAGAAAAUGAAAGAGAUGAUAUGGACUGAAGAAUGCAAAGAAGCGUUUCAGAAGCUAAAAGACUAUCUCAGCAAUCCACCGCUUUUAGUCAAACCAUCUAAGGGCGAGUUAAUUUACAUGUACUUAGUAGUUUUUAACUCAGCAACAAGUUCCAUUCUUGUUCGAGAUGACAAUGGAGUCCAAAGGCCGAUUUAUUACACAAGUCAAGCUUUGCCCGAUGCAGAGAUUCCAUAUUUAAAUUUAGAGAAUGUUGUUGUAACGCUAGUCAUUUCAGCGCAGAAAUUGCGACCAUACUUCUAAGCCCAUGAGGUCAUCGUAUUAACAAACCAACCAUUAAAACAGACUUUGGCAAAACCUGAUGUGCAAAACCUGAUGUGUUAGGAAGAUUGGUCAAAUCAGCAGUAGAGUUGGGUGAAUUUGAUAUCCAAUUUAAGUCUCGCACUUUAGUUAAAGGGCAAGCAGUAGCAGAUUUCAUUACAGACUUUACAGAAGUAGAAACUCCAUAUUCAGAAGUUAUGGGAGAACAAUUCGAGCAAUGGACUCUUUAUGUUGAUGGCACAUCUAAUAGUAAGGGCAGUAGAUGAGGAUUGAUUAUUAUCACAUGGAUAAAACAGAAAUUGAAUGUGCCCUGCGAUUCGGAUUUGAUGCAACUAAUAUAGAUGUCUUAGUCCAACUCGAAUCUACACCUGAAGGAAAUUUGUUGAGGUCAAUCCCAAUUGCUACGAUCCCAAAACCAAGUAUCAUACGACCAGAGGUUAAAGAAAUUGCGACUACAGAUCGAAGGGCAAUAUGGAUGGAGCCUAUUGAAAAGUAUUUGAUAAACAGGGAGUUACCAGCAGAUAAAAAUGAAGCUCGAAAAGUCAGACUUAGAGCUGCCAGAUACCUGUUUGUUGAUGGUGAACUAUACAAACGAGGCUUCUUUCUUCCGCUCUUGAAAUGUCUUGCUCUUGCGGAUGCAAAUUAUGUUUUAAGAGAAAUUCACGAGGGAAUAUGUAGAAACCACUUUGGUGGCAGAAUGCUAGCAUACAAGGCAAUAAGGCAAGGAUAUUUUUGGUCAAUCAUGCAUGAAGAUGCCCUUGAGUUGACGAAGAAAUGUGAUAAAUGUCAAAGGUUUGCUAAAAUUCCAAGUAGCCACUGGAAGACUUAAUUCCUUUGUUUUCACCUUGGCCUUUUGCCCAGUGGGGUAUUGAUCUUAUUGGCCCUUUGCAUACAGGAAAAGUCCAAGUAAAUUUUGGUAUUGUCGCUAUAGACUACUUCAUUAAGUGGGUCGAAGCAGAGCCUUUGGCAACAAUUACUGAAAAUAAGACAACAGACUUCAUUAAAAGAAACAUCAUUUAUAGAUUUGGAGUCCCUCAAACCAUCAUCACUGAUAACAGCAAGCAAUUUGACAAUGCCAGUUUUAAAGCCUUCUGUAAGGCCCUUGGCAUAACAAAUCACUAUUCCUCUCCAGCUCAUCCUCAAGCAAAUGGGCAAGUAGAGGCAACCAAUCGAGUGAUAAAGCAAACCCUCAAGAUUAAGCUUGAAAAAGCUAAAGGUGCUUGACUGGAAGAGCAUCCCUUUGUCCUAUGGUCAUACAAAACUACUCCAAGGAUACCCACCGGCGAAACCCCAUUCUCUCUGGCUUUUGGCACUGAAGCUGUAGUUCAUGUAGAAAUAUGAAUGCCAACUUAUUGAGUCCAACAUUUCAAUCUCGAGCGCAAUGAUGAUCUUCAACUUUAAAACUUAGAUUUCUUAGAAGAAAAACGAGAUCAAGCAAUGAUCAGAGUGGCUGCUUAUCAAGGGAGAGUGGCUCGAUAUUAUAAUGCUCGUGUAAAGAAUCAAUGUUUUAGAAUUGGAGAUUUGGUCUUGAAGAAAGUUCUUCCUAAUACGCAAGAUCCAGGGGUUAGGAAUCUUAGGCCAAAUUGGGAAAGACCUUACAUUAUGAAAGAUGUUGUAAGGCCAGGGACCUAUUCCCUUUAUACUCUUCACGCUAAUAUCCUGAGGCACGCUUGGAAUGUCGAGCACCUUAGAGUGUAUUAUCAGUAAAGUCUGAAAAAUUUUAUAAUCGAACAAGUUUUCUUAUUAACCUACGGACUAAUAAAAGAUUGGUUGCCUUAAAUUUCUUUUGUUAUUCUUAUAAUGAUAUUAUGCGAAGUGACAUUGCAUUAUGUUAAACUUGUAUAAUUCAUAAUGAGCACUUAGUCAAUUGUGAAUUCAAGUUACGAAAAGCUUAAAGGCUUGUUAUCGCAGAAGUUUUAUAAACAUAUAUGCAGUGUCAACCUAGAGAAAUUGUUAGAAAUAAUUUUCUAAGCAAAACGCCCACGGGAAAAUUGUAACAACGGGACCUAGGUCUUUUCUUGCAUAGGAUGACCUAGGUCCAAUUCCUUAGAAAUAAUUUUCUGAGGAAAACGCCUGCGAGAAAAUUAUGACAAAUGGACUUAGAUCUUUUCUUCCAUAAGAUGACCAGGUCCUUUAUUCCAUAGGAUGACCUAGGUCCAAUUCUUUAGAAAUAAUUUUUUGAGGAAAACGCAUGCGGGCAAAUUGUAACAAAGGGACCUAGGUCUAAUUCCUUAGAAAUAAUUUUAUAAGGAAAACACCCGUAGACAAAUUGCAACAAAGGGACCUAGGUCUUUUCUUGCAUAGAAUGACCUGUGCAAGAAAUGACCUAGGUCCAAUUCCUUAGAAAUAUUUUUUUUUUAGAAAACUACCCACAAGCAAAUUGUAACAAAUGGACUUAAGUCUUUUCUUGAAAAGAAUGACUUAAGUCCAAUCCAUUAUUUCUAAGGAAACUACCCAUAGGCAAAUUGUAACAAAAGGAUUUGGGUAUUUUCUUGUGAAAAAUGGCCUUGUUCUAGUUACUUAGAAAUGUUUUUCUAUGAAAAAUAUCGAUCGGCAAGUUGUAAUAAAAAGACGUAGGUCAUUUCUUUUAAAAGAAUGUCCUAAGUCUGAUUGCUGAUAAAAAUUUUUAAAUCAAACGUCUACAAGAAAAGAUCUAUAUAAAGGAAUGUAUGGUGUUAAGUCAAAUCGACUUCGAAUAAAAAUUACUUGGUCAAAAUUAAGAAAUUUUAGGCUAAACUUUCAUUAGGAAAAUAAAGCAUUUCAUGCUGCGAGUUACGCCGAAAAGAAGCCAAAAUUGCAGCCAUGAUUACAUCCGUAGAAAAUUAAAAUCCAACAAGAAAGAAAAAUUAAAAUGCUGAAAAAUGAUCUUAGGAACAAUCUAAGGAUCCAUGAUGUGUUCACCCUCCUCAACAUCCUUGCACAUCUCAUCAUCUAACUCAGGAGGACGAAGGUGAAGAUCUCCAUAGCAAUCAUCAAAACCCAGAGUCGCAGGUAAUAUGAUAUCUGAUGGUCAACCGAUGGGGACUUCAUUUCCGCCACUCGUGUACUCUUCAUACUCUUUAUUUCUAGCUUUUUCAAUUUCAGCUUGUGCUUCCAAAAGUUCAUCCUCAAAUUGUUCAUUUGACUCUUCAAGAUCUUUUACACGGGUUUCAAAACUAGAAAUCCUCUCAGCAUCGAGAGCAAUUAUUUCUUCAGCCUUUUUUUGCUCCUCUUUGGCUAAAUGCAACUGACUUUCAAUUGUUAACUUUUCUUUAUGGAGGGCAAUGAACUCAGAUUCUAAAUUCUUUUUAGCAGCAAGAGCUUGAGAUAGUUCUUUACUUGUGGCAGCAACACGAUCUUCGGCAGCCCUAACUCAUGUUUCAUAGGAUGAAAAAUGCUCCGAAUGCUACAAAAAAAUAAAAUAAAAAAUAAGGAGAGGCAGAAUAAAAAAUGAAGGGUAAACAUAAUGAAGGCAAAAGUUCUUUACCUUUAUAACAAGUCUCACUACAACCUUGAGAGACUCUAUGGCCCCCAAAUCCUUCACACUCGAUCCUCCAGCCUCACUUACAAAUUGGUCCCAAUCAACAUCAUCGGCUUGAUGAGCGCGAACUGGUGAUGAAUUAACACCUUAGGCAAGAACCGUAGAUGGAUCGAUGAUUUGAUCAACAGUAAAUUUUUUAGUCACUUCUUUCGGCAUCAAAGUUUGGACUAAUGUACCAUUAUUCUGAUCCUUUGUCUGUUGCUGGGAAGUAAAGCCCUUCUCCAUGAGUCGUGGCUUCUCCACGUUCUUUGUCUUAUCUGACAGUCUCAGCCUCUCAAUGGGUUUUGCCUUUUCAGAUAACCUUGGCCUUUUUCUUCUUUUUUUUCCUCCAACAGGUUCAUUAGUUGAAGAAUCCAUUAUACGUUUAGUUGACUGAAUGGAUAAUGGACUACUUGGAAUUAUGUGAUUCUCGGUGAAAAUAUUGAAUAAGCAUAGGAAGUUGCAAUCACGAUCUUCUGGAGGCAACUUUUGAGCUGACCUAAUGUUUUUCGCCUCUACUCCACGGAUCGUGGGUCUUUUCCAAAUAUCUACAAUUAAGAAGUGAAACUAAGGUUAGUAAAAAAAUUAAAUAUGUGCCACAUAAUAUAUAUAUAUAUAAAUCGCACUUGGUUCACGAAAGUGUGUUGGAACCCGAACCCGGGCAUCAACGACUUCAUCCCCAAACUCCCAAUUUCCACUAACCAAAAAAUAAAAAUGCUUCCACCUCUUGAUUGAGAUGUGAACAUGAUUAAGUAAAAUUUCAUUGGAAUCUUCAUAAGCUUUGAAGUGCCAAAUGUCAUAAGUUUUGGGGUUACGACAUAAAUGAAAUAGAUAUUGGAACUCGAUCACAGACGGAUCUGAAAAUCCAAGCUUCCUCCAUACAACCCACAUUCCAAUUAUCGCUCUCCAAGCAGUAAGAACUAGCUGAGCAGGAGCAGUCCAAAAGAAUGUAGAAGCUUUCAAAUAUUUGGGGCAAGAGGAAGAGAAGCUCCAACUUUGAACAUUGCUUUUGUAAACCCAACACAGCCAGUAGGGGGUUCGCUAAUCAAAUCACUCUCCAACAAGUUCAUUUCAAUAGAACGGGGAAUUUGGUACAUGAUCUGCAGUAUUUCGACACCGACCCAAGUAAGUGAAUUACUGCAAUUGUCCAUGGUCCACACACUAGAAGUCUUAGCGCAAUUUUUGUCAUACCAAACUUUAAAGUUAUUUUCCCCAUCCUCAGAUUCAAUUUUAACGCCUACAUGUUUGAAUGAAUCCUUACUACAAGUCUCGCCAUUGGUUGCUUCAGUUUCAGGUAACUUGGCCAUAUUAGGAACCUAUUAAUCAAACUCUAUGCGAAUUCUCAUGCUAAAAGCUAAGUCUUUGCAUACGAAAAUUAUAUAUGUGGUUACAUUUAUUUAAGUUUAUGUGAAUAAGCAUGCAAAAAUAAAUAAAUAAAUAAAAUGGCUAGAACUUUACACGUGUAUAUAUAUAUAUAUAUAUAUAGCCAUGCACUGAUUUGUGCAUCCACAUACAUCAUAUCAGAAGUUUCAAUAAACAUGCAUAUAACAUUUUAAUAUAUGCAUAUAUUAAAUUCAACAUGCAUGCAAAUAAUUAAAUCUUCACUUGCAUGCAAAUUGCUAAGUUUUCACAUGCAUGCAAAUUGUUGACGUUUCAUAUGGACAUUUUAUUAUAUGUCAAUAAAUGCAUUUUUUUAAAUAAAAAGAAAGAACGGAAAAAAUACCUUACAGCCGGAGAGACACCAAAAUUGAGCACUGCUCUGGCGCGAAUCCGUGAAACUCCUUCAAAAAAUGCUCACCCUCUUCACUAUAAAUUGAAAGAGUCUCCCUCUAAGGUAAAUUCUCUCAUUAAGUUUUUAGUAGUGCUUGUGAAUAUAUUAUGGAGUUUUGAGGGUUUUUAUAGAUGAGAGGAAGGGGAAUGCCAUAAGUCAUUUGUUGUAAUUGGGCAAGAAAAAACAAAGAUCAUCGGAAAUGAAAAAACAAAGAAAAUUAAUAGGAAAUGAUAUACAAUUUUUGAAUUUCAAAAAUUGAGUUAAGCCCGCACCCAUUGAAAAGCCAAGGCUGGAAGCCAUAAAAUGAUUCAAGCCUAACCUAAAGCACAUGAAGUAAAUAAUAGUAAUAAAUAAAGUCUAACUUCUCAAAUUUGAAAAAAUAGACUGGGGGCAUCUGUUGUACCAAAAUUAUAAUAAACCCAAAAAAAGCCCACAUGAAUAUAGGCUCAAUAAGAAGUGAUCUAGGUCCAUUUUAAAUAAAAUGCUCAAAGGGCAAUUCUUUGGCCAAGUGUUAAAGGUAAAUUUCUGCAAAAAAUGACCUAGAUCGAUUUUCUACAUAGAGCGACCUAGGUCCACUAUUUAUAAAGAAGUACCUAGGUUUGUUCUAAAUAAAACGUCCAAAGGGCAACUUUUUGACAAAACGCUAAAGGCAAGUUUCUACAAAAAGUGACUUAGAUCCAUUUUCUACAAAAAGAGACCUAGGUCCACUCUUUAUAAAGAAGGACCUAGGUCCAUUCUAAAUAAAAUACCCAAAGGGCAACUCUUCGGCAAAGCGCUAAAGAUAAGUUUCUACAAAAAAUGACCUAGAUCCAUCUUCUACAAAGAGCGACCUAGGUCCAAUUUUUAUUAGAGGUGGCCAUUGGGCCAGACGGCACGAGGCAUAGCACAGGCACAACACGUGUCCGUACAACAUGGCACGACACGAGUACAUUUCGGUAGAGCACGCGGCACAGCACGCACGUGGGCUAUGCCUAUGAUGCCUCCACCUCAUGAAUCAAAUUAUCCAUAUAAUGAUCAGAACUUCCCACAUCAGAGGCCAAGAGAAAAAAAAAAGGGUAACAAAAUAAUGUCCUUCUUUCUUUAAAUUCUCUUUCUAUAAUCAAAUUUGAAAUGCUGACUUGAGCAUCAGAGGGUCAUCGCCGGCAACCCCAGCACCCUUUGACAAUUCAUUUCUUUUUUGCAAAACCUUUGACAAUAGAAACUUUCAUAUCAUGGAGAGAUGAUUCACAAAGCUUAAUAUAAAAAGAAAUUUGUAGCAAAAAGUUAGUUAUUACGUGUCGAGUAAAAAAUUGCAAUGACAAUUUUUUUAAUAAUAUAAUAUUAUUAUUAUUUUCAACAAACAAGCAAUCAAACAUAUGCUUGCUAGAUUUCACUUUUAAAAAUUAUGUUAAAUUAAGCUAGCAAAUAUGUUUUUAUAUUCAUCAAAAUUAAUUAUUUUUAUAUUAUAAAACAAAAAUAAAAUUUUCAUUUAAAAAAUAAUACCAAAAAAGAACUUAGCAUGUGUUCAGUCGAAUCCAAAGUGACAGACCAAAUAUAAAAUAUAGCGCCUUUACUUUACUGUGCAUGCAUAUAAAUCACUGAUUCAGCAAUUUUUUUAUUUUAUUAGUUUUUAAUAAUAUAAUAUUAUUAUUUUCAACAAACAAAUAAUCAAAUAUAUAUUUGGUUGAUUUCAUUUUUAAAUAUCAUGCUAAAUUAAACUACCAAAUAAGUUUUAAUAUUCACCAAAAAUAAUUAUUUUUAUAUUAUAAAAUGCCCAAAGGGCAACUCUUCGGCAAAGCGCCAAAUGUAUAUUUCUACAAAGAACGACCUAGGUCCACUCUUUAUAAAGAAGGACCUAGGUCCAUUCUAAGUAGAACGCCCUUCAAAAAAGCGCCAAAGGCAUGUGUCUACAAAGAGCGACCUAGGUCCAUUCAUUAUAAAGAAUGACCUAGGUCCAUUUUCUAUGAAUAAUGACCUAGAUGUUCAACAAUUACUUGGAAGUAACAUUCUACGAAUGUUACAUACAUGUGAAAUGCUACAAAACCAAUCCUCUUUACGAGGAACCAACAUAAAAGCUGAAGUGCUCGAGCCCAACGAAGAUUAAGAGCUUGAAAUCAUGACAAGUGUUUAAAGAAGACUUGUCAAUGAGGAAGCUUGACACGUAAUGACAGGUGUCUUUAUGCAUGAGUUUUGCGGACACUUGUCACUAAAACAAUGCCACGUGUCAUUAUGAUGCCUCCACCUCAUGAAUCAAAUUAUCCAUAUAAUGAUCAGAACUUCCCACAUCAGAGGCCAAGAGAAAAAAAAAAGGGUAACAAAAUAAUGUCCUUCUUUCUUUAAAUUCUCUUUCUAUAAUCAAAUUUGAAAUGCUGACUUGAGCAUCAGAGGGUCAUCGCCGGCAACCCCAGCACCCUUUGACAAUUCAUUUCUUUUUUGCAAAACCUUUGACAAUAGAAACUUUCAUAUCAUGGAGAGAUGAUUCACAAAGCUUAAUAUAAAAAGAAAUUUGUAGCAAAAAGUUAGUUAUUACGUGUCGAGUAAAAAAUUGCAAUGACAAUUUUUUUAAUAAUAUAAUAUUAUUAUUAUUUUCAACAAACAAGCAAUCAAACAUAUGCUUGCUAGAUUUCACUUUUAAAAAUUAUGUUAAAUUAAGCUAGCAAAUAUGUUUUUAUAUUCAUCAAAAUUAAUUAUUUUUAUAUUAUAAAACAAAAAUAAAAUUUUCAUUUAAAAAAUAAUACCAAAAAAGAACUUAGCAUGUGUUCAGUCGAAUCCAAAGUGACAGACCAAAUAUAAAAUAUAGCGCCUUUACUUUACUGUGCAUGCAUAUAAAUCACUGAUUCAGCAAUUUUUUUAUUUUAUUAGUUUUUAAUAAUAUAAUAUUAUUAUUUUCAACAAACAAAUAAUCAAAUAUAUAUUUGGUUGAUUUCAUUUUUAAAUAUCAUGCUAAAUUAAACUACCAAAUAAGUUUUAAUAUUCACCAAAAAUAAUUAUUUUUAUAUUAUAAAAUAAAUACAAAAAUAUUACUGAAAAAAUAAUACCUAAAAAAGCUUAGCAUGUGUUCAAUCGAAUCAAAUGUGAGCCAUGGAAUAUAAAAUAUAGCUAUUUACUUUACUGUGCAUACAUAUAAACUGCUGUUUUAAUAAUUUUUUUGUUUAUUAUUUUUUAAAAAAUAUAAUAUUAUUAUUUUCAACAAACAAACAAUCAAACAGAUUUUAUUUUUAAAUAUUAUUUUAAAUUAAGCUGCCAAAUACGUCUUUAUAUUCACCAAAAUUAAUUAUUUUUAUAUUAUAAAAUAAAUAAAAAAUAAUACCAAAACGUAGGGAUGGCAAAAUAACCCGGACUCGGCCCGGGCCCGGACGAAUCCGGAUAAUUCGGGCUAGGUUGAACCCAUAUGGGAGUGUAAAAAAAUCUGGAUCCAGAAUAAAUUUUAAUAAUCUGGAUGGAUCAAGGUCCGAUUCCGAGUUUGGGAUAACCCGUAUAUCCGGAACCCAGACCCAGAUAUUCUUAUUUUAGCAUAAUAUUUAAAUAAUUUUUUAAUAUAAAAAAGGGAAAAAAUGUUGAUGCCUUAAUCAUCCUUUUCGUCCUCCUUCUUUUCUCUUCUCUUUCUUUUCUACUUUCACAGCCGCCUCUCUUCACCUUUUUCUUUUCUCUUCAUCAAAUCAUCAUUUUCGUUCUCAUUCACUUCUUCUCUUCAUCAAAUCAUCCUUUUUCUCUUCAAUUAUUCUCUUCAUCAAAUCAUCGUCAUCACUCCUCAUCGCUUCGCUUCGCUGUGUUCGCAUUCAUCAUCAUCACCAGCCUUCAUUUGGCUGUCGUUUCUCCAUUGCGAUCUCUGUUUUGGCUGUCGUUCAUCCGCCUUUUGCGAAUUGCGCUGGCGGCUGUGACGUGUUCAUCAUCAUCAUAUCAUCAGCCACCGAUGUUCAUUACUUCGCCGAACACCGAUUGUUGAAGUUUGUGAACCAAAUCCGUGAAUCACGAUUUUGAGUUGUAGACAUGGAUUUGUAUUUUGUGAGUGUAUGUCAUGGAUCUGUAUUUGUAAAUGGUUUAUUGUUUUGAAAUUAAAAAUCUAUAAAAUUAAAAUGGUUUAUUACUUUGUAUUUGAUUUAUGUUGAAUCUGGUUUUGCAAAUUUGUAAAGUGUAUUUGAUUUUUUUUUUUAUUUGUAUGUGAUUCGGGUUGAAAACCCGCAAUCUGAAAACUCGUAAUAAUCCAGGUUUAACCCGUUCCGGACCCGGUAUCACAAAAACCGGGUUUAAAUCCAAGUUCGGUAUAACAUUUUAGUAUUCGGGUCCGGAUCCGGAAAGGCCAAACCCGGACCCGGACCCAGAUUUUACCAUCCCUACCAAAACGUACCCGUAAUAUCAUUGGACUACAAGUAAUGUUAAUCAUGUGGAGGUUACUAAAAAUGGUCGGCCAGAAGUAAAAGUGUGCUACUUAGUGGCGAAUUGUACUGUUUGUUAAAAAUUGGGAUAUGCUUAGUUUCACUAAGCCAUAUUUUUUCAGAAUCACAUCGGCCAAAAAAUAUGGUUUGCUGCCACUCAUUAUUGGAUCGGAUGCAAAGAAUGUAGCAGAUAUGAUGUUAAUGAAGGCUAUGCGAAUACAAACUAUAGAGUGUUCUUUUUUUAAAAGAAAGUAAUUAUAGAAUUAGGGUAUGUUCGGGUUGCAUUAGGUUCCCAUACAAUUCCUAUAAAGAUUCUCAAAUAAUCAACUUUUCAAAUAAUUUCCUAAAAUAUUUGGUAAAUCAAGAUUAUGAGAAAAUCACUUGUUAAAUAAUUUGUAAAACGUGCUUGAUGAUAAAUCAUAAAUGUGUCAUGGCUGGGUACGUUGACCAAAUAGUUCAUAUUUGCGGUAAUAAUAAAAAUGUAACCAUUUAUCUUCCGAUAAAAAUAAUUCAUUUAGCAAAUAAAUAAUCAUUCAAUAAACAAAAUAUAUGAAAUUUAAUAAAAUUGUUCCAUUAUCAAAAUGUGUACCAUCCCAGCAUAGACUGUUGGUUUGAAAAAUAUUUUACAGCGAAAAUAUCUAGAUCGCAAUUCUCAUACAAUAUAUAAAAUUAGCAUAAUCUAGAAAUUGUACUUUUGUUUUUUUGUUAAAGUAAUCUAGGCUCCCAGAUCACGAUCCGUCAUCACCAAUCUUGUUAGAUCACGAUCUAUCACCAAUGAUCUUCCAGGUUAUGACUCAAGUUUAACCUGCACUUGACGUGUGAGCGCCUUUAUCACUAAUAAAAGCAACUAGCAAGAGAAAAUAUCUCUAUCAAAAUUAGAGAGAAAAACUUUUUUCUCUGAUCCGUAUAUUGUGGCUCCUCUCACCCUUUAGAGAAAACAAAUCCUUUUAUAUCUCUAUUUGGUGGAAACCCUAGACUCCAUAUUUAUAUAUUUUUUAAUUCUAUUAAAUCAAAUUUGAUUUAAAUUAAAAAAAUAAUAAAACUAAAAGUGGCGUUACUUUUUUUUGUUAUAGGGGCCCACCUUGUAAAAUAACACAAGGCCCCUUACACACAAGCAUAUUAAAUGAAGCCUCCCACUAAAUUAUAUAUUUAGGCUUUUAACUCAAAUAACUAGUUAUCUUACUUUAAAAGUGGCGUUACUUUUUUUUGUUAUAGGGGCCCACCUUGUAAAAUAACACAAGGCCCCUUACACACAAGCAUAUUAAAUGAAGCCUCCCACUAAAUUAUAUAUUUAGGCUUUUAACUCAAAUAACUAGUUAUCUUACUUAUUAAUCCAGUAGCGGCGCAGUCAAUUAAAUGAGCUAACCCGGGGAUCAUAUGGGUAGGUACAAAAAUGGCUACAAUAAUUAAGUCUGUAAUUAAACUAGUCCAAUUAUUUAAUUCCAAAUCUACUCCACUAAAAGAUUGGAAUUGAUCUCCAUAAUUGUAUGCUAUGUAGGAUAGUGUUCUCGAAAAAUAAUUCGACUCAUGCCAUAUUAAUUUCUUUACUAAACAAUCCUUUGUACCACAUCGCUAAAUAAAUUGAUAUCUCAACUGUCCAAUCAAUUUAAUUACAUCUUGUUCAUUGACACUUACUGGUUUUCUCUAAUGAUCAUUUUCAACAUACUAAUUACGUUGACACACUCUAGCCAGAGAAUUCUAUGAUCAAGUGCCGAAAACCCAUCAAGAGAUGUGUUGUACAAAUUCUAUAUUGUUAAUCUAUAAUCUCACUACUCAUAAUUGCUUCCACCAAGAUACUGGGUAAUCUUGACUAUAAAUGUAUGUCGCGCCCAUUGGUAACUCAAAUGAAAUGACAAUCACAAACAUGAAACCAUAAUUAACUCAAGAUUAAGAUUGCAAUAAAAUCAAUGCCUAUGAGAUUUAAUAAGUCUGACAGUCAUUUCAAAGUUAAUUAAAUCUUAUAUGUGAUUCAGUUCAAUGCAGUCAAACUACAUUAGUAAAUUCAUACAUGAUUAAGACAAAUCAUUCAAUGAAUUUACUAUAGUCUAAACAUAAAUAGAGCAUUCAACUCUAUUUAUCAACUACGAACUUAAUUUAUUUAAUCACAAGAUAACUUGUAUUUAUGUCUUCUGUGAAUCUAUAUGAUGAUCACAUAAAUACAUAUAAUAUGAUUAAACGGAUCUUAUUCAAAAUAUUUAUGUAAUUGAAAAUAUCUCAAAUAUUUUAUUAAUCUAAAAAUAAAAUAAUUAAUAUGGUUUAAAGAGCACAUAAUCCCAACACAAUCGACUGACAUUGUUACCUUUAGUCCACAAAAAUGGUACCAAAGUGAAGAUUGGCGGCAUGAAACCACUACAUAAUGGUCAUUGCUUGUCGAUCUAUUAAAUAGCAAUGGCAUUGCAUCAAAUAUUCCCCAAUUUUGAUGGUGGUGUGCGGUGGUUGUUGUACUAUUUGGAGUGUAUGCUUUGCCACCAUCUCUCAUUUUCCAACUGGAACAUUACAAAUACAUAGGUCAUAUGAUUUUGAGUUUGAUAGUAUUGGUGGUAUCCAAAUAGCACUUUCACAAUCACCGACAAUGGCAUUGGUGAGGUCACUAGUUACCAAAAAUAAUUUUGGUUUUUCAAUUUUAUUUUUAAUUUUAAAUUUUAAAUAUUAAAAAUUACAUUUUUUUAGUGUAGGGAUAUUUUUGAAAGUUUGCUAUAAAAUUAGGGUAAUAUUGUUAUUGCAAAUUACAAAUCAAAAUUUUAAAAUCUACUCUUAUAAACUUUUAAGAGUUACUUCAAAAACAAAUUAUUUCAUAAAUAAGAUUUUGUGAUGAUCACUCUUGCUAUGAGUUUACCAAAUAUAUUUGAGGUAAUGGAUUAUCAAGUAAGUGAUUAUUUGGCAAUCUAAAGCAAUCCUAAACAUACACCUAGGUCCUAUUUAGGAUUGAGAUGCUAUAAUUUUUAAGCUAAAACUACUGUGGAAAAAAAAAUUGUAAUUAUCAAACAAAAGUUAAUAAUAUGUAGUAAAUAUAAAUUUUAAAUAAUAAUUUUGACAAAAUUAUUAAAGAUAUAAUAGAUUUUCUAUUAUACAAGUGAAAAAUCAUAUCAAUAUAACUUCCAAGUUACAACAGCUAAUGUUUACCAAACACUUUAGUACUGUAUUUUUUAAGUGACAGCUGUCCAACCUCAAUCCCAAAUAUACUCUUAGAUUGUCAUUAUCUUAAAAGGUAAGAAUCAUAUGGCCUCCAAUCUUCAACUCUUCAAAUCAAAAUUUGAGAAAUGCUGUGGAGUCACUCUCUAAUUUAUCCAAAUAUGCUUUAUGAUUAGAUUUUAUCCCUGCACAUUUAUUUUUUUUAAAAAGUUGAUUCAUGAGCCAUUCAUUCUCCCUAAAGCACACUAAAUCUUAAUUUUCUCUCUCUCCAAAUGAUCUGAAUAUCUUGCAAAGGUGGUAGCCCAUCUGGAUUCUUUGAUGGUGUAAUGUCAGCAAACUAAGUUAGUAAUGGUUGCACUUCUUCAUGAACAGUCUUCACCUCGAACUCAUCUUCUUUUUCUAGCUUAUUGCAACCUUCACAAUCUUCCUCCAAAGACCCUUCACAAUGGUCAAAAAAUUAUUCCUCUAUAUCCUAGAAUUCUUAUUCUAGUUCGUUAAAGGCACUGAAUGAACCUUCUUCCUAUCUACCAAAACUUAUACACAUUAUUCCUUCCUCUAUGGAUUGCAUCAACAUUGAACUGCCAAGGUCGUCCUAGUAACAGAUGAGACACAUCCAUAACUACUAUAUCGCACAUCACAUAACUUUUAUAAAUCUUUCUAGUAGAGAAAGAAACACGACACACCUUUUUUACAUGUGCUUAUGUAAAGUGCUGAAUUUUUUUUGUUAAAAGUCCCAUCAUGUCAACCGACGCUUUUAAAUUAUGCUCUCCCUGCUACCACUAUCAAUUAUCACAUUGCACGCCUUAUCGUUGAUAGUGUCACGUGUUUUGAAAAUCUUAUUUCACUGGCUAUCUUUUUUUAUCUUUAGCGCCAAUAAAACCUUCUACAUAAUACAAUUCAACAUCUCCUCUUCAUCUGCUUCUAACUCUAGGGCUUCUUCAUCAUUCGCAUCUAUAACAUUAUCUACUUCGCCAACUUCAGCCUCUACCAAAUUCAAAUUUUUUGUACAACAGUCAGUCGAUCAAUGCCCUAAUUCCUCACAUCAGCAUAGGCUUUACGUCUGGGUUAUUAUAUAUAUGUGGUUCGUAUUGCUAUUGCCUUGGUGAUUGUUGUCUAGGUGGCUGCUGUCUUAGCUGUUGCUAUCAUGGUUGUUGUGCCUGACUACUACCUACCCAUGUUUUAUGCUUAUUUUUAACCCCAACACUGCUUGGUUUAUUCUACACACUAAUGAAUUGUUGUUGAGUUCUAAAAACUACAUUUUGCUUCCGUUCUUCCAAUUUCUAUGUACCCAUGUCCCAAAUGGCAUUUACAAUCUGAUCUUGUAUCUCUUGUUUUAAUCCACCAAGAUACUUCGCAACUAUCCACAACUCUAGCUUAUCCAUAUUGUUUCUUGUGUGUAGAUGAUAAAAUUCCUUUGUAUAUUCAUCGACAUGCGUUCCCUUGUUUGCAGUUUUGAUAUUUUACAUACAACUACUGUUGAUAAUCCACUGGUAGGAAAUACUCUUUCAUCAUCCUCUGCAUUCUAGGCCAUGAUUUGAUAAGUGGUUUCACUGCAACUCUUCUUCGAUUCUCUACAUGUUGCCACUGUGCAGAUGAUGUGCGCUUAAACUUGAAUGCCACAAGCUUAACCCAUUUCUCUUGGGGAAUCUCCAUAUAUUAGAAGAAAUUCUCUAUAUCUGCUAUCCAAUCUAAAAAUUCGUCAACAUGCAUUCCGCUAUAACAAUCUGCAAUAUCAAUAUUAAUCUUGUAAUCUGAAUUCUUUUUACACUUCCCGUCAUAAUCCUCUAUCUUUUUUUUCGAAUUACUCUAUCACUCUUCACGCACAUGUAGCUGCACCCGCCUUGCGAGUUCUAAAUUCUGAGGAAUUACUUUGCGAUUGAUGCCUAAAGGCACUACAUCACGAUUAAAGCCUUGAUGUAUCUCUUAAUAGUAAUAAUCUUGAGGUUGUUCUUCACGAUUUACUCUUACAACAACUUCCUAACGAUUAACUCCUUCCUGCUAUUCUCUCUCUGUCAUGGAAAUCAUGAGACCCUUGAUUACUUGCUCCAUCGCUGCCAUUCUCGGGUUAUACAUGUCCUCCAUGACUUGCAAGACUACUUCUCUUACCAUAUGUCUGAUAGUCUCCAUAUACGUUGUCUGCAUCCCUUGGUCAACUUCUUCGAGGUGGUGCUCCUUUGUUUAUGUGGUCGUACAAUGAUGACAGGUGAACCUGCUCUAGUACCAACCGAUGAAGUGAAAACAUAAAAGGUUGAAGAUAGUUAAAACAAGGUUUCUAAAUAAUGAAGUUUACGGAGAAAUAUUGAAUUGAUAAAGCUAGGGCUUUGGCCUCUUUAUAUUUGAAAUAUUAUUUUAUAAUAAAAUUCUCCUAAUCUAAAUAAGAAAAAGAACAAAUGGUGUCCAGAUCCAAAUUCAAAAAAAAAUAUAUAAAAAUUUUAGAAGAAACAGAAAAAAUGGGGAAAUAUCUUAAAAUUAAAAAACGAUCAGGAAAGAAGUAGACUUUUUGACUUGACCACAGUGCAGAACGACACAUGGAGUUUUGGGUUUUUUUUAUCACGACCUUUGAAACAAUAUAUUAUACGCCGAAACCAGACACCUGUAGCCCAAGUUAUGGCCUCCAGAAGGUAUCCUGCUCGUCAUAAACAACAUCUUACAUCAUCAUUGAAAAAAAAAAGCAAUGUCGGUGGCUUGUGAUUCAAGCGUUGGCAAAUUUUGUCGAGGGCAUCUAUAACUUCCCAUGUUGGCAACAAUGAAUUAGGCCUUGAAGAGCAUCUCAUAUCUGUAAGUCUUAUGCAAUCCGAGAAGCAUUGGAAAACAAAUCAAACAAGAUUUGUUCUAGUAUAAGCUUUGCUUUCAAGGUGGCCUCCUUUUGAAUACAAGAAAAUAUAUUCAAUAUAUAUAAAUGAAACAGAAGAAAAUAGUAUAUAUAUAAUGAAACAGAAGAAAUUAGUAGUGUGAAAAAUGGAGAGGAGAUGAUGAUGACCCGUUUCAAUGAGUUAUUUGCAUAGCUAGUGCCUCAUUCUCCUCCAUUCAUGUACAUAACUUGUUCUAUUUCCAUGGCUUCAUAUUUGCAAGAGACUUCCUCUAAUUCCAUUGCCCUUCUAUGUGGCUCCAGAGAAAAGAUUCUUUCCAAGUAUUUUUUGAAAACUCUUUAGAAAUAGUAUAAAGAAGGUAAAUUUCAAUCUUUUUAAUUCAUGAACAAAAAGGCUUAAUUUAUACAAGUAUUUGAAAUAUGAAAAAGGAAUUGAUACAAUUGAUAUAAUUCAAGAAUAAUGAUUGAUUAGUAAAAAAUGAGUUAAUCAAUUUUUAUGUUUAUUUACAAUCAAUCUUUCUUAAUAAAUCAUUUGAUUGAUUGUUCUGUUUCCAUGAAUUUUGUUUGAUUCUUAUCAUCCUCACUCAAUCCAGCAAGGGAAAUGUUUUUAAACUCUUAACUUGCCUUCAAAAACUAUAAAUACUUUAUUUUUAUUUACAAUCUCAUAACUGUCAUGCAAAAAAAUUAGAAAGCAUUCCUUUGAAGUUUGUCUAAGAAAUCUUUCAAUUAUUUUCAUGUACACUUUUUUUUAAAGACUGGGAAAAAUCAAAAGUAAUAAACUCUUUUGAUCAAGGAAUUCUUUUAAUAUAAAAGCUGUUCCUUUGAUUUUUUUAAAUAAAAUCUUCACUCAAGCAUUUUAUCUUCAUUCCUUCAAUUUCGACAUUGAGUUUUUUUUUUUUUUUUAUUUAGGAGGGAGGUUGCUCAUUUGUCCCUACCAAAAUCAAUAGAUAAACUUACCUCCUAAGUUUUUUCAUAAUAAUCAAUAACCUCCCUACCAUCAUAAUUUUAUAAUAUUAUCCUUAUUUUUAAAUAUACUUUGAAUCGUGUUUAUUAUUAAUUAAAUAAAUUAUAUAAAUAGAAAUUAAAACAAAAAAUUUAAAUACUAAAAAUAAGAAUUUUUUUUGUGUGAAUAAAAAAUUAAUAAUAAGAUAUUUUUCUUAUACAUUUUUGUUAUUUUUAAAUAUCUUUCUUUAUAAUAAAUAUAUAUUUUAUAUUCCCAAGGUAAAAUAUCAAGUAAGUGACCCAUUUCUUUUCCUUUAAAUUAUUUAUACGAGAAGGGGUUAUUGACUAUUGUAAAAAUAAUAAUGGGUAAAGUGAUAUAAAUUGAUUUCAAAAGAGGGAAAACUAGCAAUAUCCCUAUUUAGAAAACCAUUCCAUUGACUUGUCAAGAAAAACAACAAUUUUGAGGAUUCCUUUUUAUUCCCUUUUUCUUUUGACAUCUUUCCUUUGUGAUGGUGGAAGUGGUGGUGGCAGUGAGAUUUUUAUUUUUUUUUUCAGUGAAGAAAUUAAUAACAACUAAGAAGGAUCUCACAUCUCCCCUAUUUAGAUCACCAUGCUCCAUGGCUAAACCCACGAAUUUGAAGACUCUCAAUCCCAUCAAAUACCACGAAAACGUUUUAGAAAUAUUGUAAAGAAGAUAAAUUUCACUCUUGUUAAUUCAUGAGCACAAAAGCUCAAUUUAUACAAGUACUUGAAAUAUGAAAAGGAAAUGAUAAAAUUAAUAUAAUUGGGGAAUAAUGAUUUAUUAGCAAAAAUUGAGUCAAUCAAUCUUUCUUAAUCAAUAAUUAAGAUGAAGGAAAUCAAUCAUUUGAUUAAUAAUUUUGUUUGCAUCAAGACUGUUUGAAUUUUAUCAUUAUUUCCAGUCGUAAGGAUGAAAAUAGAAAAUAUAUUAGCACAUAAAAUUGUCAAGUUGUAAAUUGUGUAGUAUCAAAGACAUGAGAAAAACUAUUAUGGAACAAACGCAUGUGUUAUAUAUGUGACUAUGUGAGCCCUUUCGAUAAUAUAUUUUGACACAUAUAUUAUACAUAUAUAUUUUGAUGUUGACUAAUUAAUCAUAAUAAAAGAAAUAAUCAUUGCUUACUGUAUGUGUAAGAAUAUUAUCACAUUAAUUUGUUGAAGGAUAUCAAUAACAAUGAGUGAAUGGAUUUUAAUGGAACUCUCUCAUCUAUAUUUUCGGUUUAAUGGAGUUUAAUGUGUACUAGAUGACAAAAAAAGUUGCAUUAUUGUGCUUAAUUUUUAAAAGGGAAAGUCCUCGCAUCAUACCAUCCUUUGAGGAGUUUUACUUAAAUAAAAAGAAAAAAGAAAAUCGAACCAUCCAUAAAAUUAUAUUCAUAUCCUCUUCAAAUCCAAAGUUUGAAAUUUAAAUUUUAUGUUUAUUAAAAUAAGUUUAAUAGACAAAUUAAAAAAUCUAAGUAGAGUUUCACUCUUCAAAGUUCAAACCCUUAUUAUUAUUUUAUCUUCUUAUUUUUCAUCACAUGAGGUUCGUAGUGACAUUGAUGUAGGAUGUUAUUUUAGGAUUUUAGGAUAUUAGGAUUUUUUUUUCAUUUUUUAAUAUCUUCUAUUAAAAAAGUAGAGUUAAUUAUGGUAUGGGCCGGUGCUCUCAAUAAUAUUGAGGGCAUUAGUUUGAGUUCUCAUGGAGCCUCCUCUUAUUUUCCACCAAAAAAAAAAAAAUUAAACUAUUUAUGGGUGGGUUUAUUAUGUCCAAUGUCAUUAGUGAAAGUAGUGAAUUUCUGAGCUAAUCCCCAUAGAUUUUUAAGUUAUAAAUGCAUGUAUCUGAAGUAUUAAUAGGUAUAACUCUAGAUGGUAGUAUAUCUGUGUAGAUUGUAAUCACGAAAAAUAAAUAUAAGUUAUUAACCUGAGUUUUAAUUUGUUCUAUUACGUGCAUUCCUGAAUUUAAUUAUAAAUAGCACUAAGAACAAGUUUUCACAAAGAAUUGAAUAAAAAAUCUUCUCCAAAGGGCAAAGGCUGUCAAAGAAAAAAAUAGAUUAAUUUCUUUCUUAUAUUCUAAUUUAAAAUGAUAAAAACUAAAACAUUAAGUAGAAAAAAAUAAUUGUAAGAAAUUUUAUUGGUGAAAUGAUAUGUUAUAAAAUGAUAAUAUCUAUAAUAAUAAUAACAAAAAUAAUAGUAAUAAAAAGUGCUUAAAUAAAAGCAUUGGAUACUUGCAGCACGUGGGUCCCAUUGAAAUACCAACAUAAAACAACAUAAAAUAACAAAAGAAAAAUACAUUGAUAUAUAACCUAAAUUAAUACGAACCAUAGUAAUUUUACGUAAAGUGAUACGUAUUUAAGAAAACACAAACAAACAAACAAACGGCAACAACAAUGAGGACAACAGAGCCUCAUGUAAGACAAGAACUGAAAGCAAUAAAUAUACAAAACAUUUAUUUUAUUUUUUUGGAAAUAACAUAAUUCAUUUCUUUAUCAAGUAAAUGAAGAGAACUGUGUGAGCUCCUAGCCCCAUUUCCAAAUGUGCACUUAUCUUGAUUGUAAAUCGAUGGAACAAAUCAUCCAUGAUUGCACUUCCAAAAUGAUUGGCCAGAAGGGACUCUGAGACUGCUCUUAUAUUAUUUGCCACGUGCUUGGCUCUUGCGUGCUUGUUAAACUCCAAGCCUUUGUUAUCAUUCUCAUAGCCCACUGACCAACUUAUAUGUGAUGUUUCAAGCUGAUGGAUGUUAAAGGAUCCUUCUCUUUCGAUAACUUGUCUUACUUCUUCAACACAAGGGUAAUAGAUUGGAUAAUUGAAUGACUCCAAUUUUGAUUCUUCAAUCAAACCCUAAAUAAGUUCAAAAGAGAGUAAAUCUCCUUAAAAUAUGUAUAAUUUUUACACACAUAUAAAUAUUUGUUACAAUAUAACAUCUUUAAUGAGAAUUUACCUAAAAAUUUUCAUAUUUUCUAUAUGAAAAUAUGAAAAUUUAUAUAUAUAUAUGAAAAUAUGAUAAUGUGAAAAUAUGAAAAUAUGAAAAUUUUCAUAUUUUCAUAUAUAUUUUCAUAUGAAAAUAUAACACAUAUAUUUUCAUAUAUGAAAAUGUGAAAAUGUGAAAAUAUGAAAAUAUGAAAAUAUGACACAUAUAUGAAAAUAUGAAAAUAUGAAAAUAAAGUUCAUAUAUAUAUAUAGAAAGAGAGAGAGAGAGAGAAAUAUUUCAGUCAUGAAUUUUAAAGUGCGGGAAACCUUUAAAACAGCAUGGUUUGUAAGCCUUUAAAGCCGUGUGGUUUUAAAAUUUUCCUGGACUUUUCUGCACUUUAAAAUUCCUGACCAAAAAACUACUAUAUAUAUAUAUAUAUAUCAUCUUAACUAACUUUGUGCAAAUAUACUUAUAUGCAUUUGUUCAAGAGAGAGAGAGAGAGGAUACCUCAUAGACCAUGUCAUUCAACACCAUUCCCAUUAACUCAAAAACACCCGUAUGGUGUUUGUCAUUACCUAUAAAGUUAAGAAUCAUACGACCUCCAAUCUUCAAUUCUUCCCAUCGAAAAUUGAGAAAUGAUGUGAAAUCACUUUCAAAUUGAUCCAAGUAUGCUUUAUGCACAUUAGAAGGGCUACAGGUUUUUGCUACGCAGACAUCCCUUUUAUUUAAUAAAGGAAUUCCACAUUCACUUACUAACUCUUUGGGUACCUGUUAAAGCAUAAAAUUGACGCAUUAUAAGAAUAUGAUUUUGUACACCAUUCUUUAAAAGAAUAAACGGUACCUGAGAGAGCCAAUUAAGACAGAAAGAAGAGUAAACCAAGUUUAGGAAACAUGGAGGAAAUAGCCUUCCAUAGAGAGACCCAGGGGCUACACCUAUGAAACAUGAACCAAAAUCGUCAUUGCGCUUUUCUGUCUUCAAUCUCUCAUAAAAGCUUGGAAGAGAUUUGGAAAGAGUAUUGAAAUCAUUUCCAGGAAGAUCAUUGAGAAAAGCAUGCAAUAUUGGUGGCUUAUGUUUCAAGCGGCUGCAAAUAGUGUCCAGUGCCUCUAUAGCUUGCCACGUUGGCAAAAAUGCAUUAGGCCCUGAAGAACACCCCAUAUCUGUAAAUCUGAUGCAAUCUGGGAAGCCAUUGCUAUACAAAUCAAACAAGCUUUCAUGCAGUAAAGGCUUUGCUUUCAAGAUUGCCUCCCUCUGAGAAAAAAAUGGAAAAGAAAAGAAAAUUGAUAAACAGAAGAAAUUAAAGUGUGAACAUCAAGAGAGAGGGAAAGUGAGAUUGAAGUUUAUAAAUUAAAUUGACCGGUGGCGCUGAGUUUUUUGCAUAGCUGUUUUCUCCUUCUCCUCCAUUCAUGAACAGAACUUGCUCUACUUGCAUGACUCCAUUUUUGCUAGAACCUUGC